rnacentral:lncRNA from 1 species
AAAAAAAAAAAAAAAAAAAAAAAAAAAACUGAAAAAACUAAAUUGUAGAAUGGUACUUACUAUUGUUGUUUUUUCUAUGCCACAGACCAUCACUAUAUUUUCAUUAGAAUUUUCUUGUAAUAUCUUAACUUUAAUUUCUUACAAUGCCAAUAAAUAUCAAGGUAUAAAAUUUUAUUAUAAAUUCCUAGACAUUUUAUUUUAUAUUCUUUUUUAAGUUAUAUAUUUAUUCUAUUAAAAAAUAGGAAAUAUAAAAAAAAAUUAUAAAUUUUUAUUUCAGUAUAUGUAAUAUAGAUAUAAUAUUAUUAUAUAGAUUAUUUUUUAAAUUUUUUUUUAAAGUAAAUAUUAUAGUCAUAUUAUAGUCAUAUUAUCUCCGAGGAUAUCUUUAGUUCUUCUUAAAGGGUUCAAAUUGAUUGUACCAUUGCUUAGAUUUUAGCUUUAAUUCGUAUAUUAAAUCAUUUAACAUGCAUGCAAAAUUUUACUUUCUAACUCUCUUAAAAUGAAUAUAGAUUAGUUUGUUUAAUUUUAUAUGUAUAAAAUGGUAGUGAUGUCUAAUGUCCAAAUCAUAUUAUAAAAUUAAUAAUAAUUAUAUAUAAAUGAGUACAGUUUUUAUUCUAAGUAAAAAAUAUUAUUAAGAUAAAUUAAUUUUUUAUAAGCAUACUUAAUUAUCACUAAUUUGGCUUUAUAUCUUGUUCUAUGUAUGUUAUGUAACUCUUAUUUUUUCACAUAUACCUACUUAUAAGUAACAACCUUCUUUUUCCUAAGUGACUGCACCAAAUUCCAUGCCUAUUUCUUACAAAGAAAUUCUAUCUCUUCAUCUAUUGCUAUGUUUGGCUUACAUUGAUUUUAUCUACAAUACCUAAAUGGUCAAAUCUGUUAAGAAUUUUUUUUUUCAUUUGUGACCUUUAGAAUUUUAAUUUUGAAUUAUUAUUAUCAUGAAAUUUCUUUAAAAUAUUAGAAUAUAAAAUAAUAAAAAAACUACGUAUAAUCUACAAAAUAUAAAACUUCACUUUAAGAAUAUUGUAUGUAGUUUGAUUAUCUUGCUUUUUAUAUUAACUAUUUUCUGAUAACAUCAAAAUGUUAUUAGGUUUUAUGUAUUUAGUAGUAAUAAAAUAUAAUUCAUACUUAAAUCUAUUAUUUUUUAUCCUUUAACAAUUUUUUAUAAUCUAUAAAGUCAUAUUAUCUAACCAUAGAAUUAAAAAAAUUAUCUAGUGUAUUAGCAAACAUAAAUGUAAGAUGGAUAUCUUUAAAUCUUAAUGAUAAAAAAACCUUGAUGUCUACUAUUUUCCAUUUUAGACAUUCUUUAUUCAAUGUCAAUAGAUGGAGAAAAGUUUACUAAAACACCAGCAAUGUAAACAAUUUUUUUUCAAAAACUUAUCUCUUGCUAAAUUUUACUCAAUUUAUGUUUUUUUCAAAACAUUUAAUUUUAUUAUUUUAUUUUUCUAUUUGAUCAAAAAACUCAUAGGAUAGAAAUGUAAUAAAUAAAUCAUUUUAUUAUAUACAACAUCAUUAAAAGAUAUUUAUAACAUUUAUACAAAAAUAUAAUAUAUAACAUCAUUAAUUUUUUUUUUUUUUUUUUAUUUUUAUUUUUUAUGUUUCCUUAAUACAAAGUGUUUACAAAACACUAUCUAAUAAGAAUAAACUUUCUUAAAGAGUUAAUGCUUGUAUAAUUCUAUAAACCAUUAUUCAUUCAUGUGAUCCAAUGGUGUAUGCUAUAAUUAAGUCAUAUCUAAAUAAUAUCUACCUUAAAUGGAUUUAAUAAAAACUCCAAGUGUAUCAAUGCCUCCUAUAAGCUUAUAUAAGUUUAUAAUCUUAUUGCUCUUUAUGAUUAUAGAUGCUCAUUUAAUGGCACCUCAAAACUCUAUGUUUUAUUGAUUAUUCAAAUUCAAUCAAGUCUAGUGCAUCUAAAGAAAUUAAUUAAUUUAUAUUAUUUAGAAAUACGUAGAAUAAUUCCUAAUGUUUUAAAAAUUACAUCAAAAAAAUUAAUAUAAAAUAUAUUAAGUUGAAAAUUCUUACAUGACAUAAUUUUUUUGAACAAUUUAGUUCUAAAAUUAUAUAAAAUAUAGACAUAAAAUUAAUUAUUUUAAAACCAUAUAUAAUAUGUGCAACUAAAAUUAAAGAUCCAUUCAUUAUAGUACUUAUUACUUAUAGUAAUCAUAGUCAUAACAUUACUAAUCUUUCUAUCUAAAUUAAUAAAAUUAUCGUCUUUAAAUAAUUAUAUAUAUAUAUAUAUAUAUAUGAUGUUAUUAUUUUAAAUUUAAUUUUAAAAAAUUAUAUAUUUAUUACAUUUGAUCUUAAAUAUAUCAACUUAAAUUUUGAAUUUUAAUCUAGAUCUUCUUUGAUUGUAUCUUUAUUGUAUUCUUUUCAUUUCCUACAAAUAAUGGCUUAAAAUACGAAAUUUUAUCAAUGAUUCUUUUGUUCAUCUUAAUAAAUAAGAAUGCUAUUGUAAUAACUUUUAAUUAUAUUAUAUAUUUCUUAUACAAUAGAAUUAUAAAAAUAAUUAUCCAAUGAUAGAGGAAGCAAAGUAAUAGCAACAAAACUUUAUCUCCAUCUUUUAAUUUAACAUUAAUGUUAAAUGAUUUAUUGAAUAUUUUAUUAAAGUGAUUAAUUAAAAUUAAAUACAUUGCUAAGGAUUUUUAUAUGGAAUUUCUAUAAUUUAUGCUUUACAUGUAGUUUAUUUUUAAACAAUGUUGCUAUGAAGAAACUUCUAAAUUUUGUGUAUAGUUUUGUUGAUAAACUCUCAUAAAUAAUAUUUUGGGAUAGUUCAUUUGAAAAAUUUAAUUAAAUUGUGCCAAGUGCUUAUAAAUUGAUCUCAUUCUUUUUUUUGUCAAUUAUUUUCAUAGACUUGUUUUCUAUUAAAAAGUGUUCUUAAUAAGAUUUUAGAAUAAAGAAAGAAGAGACGAUGAUGAAGAUGACUUUUUAACCUUCUUUCCCUCUCUCUUUCUCUUCCUUGUAGUAAUAGAAAGAGCAUAAAUAUUUUUUCUGUAACAUUGUAUCUAUCCCAUUUGAUGAGCAAUUAAAACACUUUACUAAUAAUCUUUAAGAAGUUCAGUAGCAAUAAUAUGCACCUUAACCAAGUUGUCAUUGUAUGUGUAUUUAAUUGGAUUUUAUUAUAAUAAUUGUAUUGUAUUUAUGAUUUUGUAAAUGAAAUCUAUAUAUAUUUUGUAGAUGAAAUCUAUAUAUAUUUUGUAGAUGAAACACAAGAAAAAUAAAGAAAUUUAGAAAUUAUAAGAAUAACUAGAAAAAAAUUAAUGUGGAUCCAUGGAUGAGGUAGAAAAGAAGAAGAAGAUGUGAAGUUUAUUUUCUAAUAAAUUUCUAAAAACAUUAUUACUACUAAAAAAAUAUUUUUAUUGGUUGAAUAGAAGAACAACUGAAAAGAAAAUAAAAAAUCAAUAAAUUUUAGUGUUCUAAUGUAUACAAACUUUUUUAAAAGAAAAAUAGCUACAAAUCAUAUUAAGCAAGUUUAAUAAGACAUCAUCCAAGUGAACAAAAAAAUCAAAAAUGUAUUAUUCUUUUGUUUCUAUUAUUAUAGCCAAACGUGGUUUAUGGUAAUAGAAUGUAUUAAUAUCAUAAAAAAUAUUAGUAUAGUAUAAAAAAUAAUCGAAUUAGUAUUAAAAAAAUACUAAUAUUUUUAAUUUAGCAUGGAUAUGCUGAAUAAGUUUUACCUUAUAAUCUACCAACCAUAGAUAAUUAAAAUUACAAGAAGAGAAAUAUUAUUAACUAAUAUAGAAACAUGUUGAAGAAGGAUAUUUAAAAUUAAAAUAAUGAAUUCCUUUAAGAAACCCUAUAUUUCAUUUAAUUAGAGUUAAAGAUUUCCUUUAAAUAAAACAAAAAAAAAUCAAAACAAAACAAGAAUGCAGCUAUAAAAUAAUAUAAAAUGAAAUAAUAAAUAACAAUCAAAUAUUUUUAUAAAAAAUUCAUAGAUAUAAUCAAUAAUAUUUUUUGAUCAACCAAGAGUAAGAAAUUUAUUUUAAAAAUUUAAUGGCUUAUUUUAAUAUUAUUUAAAAAAAAUUUAAAUACGAUAACUAAUUUAAUAAAUUUAGUAUUCAAUAUCUAUAAACAAUGUAGUAAUAUAAAAAUUAAACUAGAAAGGAUGAUAUUUAAUUUUAUUAAAUAACAUGUUUCAUAAAAAAAGUUUAAUUAAAUGAUUUGUAUCAAUUUAAUAGCAAAAGUCUAAAUACCAUCAUAUAUGCAACUAUUGAAAAAAAUUAGGAGACAUAGUACAAACAAGAUGUUAUUUUAAGUAAUUUAUUUGUUAACUAAACUUAUUAUAAAGUGAAGAUAUGAUUAUAUUACAUUCAUUUAAAUAAAAUCAAUAUAUCUUAGUAGCAACACAUUGUGCUACUAAGUUGAUAGGGCUAAAGUAUUAAAGAACAACAGAAUAGUGAUAACUUCCAAAUUUUAUACUAGCAAAUUUUUACUAGAUUUAAGUGAGUCCUUAUUAUUGUAAUGAAUCUAAUUUAAAACUAAUUAAGAAUUUGAUAUUUUUUAUCUGAUUUUUAAUUAAACCAUAGAAAAUUUUCUACACCUACAUCAAUAUAAAAUCAGAGAUUAUUUUUCUCUAAUAAGCAAAAUAAUUCUGUUUAAUAAAGUCAUUGAUAAAUAUUUGACAAAGUAUUGGUAAAAUUAAAACAAUCUUUGAUAAGAUUUUUGUUUAUAUUUUUGUAAAUACAUUCUUUUUACAUCAGUUUUUUUAUGUAAUUAUAAAUUAUAUUCACCAUUCAAACUUAUGUAUAGAUUAUAUCCACUCAUAUCUGUAAAUAUGUCAAAAAAUGUGGCGAGAUAAAAAAUAGUGAAAUUGUAGAGGAAGGUAAAGAGAGAAAAAAGAAAAAAGAAAAGAAAAAUUUUAAAAAAUCUAUAAAUAAAAGGUAACUAGAUAAUUACAAUUGAAUUUAAUAAGGCAAGAGGUCACUAAGUACAAACAUUGAUUGUACGAAUAGAUGGUAGUUCUACAUGCAGAAAUAUUGCACUACCACCAAACAACAAUAAUAACACAGAUUAAUUAUGUGUAAAGAGAAAUAAUUGACCUCAUAAUGACAAUAAAAUUCUCAAGGCGUAGUUAGUUAAAUCAAAUGCAUCAAGAAAAUGAAAACAUUUAAAAAACGAAAAAAUAACACCACCAGAUUCUAAGCUAGAUUCAAUUAGAUAAUAAAAAACAAGAUUGUUUAUGCAGUAUUAAAAAGGCUUAAACUGUUGAGAAAAUUAGUAAAACAAUUUAUUUAAACUAAUAUAUAUUUUUUUCAAAAAAAUAAGAGCAUGUAGAGAAUCUCAAGACCUAACAAACCAAAAAAGUAGCAUUAUAUUUAUAAAAAUAAAAUAAAAUAAAAGAGAUUUGAUGCAAAAUCAUUAGUAACAAAUAUCUAUAAGAGAAGUAUUAAAAAAUAUAAAAAUAAACAAUCGAUUUAUAAUGUAGAAAUCAAAUUGUUUUAUUAAAGACGACUUUAUUUUUAAAUUUUUAAUAAUAACUUCAAUUUUUUUUAUAUCUUUUAAGAAGAUGCACAAAAUUUAAAAACAGCAAACGUACAUUUGAACAUUUCAGAUAGAUGUUUAUUACAUAAGUAGUACAAUUUAAGAAAAAAAAAAGUUUAUUUGCAACAAGAAUGGUUGGAAAUUCGCACUUAAUCUUUUGCUAUUAAUUUGGAUAGAUUUGGUUCAAGCAUUUAAAUAAGUAAAUUAAAGAAUAAACAAAAAGAAAUUCAUUAUAUAAAGUUUAAAUCAAGCCAAAAUAAUGUAUCUUAUAUAUAUGAUAAAAUUAUUAUCAUUAAUAUAGAUUCAACUAAAAUACUUAUUUAUAAGAACUAAUAAAUUAAAAUUUUCUGAAUUUAUAGAUAGAAUAAAAAAAAAUCAUCGCAUAAAUAAUAUCUAAAUAAACAAACAUCUAAAAUGAUUAAUAGUUUCAUUUUUUUAACACAUUACAAGCAUUGAUUGCUAGCACUUAAAGACCUAAUAUCCUUUUAUGAUAUUAUGUAUAUACAAGUAAGCUACUUAUUCAAAAAAUUGUAGCAACCAAACACUAUAGUGAAAACUCUUAUUUAGUCUUUAUCAUCAUGAAAUAUUUGAAAAUUAUCUUAUAAUAAUUUGUACUAUAAAUUCAUGAAUAAAAUAAAGUGUGUAAUAAUUUUUUAAAGCAAUAUUGUAUUUACAAAGAAACAGUUCAAAAAGAAGAAAUAAUAUCAAAAGAUCAGUUUGAUGUACUUGGCAAUCUUAAAGUCGACUAACAUUGACCUUUAUAAAAGAAACAAGUUUGCUUUUGAGCAAUCUAAAUAAAGAUUUUAAAGAAAGAACCAUGAUUGGUGAUUCUAUGAGGGAUAUUAUCUAUAUAUAUAUAUAUAUAUAUAUAAUAUCUAAUCUAAAAAAAGAGAUUUGAGCGUAUUGCCAAAAUCAAAAAAUAAUUAGAAAAUAUUUUUGUUAAAAAAACUUUAAAUAAAUUAAAAAAACAUUAAAAAAUUAAAAUACAACUACCACCACCAACACCUUUAAUAAAUAUAAAUGCAUAUAAGGUUUUUUUAGUUUAAAAUAUUGAAAUAAAAUUAAGAAAUAAAAAAAUAAAUAAAUCUUUGAUUCUAAUGUCUUAUAAUCUUUUAUUGAAUGAUUGUAAAAUAAAAGAAAAAUAUAAAAAUAAAAUAUCUUUAAAAUAGAAAAUAGAAAAAAAAGAUGAAAAUUUGAUUUGAAAAUAUUUUAAUUAUUGAAGAGAAUUUCUAAUAGAAAUUGCACAGUAAGUAUCCAAAUCUAUAGUUAUUAAAAAACUAUUACUAAGACUAAAAAUAGGGAUAUCAUUUUUUGAUAUUAUUAAAUUUUAUUAUAAAUAUAUCAAUCAAAGUUUAAAAAUUAAGGUACAGCUGAACUAAAAUACCAAAAUUAAUAAAACAAAAAAUAAAAUACAUUGGAGACAAGAACUAAUAAUUAAAAUUAACAACUAAUUAAAGAAUAAAGUAUGGAUAUGUGAAUAAGAGCUUUAGGAUAAUAUAGAAUUUUGGAAAACAAAACAAGCUUCAUAAUGAUUUCUAGUAAAGAUAUUUGAAAUUUCAUUAAAUUGUGUUAAUUACAAUUAAAAAAACAGGAAGAUACCUUAAAUUUAAAAUCCUAUUCUAGAUCUUAGUUAUUAAUUUUUUUAAAUAAAAAUAAAAAUAUAUAAACAUAAAUAUUUUUAAAAUAAAAUUUUAAGAAUAAAAGAUAUAAUGUAAUAAAACUUGUUAAGAACUCAAGCUUAAUCUCAUUUUCAGAAUAGGAUCUUUUAAAAACCUUCUUUAUUUAAAGUUUUUCUUUUAAAAAUAUUUCUACCAUACUUGUGAUAGAGGCUUUUGAAAUAAUUUUUUUAAUAAUAAUAAUAAAUAUAUUACUUUUUUAAUAAUGGAAUAAUUUUUAUUUUUAUUUUUUAUUUUUUUUGAUAUGAAUUUUUUUUGCAAUUAUCACAUAUUAAAAAAUAUUAUUAAAAUUUAUAAUAACUAAUCACACGUAUUCUAUUAUGAAUACUUUUGGAUUAAUUUUUUUAUACUAUUAUUUUUUUAUGUGUUCAUUCUAGGACUUUAGUUUUUGAAAUAGAUAAUUUUUUUCAUAUAUUAAAAUAUUAUAUUUUUUGUUUUAAAAUCAUAAUAUUUUCAUAAAAUUAAAGGUUAAGAGGAAAUAUUUAUUACUUAGAAAAUUUAUUGAUAUUAUGGAUGGAUUGCUUUAUUGAUUAUCUUCUUUAUAAUUGAAAUAUAUAUAUAUAUAUAUAUAUAUAUAUAUAUAUUUUGUUAUCAUUAAAGUUGUGAUAUAAAAUCAAAGUUUUGUUACAAGGCAAUGAUGUUAAAAGUCACUUGAAAGAAGGGAAAUUGAAAAUUAAUAAAUGUAUUUAGUCCAUUUUAUCUUCACUCUAAAUUUGGUCAUAUUAGAGCUUUUUCAAUGUGAAACUUAGAACUUAAAUUUUAUGUAGAAUAUAUUCUGUUUUUUAACAAUUAUUGGAGUUAUGUAUAUUGUUUUCAAAAAAGACCUAGGUUUUUUUCUUUGUUGUAUGUCUUUUAAUUAUAUUAUAUCAUGUUGGAAUGUAUAAUGGUUUAAAGUCUAUUAUUCACAUGUUCCCAUGUUCUUUGGUUUCGUCAUUCAUAUAUUCCCAUACUUCUUUGUUUCCAUAUUCCCUAGUUUCCUUGUUCACAUAUUUCCAUGUUCUUGCAUUCUCCAAGUUUUCUAAGUUCCCUUCUUCACAACUAAUUAGAGAACUUAUUUUUCCUUUUGUGUUAUAUCUAAGAUAUUUUAUAUAAUAUAUAUGUAUAUAUAUAUACUAAAUUUUAUUUUUAAACAAUUAUAUUUAAAAUAAAUUUCUAGUAAAAUUUAGAAGAGUUGAUUUUAAUUAUUUGUAUUUAAAUGCAAAACAUUCAAAAGUUUUUCUUUGCUAGGAGAAAGAGAGGGAGAAAAAUCAAUAAUAUAUAUUUUAAAAUAAGCUACAACUAUGUAGAUAUUGUAUAGUUAUUUAAUGUAGCUUGUAGUUAUCAAGUUGCAAGAAUAAGAUAAAGAUGAUUUUUUAAAUCCACCUUAAAAACCUCUUAUAUACUUAUUGAUACCAAAAGAUUUUUUUUUUUUUUUUUUUUUUUUUUUUUUUUUUUUUUUGUAGAAUAAAAUUGCGAUUAUUAAAAAUAAAUUCUUCAUUCUUCUUUUAUUAAUAUUUUAAAAAUCAUUAGUUUAUUUAUUGAAUUAAAAAAAUUACAAUUAAAUAUUAAAUAAUAAUUUUAUUUAUUUUUAAAAUAUUAACCUUAAGAAUUUUUAUUUUACCACCAAUUGUUUUUUAAUCAUUUAUGUAAAUAUGUGACAAAUAUUUUGUAGUGAAAAAAGAUAUGAAUAGGAAUGACUUAAAAUAAUUUUUUAAACAUAUAUUUGUAUUAGUAUUAUUGCAAUAAGAAAUUAUCAAUAAUUCAUUUAAAUAAUUUGAUGUUUUAUGCUUUGGUAGUUAAAAAUAUUUCAUAAAGAGCUCAAUGUAACUCAAAGCAGGUUUUUUUUUUUUUUUUUUUUUUUUUUUUUUUUUACAUUAGAGAUUAUUUAAAGAUAUUCAAUAUAAGUUCGACCUAUGUUUUGCAAGCUCAAAAAGUAUUUCAUGUAUUCUUAAAGAAUCAUAAAAAAUUGCAAGUCAAAAAAAAUAUUUUUAAAUAAUAUCUAAUUUAAACAUUAAUUAGUCAAGCUUAAGAGUAAAUCAUCAAUCAACAUUUUUUGAAAAAUAGUUAUUAAAGAGUUUUAUUUUUUUUCAGUAACUAAGUUUAAAAUUAGAAAACACAUUUUUUCUUUUUAUAAAAAUUCCAUUAGUUGAAGAGCAAUUUGUUGAAAAUCUUUUUUUAAGCAGAUUAUAUUUUGGAAUUUUUAGAUUUUAAAAAAAUAUUGAUUAAAUUCCAUAUAAUUAAUAAGAUGAUUGUGGUAAUAAUUUUUAUGUUUCACAAGAAAUUUAAAUAACAAGAUUUUACAAGAUUUCCAGAUUGAUUAUUUAUAUGAUAACUAAAAAUAUAUAGAUUUAGAAAAAUCGAUCCACUUAUCUAAUUUUGUGAUUUAAUUAAAAAAGUCCUUCUAAACCUAAGAAUUAUAUAUAUAUAUAUAUAUAUAUAUAUAUAUUAUUAAUUUUACAAGCUAAAAAAUAUAUUAUCAUAUGGUCAAAACUAUGAUUCUAAAAAAAUAUGCUCUCCUAUUUGAAAUAAUAUUUUGAUAUAACCAAUUUCCUUAUGAAAAUUUAUCCUUUUACUUAUUACUCUUUAAUUAAAAGUUUUUAGAUUUUUUUUACACAAUGCACUCUUAUAAAUCUAACUUAUAUAUAUAUAUAUAUAUAUGUAUGUAUGUAUGUAUGUAUGUAUAUUCUAUUUUUUUUCUUCUUAAAAGUAAUAUUAAAGCACUUUUCUUGGCAUAAGAAUUUAUAUCCAACCCUUCUUUAAGAAUUAUUUACAAAUAAUUUUUUUGAAUAUAUGCAUAUUUAUUUUAGAUAUAUCUGUUUGUUAAAGUUUAUUACAUUUAAAGUAAUAUAUUUCUUUAAAUUGUUUUGUUAAUUUUAAAAAAUAUAAUUCAUGACUUUGAGAAAUUCUUAUAAUUGUAGAUUUAUUGUAAUAUGAAGACCUUAUUUUUAAAAAUUUGUUAAAUUUUAUAUUAUUGGUACAUACAAGAAUAAUCAUGAGAUAAGUUUGGUAGAAACUUAUACAUACCUAUAAAAAUAUACUUGCUUAAGAAGUUUUUUUUUCUUAUUUUUUUUCUUCUAAUAUAUUAAGUUUGAAGGAAAAAUAAAAUUUUCUAUUAUUAAAUAUGAUUUGAUAGAAGUUAUUCACUCAAUUGUUUUACUGAUGAGAAAUUCUUUAUGAUUAGGAAAAUUCUGAAGUUGCUGAUUUAAACUUUUAUAUCCAUGUUUUUAUUUUAAAUAAUUUUAUUUAUAUUAUAUUAUUCUUAAAAAUAACCUUUGUUAUAUUAGAAAAAUCUUGUAAUAUAUCUAAUAUAUAUAUAUAUAUAUAUUUUUAAUGUACAUAUUUGAACAAAAUUAUAUCAUUAUUGAUAUAUUUUCUUUAGUUGUAGAAAUUAAGAUAUUAGAAAUAUAUAAAAAUAUCUAAAAUUAUUCUUUGCAAUUGCCCUAUAAAUUGGCCCUAGUCAAUAUAGGCCCUAAAAAUAUUAUCACUAAAUUUUGAUUAGUCACUUUUAUGACUGAUGUUGUAAAUAAUAUCAUGGUAUUUUAUUCUAAAAUGUAUUUAUUAUAAUAUAUAAAUCUUAAUACACUAAAUAACUCAUAUUUUAUAAGCUAAUAAAAAUUAAAAAUAAAUAACUUAAAGUAAAGUAAGUCAUCUUUUUUACAUGCUUUGUAAAAUAUAAACACUUAGUUGUGGACUCUUAAAUGUGUAACUAUUGUAGAAAAGUUACCAGUUGGAACUAGAAGUAUCAAUCAAUGAAUGACAUGAUGUAACUACUAUUGUAAAGUUUAUUUAAGCAAUAAAUUUCUAUGGAGUUUGUAGUUGCACUUUGGAGUCUGGCAUUUAACGAAAGCAUUCUAACAUUAUUAAUUUAUUCUAUACUUUAAAAAUUAUUAAAUGUUUAUAAAUAUAGUAAAAUAUGUAAAUUAUAUAGACACAUACAUACACAAAUUAUUUAUGAGAUCUUCAAUUUUUAUCCAAAUUAUUAAUGGAAAGUUGACCAAAAAUAAAUAAAUCCCAACUUAUUCUGAACUCUCUUUCACAGUAAACAAAAUAGAACUUGUCAUCGAAAUUGGCUUGAAGUUGACACACAUUGAUAAUUUUUGAAACCUUCUACCUAUCAAAACAAACCUCAAUAACAAAAUGUUACAAUAUCUCAAUCAGAUUUGGACUAUGUUAAGACAAUGGAACAAAUCCAUGCUCAUCAAAGUAAACAAACAAAGAACACAAACAAUGAGCCAGAGACUACUACGGUACUUGGUCCUAUUCCACAGUAGAAAGGCCUGACCAAUACAGUUUCGCAAGCAUUUAAGAUUUCAUGUGUUCCUUAUGUCCAACUGUGUUAUUCCCUAAGACACAAGCCAAGUUAAAGUCAUCAAGUCUGAAGUCAGUUCCUUAUGAAGAUACCUUCCAUUUGUCAUUGAGUGCAGUAGGCAUCAAUGUAGAUAUCAAAGUUGGUUACAUGGGCAAAGCCUAUGUGUAGGGCUACAUGCUCCCAUGUUCUUCUAAAACGAAAAACAAAAAAACAAAAACAAACAUAAAAAAAAUUAAAACAGAAAAGAAAAGGAAACAGCUACUUGAUGGAUACAAAGAUCCUUCCAGUUUGAGGGUUUAGGGAGUGUGGGUGGGUCUGCCCGUGCACACUCUAAAUUCGGCGAGUGAGCUAUCUACUGAGCACAGAACUGGGUUUUUCUCAAUCUCAUUGAGCUGUAGUGGCAAAGCUGUGGUGAAAGCAUUCCACACAAUGUCUGAGCUGCUUGAUGAAGUGGUGGGAACAAUGAUCAGAGAGGUCUAGUAAGGAUUUGGUUAACUUGGGAUCAAGCCGUUCAUGCUUGUUUACAGAAGCUCCUGGAUGCUACGUAUUGCUCGACGUAUCUCUGUCCCCCAUCGACUCCACCCUUGUUUUCUCAUAACACCAUAUCCUGGUUUUUCAAUCUUGAUUGAGAACCCUCUAGGUAGCGAGUGGAAGUUUUUUCCCAUAUGGUCGAUCAUGUCUGUGAAACUCUCGUUUAUUUUACUUCCGUUUCGGGAAACAUCCUGGACGUCUUGCAACAGAGAAUCCUAAUGUAACACACUGUCCUGUGCAGUUAUUUUCAUUACUUUUGGGAUCCAAUGUUGGAGAAUGUAACAUCAUCCAAGACAUGAACACCACACUAGUGCUGAAAAUAGGAUGCAAAGAUGGGGGCUCAGCUCGAACUGGUGGAGGUACAUGAGCAAGAUAGUUACAUAGUGCAGGUUUCGGUGGGACCAAGAACUAGGGAUCGGCAAUAAAUAAAAUAAAAUAAAAUAAAAUAAAAAUCAAGAAGAAAAAAAUAGUAUCAUCAAUUAAGGCAAAGUCUGACCCGGAAAAGAACCACCCCAAAGAAAAAGCAAAACUAAGCGGCUCCCAGGCCUUUGGCAGGAUGCAGUGUAAAACGUGGUGCGAAUGUUCACUCUCGGUAUUGUCGUAAGAAUAAACAAAAUUACUGUCAAAAAACACAGCACAGCAGAGAUUCUAGCUAACAAAGGCUGUGGCUGAGUGAUCGGUUCUAGAUUGGCUCGCCCAGCUACACCCGGUCCCAUUUGACUUCCGAGGUCUUGUCGCAUAACGCCUAGUCCCCUCUGCGACGCAAAACCAGUAGUAGUAGCCCACCGUCGGUGCCCGCGGCGACAGCUUACUAACGCUCUGUUGUUGUGUUUCCCCGGCACUCUCUCUCUGUCCUUGUUUUCACACCCGCGCCGCGUGAUCAUCACUACAAGCUGCUGCUGCUGCUGCUACUACUACUGCUACUUAUACCAUUGCUACUUCAGCCUGCUCUCUUUCUAUUAACGUGCUCUUGGCUGGGGCUGGGGCUGGGCCUGGCCCUCCCCCCUCCUUCUGCUCCUAUAUAGUCUCCGUGUGCCCUGCUCCCCCAUUACCAUCCCUAUUCCACUCGUCGUGGCUGCCUCCGCCUGCUUCUCUCGAUAUCGCCACAUCAUGCAUAGUUUGUGUCGCUUAUCGGGGUAGAGGCGGAUGUAGAUGGUGAUCGUGGAGGGGACAGACACUGUCUGAACGCGUUCGUUGCAUCGCUAGCUGAAUAGCCAAGGGUUACGGGGGCUAGAUGCGAUAGAUUGUGUGUGUGUGGUUGGAUUGAAUGCUAUACACGUCGCCGUGAUUGAAUCAGCUUGUCAUUGUCUGACUGUUUGAUUGCCUUGCGUGUUUGUUUGCCAGGUGGGGUGUCAAGGCCUGCAAGCUUGUGUGAAUUGGUGUGUGGCAUUGUGGGUUUGAGUUUGAGGCAAGGGUUCUGAGGCGUUGGAUUGUGUUGAGGGUUGGCAACAGCUGCUUGAGUAACUUGAGUUGAUAAUUGCGUGUAUCGUUCAUAGUAGACAACAAUAGGUCAUUUACUUGACUUCUUAGGAAGCGAUGACUGUUGCUAUGCGAAUAAUUAUAAUUGCAGUGGUGGCUUCCUUGUAUAUGCAUUGCGCAGCACUUGAAUAACAGGAAAUCACAUCCAUCCAGCACCCGCAGUCUAACUCUAGGGGACACUGUAGAGCUUCGGUAGAUUCGCCUCACUUCACAGCGCGCCAAUCUUUACAUGCCUGGGAACUCUACUAGGGUACAGCCAAAGUUCCUAGGAAGUACUUGGGGAUCUGAGCCUGUAACAUCUUCCCAACGUGUGUUGGAGAGUUACUGCUUUGUUGCUGGCAACUGCGAUGGAUCGCUCUCAUAUUGCCCGGAUACGCCUAACGUGUUCUGAUGCUGCAAUUUGUACAAUGUGGAUGCGAUCGCCGAAAGACAGCUCCAAGUUACCUGCAGCAAUCCAUUCAUGGAUAAAGUCAUGAGAAAGACACCGAUGUAGUAAUGUAUAGCUCGACUAAAGAUCAUAGCAGUUUACUGCGCAGGUGAAACCGAUUGUUUGCAUAUUGCUAGGUGUGCUGGCAGCCGGAAUCCAUGGAAGAGGGGGGCAGCAGAAACUGCAGUGGGAAGUCUGUCGAAGAUCCGAAGACGCAAAACCUUAUUGUCAAGUGCGGAGGUGUUUAGGUGAAACUCUGCUGCGAGGAAUGCCCCCUGGCCCGAAGGCAUGUACUUCUCCCUCUUCGAAUGGUGUGAGCAUCAAGCUUCGGACCAGGCUUCAUUCCCCUCAGCGCAGUUACAUUUCGAUAUUCACGUCUCCAGUGGCGGCAGCAAGAAAUACAGCCAAUGAAUGCAUUACGGUUGAACUGAACUUCAUAGAUCAUGCAGAAACGUGGAAAUGUUCAUUAUCAAAAGAAAACUACGCAGCGUGUGGUCUUUAUCUUUGUUCACCUACGUGUCCUCCGAGGUAAGUGCAAGGCUUUUGAUGGGCGGAUGCGUACAAGUGAAUUAGUAAGAACAUUGGCACUUACUAGCCAAGUUGACCUUGUUCCUGCAAGUACUAUUUUGGCCCUGCCAUGUUCUUUUUGAUUUAUUGCAUGGAGGCUUAAACCAUUACUUAUUUUAGCAGUUUCGAGGAUUCUGUUGGAAUUGUCAGCUGUUAUUGUAUAUUUGGGAAGGUGCUUUUGGGGACUCUGUUUUCAGAGCCUGAGACGUGGACGUUGAAACGAACAGUUGGUACGACUUCCAACGUCUUUGAAGCUCGUAGUGCCCUUGCUUUUGUGCAUGAUCUUGUAAGUGAAGAACUCUCAUCCAGUUGAGUAUUUUUCUUCAUGUGGUAGAAUUUACAGUGUUUGUGAAGUUGAUGAAAAUCACUAUUGAAUCCUAUACUGGGGCGAAAAAGGUUGGAAGUCAUCAAUCCAUUGACAGCAUGGGUCUGCAGCUACCAAUGGGGUUCGUUUCGCUGGAUGUAUUGUAAUUGGGCAUUCAUUCUUGAGUGGUCCUUUAAAUAGCUUGGAGGUGUUUUCAAUGGUACUAUCCGAACCUGACAUGUUUUCGUUGACGGUACGUUAUAAUUUUAUAAUCUUCUGAAUUUGGUUUUUUAUCCGUUUCACUGUUCGUUGCAGUUUGGCCCUUUUUCGUGUGAUCAAUCUGACUUAAGUAACCUCUUCAGUUUUUAGAUAUUUGAGUAAAUAAACAUCAGCCUUGUUUAGAUCAGCAACUCCAACAGUUCGAAGACAAACUCUUUAUCGGACUUGUAAGAUCAUGAUGUCUGCUAUCUCAUUUCUUGACUGCUUUUAAUUCUGAGGCAGCUAUGGAGCAUCGAUGGCAUCACGUCAAGAAGGACACAACCCUCCCCCCUCCGGUUCGGUUGGGUUGGUCAAUGAUAUUUAUGUUGCCAAGAACUUCAGUGUCUUGAGAGGUUGCAGAAGGACAAGCAGAAUGCUCUUCAUCUUAAUUGGUUCCACUGGACUUGAAUGGCUUUAGAAUUGUUGUUUGGUGCAGUCCCAGGUUUACUUCGUCUGUCCUGACGAAUUGUUUACACACUCGUCAGAAGUUCCAAACGUACAUUGCUCUUUUUAAUAACCUUAUUGUGACAUGUUAUGAACCUCAUUGGAAGACGAGGUGUAUCACAUCCAAUCGACCUUCUCUGCACAGAAAGAGGUGGAGCACAAGUUCACUGCUUCGCAUUCUCACUGUGUGGCUUCAUUGAACUUGCUGAACUCUGUCCCAUCGCAAGUUGUAGGACUCUGUUUUCUUGUAGGUCUUAUCGGUAGGCCGGAUGUUGAAGGUGAUGAAUGCUGCAGUGCGAAUUCUUCAAAUGCAGCUCAAACUCCUCUUACGAUCAAAGGUGCCAACUCUGAUCACUCUUAGUUAGUACUCAACGUCUUCAUUACAAUGAUCGGUUGAGUUUUCGAAGACUUAACUUUAACAGCAUAAAGAAGAUGAUAAAAUGGGCUUUGCGAGCUAGAAGGAUUCUUUGUUCUCAUAUUCGAACCUAUCCGAAUCGAAGGUCUCUUCUUGACGAGACCCCAGACAAGAAUAAGUUGACACUUCUCCAACUUCAACUGUCGGAAGUUCAACACCGUUGCGGCUGCUUUCCUCGGGCUUCCCCUCUUCGGGAAUCUCAAGUACCAUGACAGUCUCAUUCAGGCUUCACAUCAUGGUAGCUUGACUUGAUACCCCUAUACACUGGAAGUCUGAAGAAGUAGCCGUAGGACAAAACAGGGCAAAUUAAAGGCUCGCUGUUGAAGUGUAGUGCAGUCUUCGUUGACUGAGUCCUUUCAUUCAAACUAUGCGUGGAGCUGGAAUGAAGCAGUUGAAAUCGGUGAUCACUCUGUGUCAUUGAGGGUGUAAUAAAGAGUUCCUAGGGGCAAAAACCCUGAACGUUGUGAGACGAACUUCGUAGUGGGAGUGCAUGAUAUUUUUUUUAGUUGUGCAACAGCCGUUGCACUGAUGACUUGAAAUUUUCCACAUGGAGUCAUUUUGUACUAGGGUUAGUCGUUGUCAUAAGAGGCUGAAUUAUUUUGUCUAUUUUUGCUUAAAUAGGUAGUUUCUUCUAUGUGAACUUGGUUAUGUGAUGUUCCUUAGAGUAUGUACCUUUGUUAAAACCUUGAUCGUAUUAAACUUCGAAAUUCUGAUGAGAAGUAGAAUAUUUUCAGCUGAAUGUCUUGUGGCUCCACACAUGUACCUGAAAUUUAACUGAAUUGGUACUUCUGUAUUAUGAAGCAUUGAGUGCCACGAUAGUUGCGUGGGUCUGUUUAUUGGAAGAUCCUUCCUUUCAUGUUUUGAGUUUAGAUGGUAUGGACAAGUUUUAUUAUGAUGUAUUUGGAGUAUUCUGAAGCGACAAGGGCAUCACUCAUGUAUUGCUUCGUUAAGAUCGUCGAUCUUACUAGAUGAGUCUUCGUCAGUCGGACCUGUGUUUGUAGCUUUUCAAUGGGUAGGAGGGAUCAGAUGCUCAAGUGAGAAGACGCCUUACGAUAGUACUGCAUCAAAUCCAGCGACUGUUUCCUUUGUCCACUUGUUUGGUAUGUUAUAACAGUGUCUGUUUUUAAGAAUCGUCGUUAAUCAACUUCUGAUUGUGCGGAACAUCCUCAUAACAUUGAAGAAGAUUAGGUGGGUCUGCUGUUACAAUUUCUUGUACAGCGUCAACAUGUGUAUUUGAAAGAUGUGAUGCCAAAUGCACUCGCUGCUGGAAAGUGAUUCUUAAAUGUGUGUUGAAUGUAAUAGGUAUACACCAGAAGCUUUGCGGCUUCCACUUCCAAUAGUUGUUAGGUUCUGACCACCCCAGCUUCCUUCUCGACACUGGUCAUCAUGAUAUAUGUGUUCAAAAUAUUAAAAAUAAUGCUAGCUCCAGAAAAGUGUACUUGCAUGCUCGUGCCGUCAAGCCCAGGAAAUUGUUAAAAAUUGGUUGGGCUUUAGUGAGUUUUGUAAGCACAACUUGGCAUGAAUUCUGCUCUCUCGUCUAGUCAGCUGCCAAGUCUGUCGGCUCAAAUAUCAUGCUGCAAACAUUCUUCAUGUUUCUGACUGGCUGCAGAUCUCGUGUUUUGUGAACCAAGAUGCACAAGAAAUUAAAAUAUUCACAUGACGGUUCCGCGAUCAAGCAUUUUGUGGUUAAAUCCGAAGCAAUCCAUGUCUGGCUGCAAGGGAUUUUUUCUCUGUUUGAAUGUCUUGUCGUGUUCUUCUGUCUGGCAUAGGAAUACCUCUGGUACAAGAGAGCUGAUCGAACCCUUAAUAGAGGGCCAACAACAAAUUUGCAGCGCCGAUCAGGAGCCUUUUCACAGACGCACUGACUACCUCUGCCCAUUGGAUGGCCCGAUCAAUUAGACUGCAGUAUUGAAGCUCAAAAGCCGCUUAGUCUGGACGUACCACCCGUUAUGCACAGAAUUUGAAUGUCUGUAGCUUUAAUUUAAGUGCCUAGUGUUGUACAUUAUAUAGAUGAUUCCUUGAGCAUUGAAACAGUUCCGCUUGAUCUGACGCGAAAGGAAGAAUCAAUUCCCAAUUGUUGUUACUGUCAUAGUGAGAACGAUGUGCUAGGCAGCCUGAGGAAGAGAUACUCAAGUUAAGUCGGGCACUUUCAAGGUAUUACAGAAUACAACCUGAAGAAGAGCGGCUCAUGAGAAGUUUAUGUCUCAGUAGCUGCCAUUACUACAGUUGCAAGCCUUGAUAAUGCUAACUAGUCUAUCCUGAUGCGAGCUGUAGACAUCAAAAAAAAAACAAACAAACAAACAAACAAAACAAAACAAAACAAAACAAAAAAACAAAACAAAAAACAAAAAAGAAAACAUUGUACACUUCACAAUUAAAUUCAGAUUCUUCAUGAUGCACCAGCAAAAGCUAAAAUCAACCAAAAUUAGAAGAAAAUUAUAUGCUGGGUGUUCGCAAAGGCCCGUCAGACUGUAAAUAGCAAAUUUGAAGCGUUGUACAAGUGGUGACUCAGAGUAUAGCCUAGGUCUAAAACCAGUGGUUUCAAAGGUGCCGCAGCAUGGCUCUUAGCCCUCUGACUUUUGAGACUGAAGCCAUCAAAUCCAGCCGUGUAACUCAGCAUAAUUCAAACACUACUUUUAAGUUGCAAAAUGCCUCAUACUCUUUUCUACGUAAACAAAUCAAAUAAGAUCAUCCUUAGUCUACAUCAGAGAGUUACGUUGUUUCUACUUCAGCAGAAGAGAGAAAGAAGGGAGAUAAAAGGUUUCAGAUCAAAGUUUUCCUUGCUAUCUUUCAAGUACUCGAAACUCAGCCAUGCCUUCACGCCUGGAUGGGGAAUACCACACACAAAGCUUCGAAGCACCACUGGCUUCAAGAGGGUAAUCAAGGCCACAUAUAAUCUCUUGUACAUACGGUUGCUGAUUAAGAUUCAAAGGAUUAAAAGACACACGAGAAUGAACGCGUGCACGUAGGGGCCCGAUCACCUGUGCCACGGAAGAAGGUUCGGGUCAGUUAAUUAGUCAAGUUUGAAUAAUUUCUCUGUAGCUCUGUUCAGACAAAGCGCUUUUUGAACAGUUUUGGUCAACUUCCUCAAAUCUGAACAAUCAGAAGCCGGAGUCGGAACUUGUGACCCUUCAAUAUCCUUUAGAAACUAUCCAUAUAUGGCUUUUCUAGAUUCAAGAAAAGCUGCGGCAGACUUCAAUAAAUUUAACUGCAACCACUCUCAUAGCAAACGAAGUACUGCUGGUUCUUGUCGUAUUACACAAGGCACAUGGGGAGAAUAAAUGACUAAGGCUGUGCUUUUCAACGUACAAGGACAUAAUCAUUAAAGUAAACCCUCUGACCAGCAGCACAAAGAGUACCUGCUGUUGAAGUUCCAAAGCCAGAGUAGGGUGCCCACGCUCGUCACCAAUGUCUCCAGACUCUCCAUUCGAAGAUGGACUCACGUCUUGCAUCUUAUGCAACUUCAAUGCAGAAACUGCCCCUAUGUCAAGCCGUAUACCCAUCUUUGUGAAGUCCCAAAAAUUUCUUUUAAAUCGACCAAACUGUGCGUUUAAGCCUACUGAUGCAAACAGGUCUGCAGAGUGGCGGCGUCCUAUCGGUGGGGAAUUAUCGGCACCAGUAGGAUCUAAAGAUUGAGUUAUACCAUACAAUGGAUCCAACCUUGAACUUAAAAGUCCUCCUGAAUGAACAACACGCUGUAAUUCAGUACAAAACUUAUACAAGGUAAAAAAAACAUUGGAUCAUCAAUGGCAAUUCAUAAUUCGAAAGUUAUUUUGAGCAUAACCAAAUUGUUAGAUGAAAUGUUUGAUUUUGCGAGGAAGUACGUUCUUAUAUGACACCCGAUACUCGUCAGUCCUUAACAAUCUCAUACGUUCAAUUGUCGACUUUAGAAUACAAUUGAAAUGUAAAUCACAAUUAAAAGAACACAAGCCAUAAUAUAUCUACGCACCAAGACAUAAGCAUCCAUUUAUGUCUGACCAGAACAAUAUGAUUCUCAAGAUCAUAUACUUACCCAGAACACCUGAAAGGGAAAUGCAGGGCCGAGCAUCAAAAAGACUGUACGAUUUUUGUGAAAUAAUGCUCUCUAGAUCAGCUUUCCAGAGGUUCAAGGACUUCUCCACCGAUGCAGCAGCUUGGAGGCGUAAUCCUGGGAGAGCUUUUACUGGAGGUUCUCCAGCAUUUACUUCCGGUCGGGUGCCACCGCACUCAAGAGGAGAUCCAGCACUAUGAUGAACGCCAAGCCGGUACCGAAAGCCCCCUGGAGCCCCCAGCGAGGCAAAAUCAAACGAAACCGUGUGCGGCACAUCCCAGUAGCGUGAUUCACGAUCGACAUAGCGCUCGUGGUAAGCUGCUUCCGCAACAAUUUUUUGUUGAUCCAACUGCAAAAGAGAGCAAUGCAGUGGGAACAUACGACAAAAAUUGAAGUCUUACGUGUGUUAUAACAACAAAGAAAGUAAUAUUGAACAACUUCUUGCUACUCUAGGUGGACAAAAAACAAUUCACACAACAUGAGUAGGUGUAUAGACCUUGUGGCGCAACGAAACGCGACCCCUCCAGGGAGGUCGAGUCUGUUCUCCAGUAGAUUGUUGAUCAGCAAACGCUUGACAAGAAAGACUAUCCAACUCUGAGGUGGUACUGAGGGUGGUUCUCGAUCCCAGCUGGAGCCUUGACCGAAAGCAAAGGGCGUACAAAGAGUUGUCCAAAAAGCGAUGUGCACUUUCCACAAGAUUUCUGGAGGUAUGCUGCGCUGCUGAAUCGCUACCUGUACGACUACUACUACUACUACUACUUUCGCCAGUGGAGCACUUUCUCCUAAACAGUCGCUGUGGCCGAACCCGACCUGUUAAUGUAGCCCACCUGCAUAAUCUCACGAUAAAUUAAUACAAGUUGAGGACAUGUGCAUCUGAACACAGGCAUGACAACAUCAUUUUAAAAACUGAAACAAGCUCAUUGGCUUCAUAUUUGUGGGAGUCGCCUGUAUCACACACUUUAAAAGAUAACGACGCCAAUUCUCAGUGGAGAGUAACAAGAACAGCAGCAUGUGCAGUAAAGUAUACUACUAAUGUUAAGGAUUUCCUUCUUGGCCAACAAAAUUUAGCAUUGGUCAAGGCAAUCAACACUAACUGUCCUGAAAGCAGCCUGUGUGCAGGUCACAUGCAUAUUCUAAUCCGAAUGUAGGAAAGACGUUUUCAUUGAACUUGUAAACAGAGAGUAGAGACAGAAGCUUAGCUAGUUUACAAGUAUCAAUGAAUAUUGUCACAACUUUCAUGUAAGAACAGGCAAUGCCCUGAUUCUCCAUGCAACUGGAGCUGUUCCCAGAAAUGAAAUCACUCGAUUGAAAGGCAAAAAAUUGCAUGGCGCCCAGAAGCAUAGGCUCACCAGUUUUCACCUCCAGCGCUCCCCAGCACACGAUCAAGAACUAAGCCACCCUUGUUGUCCGCAUCCACGACAUAAGAGGGUGUGCAAGGAAUACCUAGAAAUCGCUGCAACAUGAGCAGCUGCUGAGACCUUGAGAGGCGAGUUCCGGUCACAAUUCCUAAGGGCGGAGGCUCCGCAGGCAGCCCGUGUGAUAUUCCAUCAAUUGAUCUUGACGAACUUACUGACUCAUUCCAAAAUUGCGAUGAGAGUACUGGCUUCAUUUUCAACCUAGUCGGCAGUAACUCUCCUUCUCGCAAUUUAAAGGCAGAGGUGGCACAUUACUUGGAUAAUUACGGUGCCUGCCAACAGAUUGUAAUUCUAGAAUUCACCAAUUCCGCCUCGUAAAACCUAAUUGUUAAUGAUUGCCAAUGAAGUGCGGAUAUGAUAAUCUGCUUGAACAUAAAAAUCCUAGAAACCUACAAAGUGAAUCAAUUUUACGACAAUUCAAGACUGCAGGGUUUCACUGGAAGUCAAGAAACUGAUGCUCGAAAUAACAAAAAUCAAAUAAAAAAUAGGUCGAAAAGAAAUGAUUAAUUGAGAAAAUACGUCCCACAGCGCCUACAUUGACAAGAAAAAAGAGGACCCAAUUGCUAACAAUCUCAACUACACCACCAGUUGAGACCCGUCGUCACCCAAAAGAGCGGCGGCUUCAAAACCAGUCCCCGGAGUCUCCAUUUCACUAACACAAUACUGACCAGAUUUUGAGGGAUAAUCAGCAGCACAUAAAUGGCCCUCGCCGAUGAGUUUCCUUAGCAAUGUGAUUGCUCAUGACAAGAGGCAGACGUGCGAUGUGGGUUGCGGUCCCACCAUUCCAAAAUCCGACCUUCUUCUAUCAUUCUUUGCAGUAUACUCAUCCACGAACCAAUGAUAAACGGAAGGUAUUCGUCAUAUGUUUCUUGAGGCUUCGCGGUAGAGCGCCUUCUCGAUCAGAUUUUCAUCCAUGUUUUCGGAUAUGGCUGCUACCGAGCCUGCUCGCCUAUCGAGCCAUGCCCUCCUUGGUUCAAAGAGAUCAUCAAUUUUUUGAGAUUUCCUUCCUGGGCGACUGCCAAGGCUGGGGAUGCGGUUGUAUUCUGUGGGUUGGUUUUGCGAGAGAGCCGAUUCUGAAGUUUGUGACACGAAAUUUUUCAUAUUAUGCUAAAAGUUGGAAGAAUUUCACGGAAAGAAGUAUGUGCUUAGAUUCCCAUCAGAAGGAAGUGAUUGUUUGAGAGGUUUCAUUUCUUUAGUUGCCGCUACUUAAUGAGAAGUUCGGAGGAUGCAAGAGGAAGCCUGGUGGGCUUAUUUGUAGAGAUGCAUUAGAGAUGCUCAGUUUAGAAUGAGCUCUGGAAGAAGUUUUUGGGAUGAUUUUCGAAAUUGAAUUCUUUGGAAGCUUGAGCAGUUUCAAUGAAACCAAUACGAAUUGAUGAGAAAGUAAUUAUUUGGAGUGAUAGGAAAUAGGAUUUUCUGUGAUGGCCACAGGGAAAAUGGAGAUGGUGGCGACUGCUAGCUACGCUCCAGUUUCAACUUUCGCGCAGUUCUUUUCGCUUGAGAGCUUCAAAUUUCCAUAUUCAGCUACCGUUGUUGCUAAAAGCCCCUCAUCCAGGAAAUUUUGCACCCACGCGUUAAGACACAAAUCCAGGGGUUUAGGGUUUCAGGGGAGGAACGCGAGUUGUGAAUUUGUAGGAGCAGAGUUCAAUUCUGAAUUAUUGAGCUCUCAUUGGUCAAACAGAUAUAUUUCCUGUAAUUCCUCAAUCACGAGAAUUGCUGCAUUGCGACAAGGUCACUUUGCGGAGCCGAUUGUGACAGUAGGGGAAGUAGAGAAACAUGAAAAGCAGCUGACGGAGGAGGAAGCUGUGACCGAGUAUCUCGAGUCCGUCGGAAUUGAUCCGAGUAGCUUCGACGAACUCUAUCUGCAGCUUCAGCUUCCUGCUUCUUUGGAUAUUGUGCGUGAGCGGGUCAUGUUUCUGCAGAAGAUUGGACUCACGGUGGAGGACAUAAAUGAUUAUCCUAUCAUGUUGGGAUACAGUGUGAAGAGAAACUUCAUCCCUGUGCUCACUUAUCUUGAAUCCCUGGGGGUGACGUCGAAUUCACUUCCGAUUCUCGUGCGUAAGUAUCCGCAAAUUCUUCACACUAGUGUAGUAAUCGACUUGCAACCGCAUGUCGAGUACCUGGAAGGGUUGGGCAUACAGCGAGCUGACAUAGGUAGCGUCCUCACGCAUUAUCCUGAAAUUUUUGGGUUCAAAAUUGAAGGAACUAUAAGCACGUCAACUGCGUACCUUGUAAUGCUUGGCGUGAACCCUCGAAAAAUGGGCUCUAUUUUGACAGAAAUGCCCCAGAUUUUAGGUAUGCGUGUUGGCAAUAAUAUCAAAAGGAAAGUAGACUUUCUUAAGAGGUUUGGACUCACUAGCUCCGACAUUGCAAAGAUGAUUGAAACUCGUCCGCAGUUUUUAGGGCUAUCUUUAGAAGAUCAAAUGCAACCUGUUUUGAAUAACCUCGUAGAAAUAGGAGUAACACAGGAUACAGUAGGCCGUGUGAUAAUGCAGUUCCCAGACAUCUUAGGUCUCGACGUGAAACUGAAACUGGCUGAGAGACUGACAUGGCUAACCUCGGAAGUAGGAAUAAGUGCGGAUUCCUUGGGAGAAGUCAUUGCCAAGCUUCCUCAAAUUCUCAUCAUCAACACGACCAAGGCCAACGAGAGAGUUGAAUUUUUGAGACAGGCCGGAUUCUCAUCUGACGUUGGCUCAAUGGUGACAAACUGUCCGCAACUGCUUGCAGCUAGCAUUGAUAAGAGUCUCGAGCCCAAUUUGGCUUAUUUAGUAGGGAAGAUGAGAAGAAAGCUUGAAGAAGUAGUCGAGUUUCCAGCUUACUUGCUGUACAACUUGGAGGAAACUAUUCAACCACGGCAUGAGGAAAUCACCAAGAGGAGCAUGGAAUGCAGCUUGGCCUGGAUGUUGAACUGUACUGAUGAUGUGUUUCAGCAACGGAUAACCUUAGAGUAUGCCGAGCAAAGUACCCAGGACGAGGAACCGGACAUCCCAUACGUCGUUGCACGUCGAGCAAAGCUAACUGAUGAAACCUCAGUGCAACUGCCUGUGGAUAGUUCGGAGGAUGCCAAGAACAAGAAAUCUCCAGGAUGGGAUCAUUGAAGAAGACGAAGAACAAGAGGAAGAAUUACAUCUCUCUUUUGUUGUCACUCGGAGAAUGUGGCUGAUAGACGAUGCCUAGGAUGACUCUGCACCAGUAACUUUUGAAACAGAAUUCUCUUCGAGGUAUUCCAUCUCCACUUGAGGACUUCGUUGUUCAUGGUGUAGCAUCCGGGGAGAAAUUUGAAAGCCCACAGCCAAGAUCCUUCUUUUCCAUUAUAAACUGGUAGUCUGCUACUAUACCUUGGUUAUUGCCUCUAAUUCCUCUUCAGACAUGAUGGUUUCUUUUGCAUUGUAGUUUAGCUGAGCUUUUAUCGUGGGGUUUCAACCAGCUACCAUGGAACUAUGUGUGAUUCUCCCCUUAGGUGGAUAGGGUCUGGAAUAUCACUUAUGCAUUGCUUUUUGUUUAGGUUUAUGACUUGACUCAUGUCGACUUAUUGUUCGAUCUGGUGGUGGACUUCAGUACAUCAAUUUUGCACACGCUCCAUGUGUGUUGUGACCUCUCUAUACAGUUGUGCACUAUUUGAAGAUGUGAAGGAUUGGGUUCUGAAAACUGGUGCAUUGGAUUAUGUCUCUGAAGUUUCGUUUGAAAGAAUUGCUUCUUUGUGUAACUUGGGAAGCUUGUAGUGUGCACAUUUCACCUUUAUGUGCUCCACUUGACAGGAGAUUCUGAACAUUAUGUAAUGCCAGUAGGUCGAUCCGUGUAUGCGUGUUUGGAGUCAUGUGUAUGCUUGUUUGAAGUCAUGUACUAAUUGCAUAAGAAAGUUAUGCUUCUUGUAUUCGAUCGUCAAUUAAUGUCUAAAAUAUUUUCUACAUGAAGUCCAGUUUAGAUUAAACUAUUAGUUUAAAUGAACAUUAUUACCGUUUGAACUUGUGGUAAAUUAUGUGAUCAGGGAUUAAAAAAAAUCCUGUACUCAAAAGGAAUUUACACUUGGCAAACUUAUUAUUUCUUAUGUAAGUCCACUCACUAUAGAGAUUUAAAACAAAACAAAAGAAAUAGAGCUAUUACAUCUUUUUUCUAGUUAUAAAAAUAAAUGUGAAAUUCGGUAGUUUCAAUUUGGUUAAUUUAGAGUUUUUAUUUUAUAAUAAUUAUUUAUAUGCAUAAGAAAAUAAAAAUAAAAUAUUGAUAUUUUUUUAAUCUAUUGAUGUAUACAAUUAUAACUUUUAAUUAUUCAUAUUGUUUAGUUAUAUAGCUAUUUAGAAAUAAAUAUAUACAGUUAAAACAAAACAAAUUUUUUUUUUAGAAUAAUAUUUUAAAAUUCAUUUAAAAAUAAAAAUAAAAUACUUAGGAUAUUAGAUGAAAAGAUAUAUAAGAUAGUAUAAUUAAAUAGAUUUUUUGAAGAUGUUCUUAAAAUAACAUAAGUAAUUAUCUAAAUUAGAUAUAUAUACAUUAUCAUGGACAUGAAUCUCGAAGAAAGAAAAUCCUCAAUACAUUCUUGUAUCACUGUAAGGAACUAAAAAAUCAUUUAAAGAUGAUAUAAUAUUGAACUAGAAUGGCUAUUGCCAAAAACAAGAAGAUUAGAGAGUCUUGAAACAAGACUAAGGUCUAAAAAGGCAUUGACAAGAGUGAAAAAGGUUUCAUUCUUGCUUCCAUAUAUACUCUUAACUAGAAGCUAUGUGGCAAUGUCUUAUAGGACCUCCAAAACGUGUUGACUUUGCAAGACACGUAUCUUAACUUGCAAGCAAGUUUUUUAUAUGUGCACUAUAUAGUUAGCUUAUUCUACAAGCUAUUCAUACAUGAUUAACUUGUAGACAAAGUUUUUAACCUAUCAAUCAACUAUAAAUACAUAUAAAGUCAAAGUAGUAUUUAUAAAGCUUCUAAGAAGCUUUUCUAAAAGGUAUUAUAAAAUUAACCUACUUUUACUUACUUCUAUUUAAUUAUAUAAGUAUUUAUUAGAGUAUCUAUAUAUAUUCGUGACAUUAUCUUUCCUUCUAGGGACGAGUUCCAGGAGGAGCGGUCUUCAUAUGUUGAAAAAAACUAAGAUUCGGCAAAUUAUAUUUGCCACAUACUCUGAUCUUUGUUCCCUUUGAAGAUAGUUGAGAGGUCCUCUUAACCAUCGAUAGUAUCCCAUACCAAGGCAAAAAUACCACCCUAUUAUUUGGUCAUUAUUGAGGCCUUCAUAACUUCUUUCAAAUAAAACAUUUGAAACACCGUCAAGAAUUAUUCCUACCUCUAAUAAAAUCACCAAACAUUGAGAGUUUCUUCCAAGGUUGUGAUAUGAAACACGUUAUAUAUCGCCAUCUAUUUGAGGAAGGACAUGUCAUUCUUGAAUUUCUUCAUCUCGAUUUCAUCAUCUUCAAGAUUGUGACAAUUGUAAUGUCUGAUUUAAUAAGUCCACCAAUGAAGACUCUUCAGUUGAAUCUGCUGGUUCUUGGUUCUCCAUCUCUUUAAAGUCACAAAUAUAUAGAAACUACUAAGAAGGAAAGAAAGUAGAGUAUUAUCUUCCUUUGAUCUUAUUUCAUUUAUAGCAAAGAUUUGUUAUUCUUUAUCUUGAUUUUGAUGGAUGUCAUCGAUGAAAAGCUUCAAUUCUCUUUGUUGUAUUUGUAAGAUUCUUUGUUGGCUCCUAUGUGCAUUCACUAAUAUCAUAUCCAUAUCAAUAAACAAGAUAUUCCAACCUAUUUUGGUGUCGCCUUAAAUCUAAGACUUCUUCCACCUCGAACUUUUGAUUAUUAUCCACUUCUAUAGGAAGAACUGGCAUUUGUUUUUUUUCCAAGAUAUUUACUAUCUUAUAUGGCUCAAAAAGAGACAUGUGAAAUAUAGAGUGAAUCUUCAUAGAUUUCAAUAGAUAUAAUCGAUAAGUAACAGGAUUGACUUAUUUACUAAUAAGAAAAUACUCAAGCGUACAAUAAUUCAACAUAUCACAAGGACAAAUAGUCUUAACAUUGCGACAAAGUAAUCAUAUCUUAUCACUUACGUUGAAUUGUGGUCAUUCCUUGCAAUAGGCAUCUGCAUUAAUUUUUUGUCAUUCUUGAGCUCCUUUCAACUGUGCCUUUAUUGUUACAUGUGGCUCUAAUAAAUAAUUUUUCAAAUCUACUGGCUUAAGAUUAUCAACUUUUGAAAAGUCAAAAAUAUCAAGUUGUGGAUGAUAACCAUGAUUGGCAAAGAAACGUAUUUUUUGAGUAGAAGAAUGUACCAAAUUAUUAUAUGCAAACUUUACUAAUGAUAAAAGAAUUAUCCAAUCAUCUUGAUGACAGUUGAUAGUUCACUUCAAGUAUUGCUAUAAAUCUUGAUUUACCUAUUUUGUUUGCCUAUCAAUUUGAAGAUGAAAAGCCGAAGAGAGCUUUAUAUCCACCUUUAAAAUCUUGAAAAGGAUUCUCCAAAAUCUUAAUAUAAUUGAAUCCCCCCAUCUAAUAUAAUAUCUUUAGGUAAUCUGUGAUAGCGAUAAAUAUUGUUAAAAAAAAACUUAGCUAUUUUUUUUUUACCUAUGAUAAAUUUUGUAUAUAGUACAAAAUGUGCCAUUUUGGUAAAAUGAUCUACUACCACAAAUAUAGAAUCAUACAAACUUGAGACUGGAAGAUCCAUGAAAAAAUCCAUAGAAAAAAAAGACUAUAGUUGCUUUAGAAUAGGUAAUAGCUGAAGUAGUCUAUAAGGUUGAUAGCAAGGAGUUUUUGAUCUUGAACAAAUAUCAUAUGAUUGUACAAAGUCUUUGACUGCCUUCUAUAUUUGAAGCCACCAAAAAUCUCUCAAUAUUAGCUUCUAAAUCUUAUUGUAUUCAAAAUAUUUGGUUGCUAGAAAGUUAUGAUGAGUUUGAAGCACACGUAAACAUGCCUCAUCUUCUAGAAUAUAUAAUCGUCCCUCAAAAUAGAAUAGAUUGUUCUUCAACUCAAACUUGGAAAUAUCAUAAGACUUAAAAGAAUUAUUCUUCAUAUCAUGAAUAAGAGGAUUAGAAGACAUAUUUGAUAAAAUUUGCUUAACAAAUGUUGAAUCAAUAGUCAAUGUUGAUUUUAUUGCUUAAAGGUGAAAAUAUUUCAACUUCAAGAGAAUUAUUCUUUAUUGAUCAAAAGAUACAUCUCUUUCUUUUGGUAGAAGAUAAGAAUGUCUAAAAAGGGCAUCCAACAAACCUUGUUGUUUUUUGAGUCAAUAAGUGAUUUUGAAAUUAAAUCUUGAUAAGGACAUGCUUCAAUAAACUUGGUUACAAUUUAAAAUACAUAUUGACAUGAAAUACUCAAGGUUCUUGUGAUUUAUAUACACGAUGAUUGGAGUCAAGGUGCCUUUUAAAUAAUGAUGCCAUUCUUGAAAUAAAUCCACAAUUGUAAGGAAUUUAUUUUUAUAGAUUUCAAAAUUAAUCUUGACUGCUGAAAAUUUUCAAGAAUAAAAAGCUAUUGAAUGGAGUUUUCCAUCUACUCCCAUUUGUGAUAAUACUACACCGAAGACAAAGUUUGAUGUAUCUGUUUUGAUAAAAAAAAAUACCUUAGAAAAAUCAAUAUGAUAUAAAAUUGGUACAGAAAUAAACUCCUUUUUUAAAGCAUGGAACGAUGCUUUAACUUCUUUACUCCACUUAAAUUUGUCUUAAUAAGUCAAAUGUGUAAGUAGCACUAAAACUUGAGAAAAAUUCUUCAUGAAGAUUUAAUAAUAAUUGUUAGGGACAUAGUCCUUAGAACCUUCUAGAGACAAGUUUCUAGAACCUUCUAGAAGUAAAUCUUUGGAACCUUCUAGAAGCUUCCUAGUUAAUAGAAGUUGCUUGAGAAGCUUCCUAAAUAGGAGUAUAUAUUGGAAUCGAGGCUGAAGAGUUCUUCAGUCUCGACAACACAUCUCUUGGAGCUCUAGCUCACCUCUCUGGUGUUGUUCUUGUAUUCAUCUGAUUAAUCUAGUUCUUGUCAAUUCUUCUUGAAUUUCUUGUUAGAUCUCGAGUCUGUAUUUCUGUGUCUAUGACAGUUUGUUGAGACUGCACUCACCUCAAACAUCAGAGUUAGUUUCUUCUUCAUUAGAGUGCAGUCUACUCCUCUGCUUCGAAGUGUACUAGCAUUUUAGAGGUUGCGGAUUACCCUCCUUUAAAUUGAUACUUCUUUUAUUAUAAUAUUGGAAUCUUAUUCUUCUUAGAGAGAGUGGAUUACUCCUUUUCUUGAAGCUCUUAAGGUAUUUUAGAGGUUGCGGAGUACCCUCAUCUAAACCAAUAUUAUCUUUUUGUAGAGUUAUUUUUGUCCUUCUCUUAGAAUGGCUGGAGGCCAAGACAUUAGUAUGAUGGAAAGUUCGGAGUCCAAGUUGGAUGCUAUCAUGAAUGCCCUCGCUACAUUAUCACAAAGAACUGUAGAGAUUGAAGGAGUCGUGGCAAGGCUUCAUAAUGAUCGAGCAUCUGGGAUGGCACAAUCUAGGUUGCACCAGCCUCAAACUUCUACACUUGGAGAAGCAAUUUUACCUCAGGUUUGACAAGCAUCGCUGGUUCUACAACAUAAGGAGUCCCGAGUUAGCCUUCCGGACAAGUUUGAUGGUACGCAUUCCAAGUUUCGAGGAUUCGUCAAUCAAAUCAGGUUGAUAAUAGUUUUGUAACCCGAACGCUAUCCAAUGGAGGAGUCACAUGUUGGGCUUAUUAGAACCUUACUUACAGGGCAAGCUCUAUCAUGGUUUGUUCCUUUGUUUGAGAAACGAUCAUCCAUACUAAACAUUUUUGAAACCUUUUUGGAGGCAUUUGCGGAAGCAUUUGGUGAACAUGACAAGGUUCGAUGGGCUACAACAAAGAUUUGAUCACUACGACAAGGGAUGUGCUCUACAUCAGUCUAUGCAUCGAACUUCAUGCAAUUAGCAUGCGACAUCAAUUGGGAUGAAGAAGCAUUGAUGAAUCAAUUCUAUUGGAUUUUAAGGGAUGAUGUGAAGGAUUUGCUGUUAAUUCUUCCUGAUCCAUAAAUGCUCAACGAAGCUAUUAGCCAAGCUGUGAAGUGCGAUAAUCGCCUAUUCCAAUGUCACCAAGACCAAUGUUCAAGACAACAUAUGGUUUGCCACGUCCCAACUAUGUCGGCAAGCAGUGUGAAUUCACAUUCAGAGCUAGAAGACAUGCAAAUUGAUACGGUACGUGUCAAAUCUCUUAUCUUAGAAGAAAAAAAGCAGUGUAUGGAGGAAGAUCUAUGCUUGUAUUGCGAUGAAGAAGGUCACAAAGUUGGAAACUGCCUCAAGAAGCAAAAUUGACGUAUUGUCAGGACUAGGGGCGCAUUUGUUCAUGAAAACGAGGAUGCCUAACCACAAUAAGAAUCGUGCAGCUGGACAGUGAAAUAUCGCAAUAACACCUAGGUUCCUUUCUUUCCGCUCAACUUGCCUUUUGCUUUACAAUCGUUUUGCUUAUUGGCCCUCAAAAACUGAGAAUCUUAGCAUUAUUAGAUUCAGGAGUAUCUGCUUGUUUCUUAGACGAAGAAUUUGUGAAGUGUCAUAAGAUCCCUUUAGUACAAAAAUCCAAACCUGUUCACGUUGAGGUCAUAGAUGGACGACCUUUAUUGUCUGGUAGUGUCACCCAUGAAUCAGAAUCUAUAGAAGUGAUGUUUAAGGGCCAUAGUAGUCAUAUUAUUUUUAAUAUUAUUAGAACUCCAUCAAAUCCUGUUAUUCUUGGUCUUUCUUGGUUGGAAAAGCAUAACCCAUCCAUAGAUUGGAGGUUGCGGAAGAUGACCUUUCCCACAAAACCACCCAAGAGCAAGCCUAGUAGAAAACCCCGAAUAGAUAAAUCCUUAUUCAUUGGAGCAAGAGCGUUUAUAAGAUUGUCUAAGGAAGGCACACCGUUUGUCAUUUAUGUGGCUCCAACUACUGGGGAGAAGAUCUCGACCACAAGUAUACCUAAGCAAUAUAAGGAUUUUAAAGACGUGUUUCAAAAGAAGAAUGCCGACAUGCUACCGGAACACCGACCAUAUGAUUGCGCCAUAGACUUACAGGAAGGAGCACAACCGCCUUUUGGCCCAAUCUACAAUCUAUCGCAGACGGAGUUGGCGAAGUUGCGGAAGAACAUCGACGAGAAUCUAGCCAAAAACUUCAUCCGUCAUUCAAAAUUGUCAGCUCGAGCACCCAUCUUAUUUGUGAAGAAGAAAGAUGGCUCAUUGUGGAUGUACAUGGACUAUCAAGGCCUCAACAACGUAACAAAGAAGAAUCGUUAUCUAUUACCUUUGAUUUUUGGUCUCUUAGAACAACUUGGGCGUGCAAGGAUCUUUACAAAAAUUGAUCUAAGGAGAGCUCAAAACCUCGUACGAAUCAAAGAAGGAGAUGAGUAGAAGACAACAUUCCGUACAAGGUAUGGCCAUUUUGAAUAUAAUGUCAUGCCCUUUGGUCUUAUCAAUGCUCCAACGAUCUUUCAACAUAUGAUGAAUGACAUUUUCCAAGAGCACCUUGAUGAUUUUGUUAUCAUCUAUUUGGAUGAUAUUUUGAUAUUCUCCAAAAACGAGGAAGAGCAUGAAAAGCACGUUCGUUUGGUCUUGGAGAAACUACACGAGGGAGGAUUAUAUGCCAAGUUGGAGAAGUAUUUAUUUCACUAAAUAGAGAUGAAGUUUCUGGGGUUCGUUGCGACUACAGAAGGCUUGAAGAUAGACUGUCACGGCCAUAAUCAUGUAAGCUAAUAAUUACAUAUACAAAUAGAUAGAAGUAAAUAAAAGUAGGUAAAAGUAAGUUAAUUCUAUAAUAUUUAUUAUGAAAGCUUUUUAGAAGCUUCUUAGACGCUGCUUUGACUUCAUAGGUGUCUUUAAUUGACUUUUUGGAUUAGAAACGUGGUCAACAAGUUGGCCAUGUGCCACACAUGUUGUUAGCUUGAAGAUCAAGCUAACUAUGUGGCCCACAUGUAGAAAAACUUGCCUUGUAAGUCAAGGCAUGUGUCCUACAAAGUCAACACAUAUUGGAGGUCCUAUAGAAUGUUGCCACGUAGCCCCUAGUUAGAUAGUAUAUAUAGAGACAAGAGUGAAGGCUUCUUCACUCUUGUCAACUCCUUUCUUGCUUCUAGUCUAGUUUCAAGGGUCUCUAGUUUUCUUGUCUUUUGGCAAUAGUCAUUCCAGUUCCUCUUUCAAUAUAUAUACUUGUUUAUAUAUAUUUUGUUAUGUCUCUUUGAGUAAAGGCUCACUUGCUUGAAUUAUUUUUUCAUCGAGUUCUUGUCCUUGACAGAUUGACAAGAGUACACCUACAAUAUCAGAGCUUUGUCUAAUCUUGAUUAAGAGUGGAUUAUCUCUUUUUCUUGAUAAGAUAUAAGCGUAUUAGAAGUUGCGGAUUACCCUCUUCUAAACUGAUAUUGUCCUAAGUAUUUUCUUUGUCCGCAAGUCCUCUCUUCUAUUUGUCUUGAGCGAUAUUAGACAUCUUCUCUCUUCUAAGUGUUAUCAUGGCAGAACUUCUUGAAAUGAAGAGUGCAAUGGCACAAAUGCAAGAGCAAUUGAGGGAGUUAAUGCUUGCAAUGCAUCAACUCAAUUUACCACCACAAGGAGCAACAAGAUUGGCAGGAAGUGAAGAUAUAGAAAUGGUUGAAGCUACUUCAACAUCUGCACCAAUCCAUGUUCUUUCUCCUAUGGUGGAACGCCCUUCAAAUGUUAGAGAACCAAGAAUUGCCCUACCCGAGAAGCUUGAUGGCACCAGAUCCAAGUUUCGAGGAUUUAUCAAUCAAGUGCAACUUGUGAUUGAACUUCAACCCCAAAGCUAUCCAACUCCAAGAUCACAAGUUAGAUUCAUUGGUACGCUUCUUUCAGGUUCGGCACUAUCUUGGUUUUCAUCUUUUCUUGAACGACAAGAUCUAAUAUUGAAUAAUCUAGAGGCUUUUUUGGCGGAGUUUCGAUCCAUGUAUGGAGAACAUGAUGCAAUUCGUGUUGCAACCAAUAAGAUCCAUAUUUUAUGACAAAGCAAUCGAUUAGUAACAUUAUAUGCUUCACAAUUUUGACAACUUGCAAAUGAUAUCAAGUGGGAUGAUGUUGCACUUAUUAGCCAAUUUCUCUACGGAUUACAAUAUGAGGUAAAAAAAUUAAUGCUUAACUUACCUGAUCCUCAAACAUUGAGUCAAGCAAUUGACUUUGCUGUGAAGUGCGACAAUCGCCUUUUUGAAUUUUGAUCUGAGAACCGUACAAGUAGACCUCAACGUUACUAUAAUUCAAUGGCAACACCAACACCUCUUCAACACAUACAUUCGGAAGUAGAGGAUAUGCAAAUUGAUGUAGUACGUUUCAAACCUCUUACUGAGAAAGAAAAGACUCGUCGUCGUCAAGAAGGAUUAUGUUUAUAUUGUGGAGAACCAAAGCACACUGCUCAACAUUGUCCAAAGAAACGAUGCAAUCACAAAAUGAGGAGUAUGGCUCUGAAAGAAGAUAAUAUGUCGGAAAACGAGUUUGUCCAGCUACAAUAGGGACCGUGCGGCUGGAACCUUGCACAACUUUUAGUAAAGGUCCUAUUCUCUCCUCAGAGCCCUCUCCUUGUUUUACAUUAAAUGUUAUUUUAGGACCUAAACAUUACAAAGUCUCUGCCUUGUUAGAUUCAGGAGCCUCAGCGUGUUUUUUAGAUGAAGAACUUACUAAAAGACAUAGCAUAUCUUUAGUAAAGAAAACUAAACCUGUUCAUGUAGAAGUCAUAGAUGGUCGUCCAUUGUCUUCUGGAGAUAUUACUCACGAAACCCUUCCUAUAAAAGUAAUAAUCAAUGGUCAUAAUAGUUUUGUAGUAUUUAAUAUCAUUAGAUCUCCCUCUAAUCCAGUCAUUUUAGGUUUAUCGUGGUUAGAAAAAUACAACCCUCAAAUAGACUGGAUUUCCCGAACUCUUACUUUCUCUAAAAGUAUAACUAACAGUGUAGGUAAGCAAGUAGAGAGUCAUAAGUCCAGUUCAAUUAAACCCGUAUUUAUAGGUGCAAAAGCUUUCUUGCAUGCUGCUAUGAAAGAAUCACCAUACAUUAUUUAUGCUACACCCGUUUUUACUGGUGAAAAGACUUCAAGUGGCAUUCUAAGCCAAUAUCAAGAAUUUCAAGAUGUAUUUGAAAAAAAGAAUGUGGAUACACUCCCGAAACAUCGUCCCUAUGAUUGCUCAAUUGACCUUCAAGAAGGAGCACAACCGCCAUUCGGACCAAUCUAUAGUUUAUCACAAAAUUAGUUGGCUGAACUUAAGGAGUAUAUUGAAGAAAAUCUAGCCAAAAAUUUCAUACGCCAUUCUAAAUCUCCGACAAGAGCUCGAAUUCUAUUUGUGAAGAAAAAAGAUGGAUCAUUGUGGAUGUGUGUUGAUUAUCGAGGACUCAACAAGAUUACCAUCAAGAACAGGUAUCCACUACCUUUAAUAUCCGGACUUUUUGAUCAGCUGAAUCAAGCUAAGAUCUAUACAAAAAUAGAUCUUCGGGGAGCAUACAAUCUAGUACGCAUCAAAGAAGGAGAUGAAUGGAAGACUACGUUUCGAACUAGGUAUAGACAUUUUGAAUACAACGUCAUGCCUUUUGGACUUACAAAUGCACCAGCAGCUUUUCAACAUUUAAUGAAUGAUGUUUUUCGAGAGUUUUUGGACGAUUUUGUGGUAUGUUAUCUAGAUGACAUCUUGAUCUAUUCUAAGAAUCCAAAAGAACAUGAACUUCAUGUUCGUCAUGUGUUACAAAAAUUAAGAGAUGCAUGACUCUAUGCCAAGAUAGAAAAGUGUGUAUUCCACACUACUCAAGUCGAUUUCUUAGGUUACAUCAUUUCAAAUGAUGGACUUAUGAUGGAUCCUAAGAAAGUUCAAACUAUUACAGAUUUGAAGAUCCCCAAAACGGUAAGAGAUUUCCAAUGUUUUUUGGGAUUUGCCAACUACUAUCGGAUCUUCAUCAAAGACUUCUCUCGAGUUGCAGCUCCAUUUACACAUUUGACUUGUAAAGACAAACUCCAAUGGAAUCAAGAAGCGGAAGUUGCUUUUGAAUCUUUGAAGACAACGUUAGUUUCUGCACCAAUCUUGUAUCGUGUUGAUUUUUUCAAAGCAUUCUUUAUAGAAACAGAUGCAUUGGACUUUGCUCUGGGUGCGAUUUUAUUACAAAUGGGAACAAAUGACAAACUUCAUCUAGUAGCCUUUCAUUCAAGAAAAUUCUCAACAGCAGAAAUCAAUUAUGAAAUCCACAACAAAGAACUUCUUACAAUUAUGGAUUCUUUUCAAGAAUGGCAUCAUUAUCUAGAAGGCGCUUCUAGUCCAGUCACCAUGUAUACGGAUCACAAGAACCUCAAAUAUUUUAUGUCAACACGCGUAUUAAAUCGUUGCCAAGCUCGUUGGAGCAUGUCUUUAUCAAGAUUCGAGUUCAUCAUCACUUAUCAGCUAGAAAAACAACAAGGUUUAUCCGAUGCCUUGUCUAAACGUUCUUAUCUUGCACCAAAAGAAGGAGAUGCAGCUUUUGAGCUACAAAGAAUGGUUCUCUUGAAGCCGAAACAAUUUUAUCCUCGAGCAAUAAAAUCAACAUUGACUGUUGAUUUAACUUUCCUUAAGUAAGUCCAGUUCAGUAUGUCUUCAGAUCCUCUUGUUCAUGAUAUCAAGAACAAUUCUUCUAAAUCUCAUGAUCCAUCUAAAUUUGAAUUCAAGAAUAACCUACUCUAUUUCGAAAGAUGCCUAUAUGUUCCAGAAGGAGAAGUACGUUUAUGUGUUCUUCAAGCUUGUCACGACUUCCCAGUAGUAGGACAUUUCGGAUAUAAUAAGACUUUGGAACUGAUAUCUAGGGAUUUUUGGUGGCCUCAAAUGUGGAAGGCAGUUAAAGAUUUUGUACAAUCAUGUGAUAUUUGCUCAAGAUCGAAAACUCUUCGUCAUCGACCUUUUGGACUUCUUCAGCCAUUACCCAUUCCAGAACAACCAUGGUCUUCUGUUUCUAUGGACUUCUUCACGGAUCUUUGAAUCUCAGGUUCUUAUGACUCUAUAUUCGUGAUAGUGGAUCGUUUUACCAAGAUGGCACAUUUUGUACCAUGUAUAAAAUCUAUCACAGGUGAAGAAAUAGCUAAGCUCUUUCUUGACAAUAUCUAUCGCUAUCAUGGAUUACUCAAGGAUAUUAUAUUAGAUAGGAGAACUCAAUUUGUAUCAAGAUUUUGGCAUACUCUUUUCAAGAUUCUUAAAGUGGAUAUAAAACUAUCUUCGGCAUUCCAUCCUCAAACUGAUGGACAAACGGAGCGUGUUAAUUAAGUUUUGGAGCAAUAUUUAAGAUGUAUCAUUAAUUACUAAUAAGAUAAUUGGACAACUCUUUUGCCAUUGGCAGAGUUUGCUUACAAUAACACGGUACAUUCUUCUACAAAACAAACACCUUUCUUUGCUAAUUAUGGUUAUCAUCCACGACUUCAUACUUUUGACUUUUCAAAAGUUGAUAAUCCUACAGCGAAAGAUUUGGCAAUUCAUUUAUCAGAGCUACAUGCAACGAUGAAGGCGCAGUUAAAAGAGGCUCAAGAACAAGAAAAAGUCAAUGCGGAUGACUAUCGAAAGGAACAACCAUCAUUCAUUUUGGGUGAUAAGGUAUGGCUACUUCGUCGCAAUAUCAAGACCACUGGUCCUUGUGACAAGUUGGACUAUCAAAAGCUAGGACCAUUUUCUAUUUUUGCACAAAUCAAUCAAGUUGUAUAUCAUUUACAUCUAUCGAAGUCAAUGAAAAUCCAUCCAGUAUUCUACAUUGUUGUGUUGUAACACGAGUAUACUGUGAAAAUAUAAAGAAAGAGGACUUUUAUUAAUGUUCAGUUACCUCGAAUAUUAGGAGCAACGACCAAUUCCAGUGCAAAUACUGAGAGGCUAGGUUCAGUCACCCCGUUACACUCAGCCGAGGCAUACUGAAAUGCUCCAUUCGAUUCCAAUAACGGGAGUCAGCAGGAAGGAAAAGAACCAAUUCAAAGAUAGGUGAGCCUAGUUCAAAGAGCCAAUUGGAUCCAAUUUCAAGACAUCCAAUCCAAGUCAUAUUACGGGCCUUUUACCCAAUAUGAGACCUGAAUUGGUCGGGCAACCCAAUGCGAUCCAAUUGCGGGAACAUCCAGGUCUUACUACAGGUGUCUUAGCCAAUAUGAGACCUGAAUUGGUCGGGCGACUCAAUGUGGUCCCGAUUACGGGGGUUCGAUUCUGUUUCAGGCUGUCCUGUUCUCUAUGCCGUUUCAUGGAAUGUUGUUUUUGGUAAAAAGAUCUCUUAAAGGUAAAAACGGAGGAGAAAGCUCUGAUGGCAGGAGCCAAUUCCGGAUCCAAGACGGAAGAUUGAAGAAAUUCAGAGAUUAGGGUUUGAAAGAGGGGAGAAUUAGGGUUAAAAGAGAGAAUAGGUUAAAAAAUGAAAGGGGAGAGAAUGAGUUUUUGAAGGGGAGAGAAUAAAGUUUGUGAAGGGUCGAAGAGCUAGCUUCAUGCUCCGAGGCAGGAAAAAAAGAUAGAGAAUUGGGGUUUUUUUUUCUUCAUAGGGUUUCGGAAAGACUGAGGCAAUCGUUGCUGAAGUCAGUGUUGUACUAGUGAAUCAGGAUUUUAAUGAAGUGGGUGUGAUUACUCUUGACUGUUUUAUGAAAUCGAGUUAUGUCUAUGAUGAAGAAUUAAAAGAGUGUCUAUAGGAUUGAAUAUGUGGAGUGAAUGAAAUUUAUUGGAUUAAUCUAACGAGACAGUCAGUGGAUACAAGAUCGUGAGUAUAAGCGGUAUCGAAGAUUAGCAGUUUGGGUUAUUCGAGAUUCUCUGUAACGUCUAGAGACCUAUCGGUUGGGACAAAAAGGACUUCGACAAGCAGUCGAAGGACAUCCGUAUAGAUUUAUAGUAUAUUCUUGCAGUCGUUUAUAUUCCAAUAGUCAAAAACCGAUAGACUGCUUGAAUAUUAGCAAAUCUCCAUACUACCUUCUACAGCCAGACGCUCGGCACGUUCUUGAACAGGAAAGCACGUAAUACGAUAACGUGUCUCUUCUUGAAGCAUACAAGACAGUGGACAUACCAAGAAGAUAACAAGCUCCACCUCCUCCUAUAGAAGUGGACAAUAAUGAAGAGUUUGAAGUAGAAGAAGUCCUAGAUUAAGGCGACGCCAAAAUAAAUUAGAAUAUCUUGUCCAUUGGCACGGAUAUGGUAUUAGUGAACGCACAUGGGAGCCAAUAAAGAAUCUUGCAAUUGCAACAAAGGUGGUGGAGGCUUUUCAUCGACGACAUCCAUCAAAAUCAAGAUGAAAACCUUCUUCAUAAAAGAAACAAUAUCUAGGCAAGAUAACAAUCUACUUUCAAUUCUUGUUCAUAGCUUCAUUGUAGUAGUGACGCUCAGGAGAUGGAGAACCAACAAUCAGCAGAUUCAACUCAAGAGCCUUCAUUUGCUGACCUCCCGGACGAGACAUUACGAUUGUCACAACCUUCAAGAUGACGUAAUUGAGAUGAAGAUCUUCAAGAACGACAUGUUCUUCCUCGAAUAGAUGGCGAGAUAUAACGCGUUUGGUAUCACGAUUUGGGAAGGGACUCUCAAUGUUUGGUGAUUUUGCUAGAGGUAGGAACAACUCCUGAUGGUGUUUCAAAUAUUCUAUUCGAAGGAAGUUACGAAGGCCUCAACAAUGAUCAAAUAACUAGAUGGUCUUCCUGCCCUGGUAUAAGACACUAUCAAUGGUUGAGAGGUCCUAUCAAUCAUCUUCGAAGAGAACAAAGAUCAGAGUAUGUGGCGAAUAUAAUUUGUCACAUCAUAGAUUUUCUCAACAUAUGAUGACCGCUCUUCAUGGAACUCGUCUCUAGAAGGAGGAAUAAUGUCACGGCCACAAUCAUGUAAGCUAAUAAUUACAUAUACAAAUAGGUAGAAGUAAGUAAAAGUAAGUUAAUUCUAUAAUAUUUAAUACAAAAGCUUCUUAGAAGCUUCUUAGACACUGCUUUGACUUCAUAGGUGUCUUUAAUUGACUUUUUGGAUUAGAAACGUGGUCAACAAGUUGGCCAUGUGCCACACAUGUUGUUAGCUUGAAGAUCAAGCUAACUAUGUGGCACACACGUAGAAAAACUUGCCUUGUAAGUCAAGGCAUGUAUCCUACAAAGUCAACACAUAUUGGAGGUCCUAUAGAACGUCGCCACGUAGCCCCUAGUUAGAUAGUAUAUAUAGAGACAAGAGUGAAGGCUUCUUCACUCUUGUCAACUCCUUUCUUGCUUCUAGUCUAGUUUCAAGGGUCUCUAGUUUUCUUGUCUUUUGGCAAUAGCCAUUCCAGUUACUCUUUCAAUAUAUAUACUUGUUUAUAUAUAUUUUGUUACCUCUUUUUGAGUAAAGGCUCACUUGUCUGAAUUAUUUUUUCAUCGAGUUCUUGUCCUUCACAUAGACCCCAAGAAGGUGGAAGCAAUCGUGUCCUAUGAGGUUCCGAAGACGGUUAGAGACAUACAAUGCUUUCUUGGUUUUGCCAACUUCUAUCAGAUCUUCAUCAAGAAUUACUCUCAAGUUGCUGCUCCUCUCACUCGAUUGACAUGCAAGGAUAAGCUGGAAUGGGGACCUCUAGCAGAGAAGGCGUUUCAAGACUUGAAGACCGUAUUUACUACGGCUCCAAUCUUGGUACAUCCAGACUUUACAAAAGCCUUUUAUUUAAAUGUAGAAGGAUGUGAAAGAUUUUGUCUUCUCCUGCGACAUCUGUUCAAGAUCCAAGAAUCCUCGGUAUUGCCCUUAUAGACUCUUACAACCAUUGCCGAUUCCACGUCAACCAUGGUCUUCAAUUUCCAUAGACUUCAUCACAGACCUGCCAUCAUCAAAUUCAUUUGACAACAUCUUUGUCGUGGUAGAUCGGCUUACAAAGAUAGCAUACUUUGUCCCUUGCAAGAAGACAUCAUCCAGUGAAGUCACAGCAAGGCUCUUUCUCGAUAAUGUGUAUCAAUAUCAUGGACUACCAGAUGAUAUCAUAUCAGAUCGAGGAACCUAGUUCGUAUCAAAGUUUUGGAGAUCUCUCUUUGAGAUACUGAAGGUGGAUAUCAAGCUUUCUUCGACUUUUCAUCCUCAAACUGACGGCCAAAUGGAAUGGGUGAAUCAAGUCUUGGAACAGUACUUAUGAUGCAGCAUCAACUAUCAGCAAAACGAUUAGACCACAUAUCUGUCGCUAGCCGAGUUUGCAUAUAACAACACCCUCCAUGCGUCGACUCAAUACACACCAUUCUUUUCCAACUAUGAGUAUCAUCCGAAGCUUGAUUUAUUGAGUCCGUCAACAAAUAACAAUCCAGCAGCUGAAGGAUUUGCGAAAAAACUAUCAAAGCUUCAAAAUACGUUAAAGCUUCAAUUACAAUCCGCUCAAGAAUCCUACAAGGCGUCUGCAGAUAGAUUUCAGAAUCAAGCACCUACUUUGAAAAUUGGAGAUAAAGCAUGGCUUCUUUGAUGGAAUAUCAAGACCAAGUGAUCAUGUGAUAAGUUGGACUAUCAAAGAUUGGGACCAUUUAUCAUCCAGAAGCAAAUCAAUCCAGUGGCGUACCGUCUAGAAUUACCGGCUUCUAUGAAGGUACAUCGAGUCUUUCAUGUUUCUCUGUUGGAGCCUUAUCGAGAGUCAUCUUUUUCUGAAAGAGUGCAAUGUCCGCCAUCUAAUAUUGAGAUUGAAAACCACGAAGAAUAUGAGGUUGAAAAGAUGCUCGAUUCACGGCGAAGGUGGGGCAAGUUGGAGUAUCUUGUUCAUUGAUGCGGCUACGAUAUUAAUGAGCGAACGUGAGAGCCAGCUGAAAAUCUCGCCAAUACGCCACAAAAGGUACAGGAGUUUUAUCAACAACCUCUUCAUAAACCUAAGUCGGUUCGACGAUAGCUUCCUUCUGAAGCUUGCUCACCCAAGAAUAAAAGAAAAGGGGAGAACACCACCAAAAUUCGUAGUUGAUGUAGUUAUUUUUUCCAAGAUAAAAUAGAAUUUUUUCAGUAGCCAUAGUUUGAUCUUCUGAUAUGGAUAGCCAAGAGAUAGAUACUAUGCCAGUCAGAUUAUCUCAACCGACUAGCUCACGAAGGCGACCCCAAGAUGAAGAACCGCCUACACCAUGACGACGACAGAGGAUACCGAGUAACCGAUCACUAGUGAUUGUAUUUGAGUCCGAGCCUACUUACGAUGGUCAGCUAGAAGGCAUGUUUGCAGGACAAUUUCACAAUGAGGACACGGAAGUUCAUGCUUGGUCAGAAGUUGAAGGAGUGGGCCACUAUCGUUGGCUUCAAGGAUCGAUGAACCACUUGCCUCAUGAACAACAGUUGGAGUUCAUAGCAGACGUUAUGCGACAGAUCUUCAUUUUCUUGCGUUGGUACUGAUUAACAAUAAUAUUGCUUCUCACAGACCUCAAAGCUAAAGGAGGGGAUGAUGUUAGGGACAUAGUCCUUAGAACCUUCUAGAGACAAGUUUCUAGAACCUUCUAGAAGCAAGUCUCUGGAACCUUCUAGAAGCUUCUUAGUUGAUAGAAGUUGCUUUAGAAGCUUCCUAAAUAGGAGUAUAUAUUAGAAUCGAGGUUGAAGAGUUCUUCAGUCUCGACAACACAUCUCUUGGAGCUCUAGCUCACCUCUCUGGUGUUGUUCUUGUAUUCAUCUGAUUAAUCUAGUUCUUGCCAGUUCUUCUUGAACUUCUUGUUAGAUCUCGAGUCUGUAUUUCUGUGUCCGUGACAAUAAUUCAUAAAGCUCAAAAAACAUUACACAUCUCUUACUGUUCUUAGAAUCUUUCAAUCCAUGAUAAUUUGGACCUUCUUUGGAUCCAUCAUUAAUUCUUUAUUGGAAAUGAUGUAUCCUCGGAAGUCAACUUGAGUAGUGUGGAAUACACACUUUUUUAACUUUGCAUAUAAUCUUCUAUCUCUAAAUUUUUGUAAUACACAAUAAACAUGAACUUCAUGUUCAUCUAUGUUCUUAGAGUAGAUUAAGGUGUCAUCCAAAUAAGAGAUAAUAAAAUCAUCAAGAAAUCCACAAAAGACAUCAUUCAUUACAUGUUGAAAAGCAGUUGGUACAUUUGUGAGUCCAAAAGACAUGAAAUUAUAUUCAAAAUAUUCAUGCAUGUUUUAAAAUUUAGUUUUCUAUUCAUCUCCUUCUUUAAUAUAUACCAAAUUAUAUGUUUUUUGUAGAUCUAUUUUUAUAUAGAUCUUUGUUUAAUUCAAUUGAUCAAAAAGUCUUAAAAUCAAAGAUAGAAGAUACCUAUUCUUUAUGAUAAUCUUGUUGAGUCUUUGAUAAUCCACAUACAUUCAUAAAGCUCUAUCUUUUUUCUUCACAAAUAAGAUAGGGGUUCCAACUAGAGAUUUAAAAUGAUGUAUGAAAUUCUUAUCCAAAUUUUCAUCAAUGUACUCCUUGAGUACAACCAACUCAUUUAGUGAUAGGCUAUAGAUUGGUCCAAAUGAUGGUUGAGCUCCUUUGUGAUUUUCAAAAAUAUUCUAGAAGAAUAUGUGCAUUCUUUUUUUCAAAAACGUCUUGAAAAUCUUCAUAUUAACUAGGAAUAUCACUUGAUAUCUUAUCACCAUGAAAAAUGAGCAUGACAUAUAAAGCAAAAGAUAACCCUUCUUUUGUAGCAUGCACAAAAGCUCUCGUACCACCUAGUAAGGAUUUGCAUGUACUAGACUUAUAUAUUUUUAAUUGACUAAUGGAAUUUUGGAUUAAAUUAUCAAAAAAAUUAAAGUUACAAAAAAUCCAAUCCAUCUCAAGAUUAUACUUUUCUAACUAAGAUAAUUCUAAAAUAAUCAGAUUGGACAAAGAUCUUAUUAUAUUAAAUAAUACUAUAUUAUUAUGAUCUUUAAUUACUACAUCUAAAAGAAAAAUCUCAUGCAUAACAUCUCUAAAAGAUAGCAAACAACCAUUUAUAACUUCUACUUAUACAUGUUUAGUUUUUUUGACUAACAAUAUUUCUUAUUUUUUGAUAAAAUCUUUGUUUAUAAAACAUGUUGGGGCUCUUGAAUCUAACAAAGUUAAGACUUUGUAAUUUUUUAGUUCUAAAUAAACUUCUAACAUAAAAUAAGGGGAGGGAUUUGAGGAGAGAAUAGGACCUUUAUUAGAAAUUAUGCAAGAUUUUGAUCACACAAUUUCUAUUGUAGUUGAAAAAAUUUAUUUUCCAAUACCUCGUUUCUUUUGGCAACCAUACUUUUCAUUUUGUGAUUGCAUUGUUUCUUUGGACAAUGUUGAGUAGUGUAUUUAACUCCUCUAUAAUAUAAGCAUAAGCCUUCUUGACGUCAUUAAGUCUUUUCCUGCUCUAAGAUAGAUUUAAAACGUAUCGUAUCAAUUUGUAUUGGUUCUAGCCUCAAUAAAUAAGUUUUUGAAAACUUAAGAGUUAUCAUCAUUAUUUGAUUUAUUCUUCUCUAGCCAAGUCUUUAUUCUUGACAUCUUUCAAAUAAUUGAUUGUUGUAUGCAAUGGCUUGAGUGAUAAAUUGUUCUAAAGUUUAUACCUUUGAUAUUAUCAAUAACAAAUCUUUGAAAUUAUUCUUCAACCCAUAUCAAAAUUCAUUGAUAAGGUCUUGGUCAUUCCAAUCCAUGUCACAAGCUAGAUUUUUGAAUUCAGCAUCAUAUAUGGUAGUUGAUUGUGAUCCUUGCCAUAAAGAUAAGAGCUUGAUCUUUGCUAUUCUUUUUUAAUUACUUUCUCCAAAUAUGGUCGUAAAUACUUCUAAGAAUGAAUUUAAAUCACAAAGGAGUAACAAAUCUUUUUUCAUUAAAAAAGAAAACUAAGAGAGAUCACUUCUUGAUAGAAGUGUGCUUUUGAAUUUGACUUGAAUAAAUCCAUCUGGAUAUUAGAAAAGAUAUAAACUUAGAUAGAUCUUGAUUUGUUGCAAAAAUCCUUGAAAUUUUGAUCUUGUUCCAUAAAAAUUUUCAAGCAUAGUAAUCCUUGUCUUCGUCAUACUUAUAAAAGCAAAACUCCCUGGAUUUGGUUACAAGGUUGAUCUACUUGCUUCUUUCAAUUGCACAACUUACUGCUUCAGACUCUGAACUUCUUUCAUAGGCGUAGGUAUAGUACCUCCAUGAUUUAUAUUAGAAAUAUAUAAGAUUUCUACUCUUAUAGUAUUAACAAGCUCAUAAAGAUUUUUAAUAGUUGUAAAUCUAUUCUCAGUUCCACUGACAAUAGCAUCCAUAAACUUUUCUUCCAUAGACAAGUCAAACAAAUUCAAAAACAUUUAAUUAAAAGAGGGUAAUUUACAACCUAUAACACCAAAUGAAAAUUUCUACAAAGAAAGAUAAUCCAUUAUUUUUGAAGAAAAGAUUAGUAUUAGUAAAUAAGAUUUUUUAUUUUUUAAAGGUGGGCAAUCCACAACCUUCAAAAUACAACAAUAGAAGUGGGAUAAUUCACCCACUUCUAAAACAAGAUAAAAACAAUAAGUUAGAACUCUUAUCAAACUAUCAAGGAUAUGAAUCUUGAAGAAAGAAAAUCUUGAAUACACUCUUAUGUCACUGAAAUGAACUAAAAAAUCACUCAAAAAUGAUAUAAUAUUGAACUAGAAUGGCUAUUGCCAAAAAAAAGAAGAUUAAAAAGACUUAAAACAAGACUAAAGACUAAAAAGGCAUUGACAAGAGUGAAAAAGGCUUCAUUCUUGCCUCCUAUAUACUCUUAACUAGGAGCUACGUGGCAAUAUCUUAUAAGACCUCUAAAAAGUGUUGACUUUGCAAGACACGUAUCUUAACUUGUAAGGCAAGUUUUCUAUAUGUGUGCUACAUAAUUAGCUUCUUUCGCAAGCUAUCAAUACGUGAUUAACUUGUUGAUCAAGUUUCUAAUCUAUCAAUCAACUACAAAUACAUAUGAAGUCAAAGUAGCAUCUAUAAAGCUUCUAAAAAGCUUUUCUAAAAAGUAUUAUGAAAUUAACUUACUUUUACUUACUUCUAUUUAAUCAUUUAGAUAUUUACUAGAAUAUCUAUGUAUAUCCUUGACAUACAUAUGUACAUGCAUAUUGUAGCUCCUAUUGACAAAUCUCAUAAAACCUUUGCAAUAAUUAUAAAACACUAAUCUAUAAAUAUAAUAUAUUUAUAAGUUUAUUAAUUAAUUAAUUCUAUUUUAAUUUAAUCAUGUCUUAUUUAUACAUUAUACUUCAAACACUCUAUUAUUUUAUUUGAGGAAUAAAAUAAAAUAAUUUUUUACAUUUAGGAUACUACAAUAGUUUUUUAUUGCAUUAAUAUUAUUAAUAAUAGUGACAUUCCAAAAGGAAUCAAAUGACUUUUAUAAGUUUUGACUUCAAUAUUUAUUAAAUUCAACUUGUUGUGUAAAUAAAUAUUAUCAUACGUAACAGAUUGAAUACCAAAAAUUAAUAUCAAGUCUACAACCAAAUAAGAACAAUAUAACAAAUAUAUUCUCAAGUGAAAGAUAAAAUAUUUAAAUAUUACAAGUCAAGCUAUCUCUCAUACAAAUCCUACAAAAGAAGAAUCUAAGAGUAUAAGUAUGUAGAAAAAUCCCUAAACUUUAUUUAAUGGCUAAAUCAUAAUAUUCUAGCAAAACUCUACUAAAAAGACUUAUUUCUCUUAAAAACACUCACAAGACUUGACUUAACAAAGAAUGCCAAUUCAACUAAUAUAAACUUAGUUUAAUGUUUACUUUCUAAUUUUUUUUCCACAAAUCAAUAUAUAUAUAUAUAAUAGACUAUUUUUUUAAAAAAAAAUAUUAUAAUAUAUUUUAGGCUAUGCAUUUUUAAACGAAUUUCUAUUAAAAAAUUGAUAAAUAUCUUAUAGCCACAUAUAUUUUUUAGAUGCCACCAUAUUAUUAACAUAUUAUAUUUUAGUAGAUUUUAAAAUAUUUUUUUAAUUUCAAAUAUUUAGUCUUAUAUAGAAGAUCCAAAAAACAAUUACACACAAUUUUUUAAUUAUUUCUUAUAAUAAUUUUUAUAUUAUUGAUUUAAAAUCUAAAUAAAGUAGUUUUGAAAAAAAAUAAAAAAAUAAAAAAUAAUCAAUAAUCAUUUCAAAUAAAUAUAUAUAAUUUUUUGAUAUUAAUUUUAAAGAAUCAAUUAAAAAUCAUCUUUAUCAAAUAAAACAUAUAUUUUUAUUUUAUUAAUUUAGCUUUUUUAUGUAACUAUUAUUCCUUUUAUGUUAUAUUAUAUUUAUUUAAAUUAUAAUAUAUAUUAUUUAAUAUAUUCUUUGUAGAACUUCUUGUUUGAAAGAAUUUUAUGUUAUCCAAAAAAAAACAUUAAGAUUAAAAUAAAAUGUUAAAAUAAAGAAUACAAGUGGUGUAAUAGAUGCCUAUAUUGUUUUUAAAAAAAUUAAAAAAUCAAAAGAAAUAGAUAGAAUAUAUUAGAUAGCAAACAUCUUUUUUAAAAAGAUUUAAAGAAGUUUUUUAGUGUCAAAUUAGAUAUUUAGACUUUUAUUGAUUUUUCACAUGGGUAUUAAAACUGAUUUUAUAAUUUUCUUACUUUUAAAAAACCAUGUUAGAAGCAAUCUAUAACUUGAUGAUUGAGCUCCAAAUAUAAUAAAAAUAUAUAUUAUUUAAAUAGAAGUACAUAGACAAAUAUUUGGAAGAUAAAUUUUUUUUUAAAGAAGCUUCUAUGAAGUUUCUUGGAUGCACAUUAGAUAUUUUGACUUGUAUAGAUAAGCUAAGUAAUAAUUGAAACUAGUGCUAUAAGUAUCUCACCUUUAGAAAGAUACAUUGGAAGCAACCUAUAACUAUAAGUUUGGACCACAAGCCUAGUAGUCCUAAGAAAACUUCUAUAAGAUCUUCUAAUUUCUUAAUUAUCCAACCUAUGUAUGUUAGAUUAGAAUUAUUAAAAAUUUAUUCAAUAAGAUUUUUUCUUAAUUUUUAUAAUUUCUAGAAGAAUUUUCUUUAUUGAAUAAUUUAGAUCUAAUUUUAGAAAAAAAUCAGUUUAUAUAUAAUAAAUAUAAUGUAACUUGUACAUCAAUAAAAAAAUUCAAAUUUUAUAGCAAGAAAUAAAUUUUUAUUAACAUAAAUAUUAAAAUUUAUACAAUUAGCAAUUAAUAUCAAAUAAGAUAAUAUUCUAUUCAUCAAUCAAUUUCUUUACUAAUUAUAGAUUAAUAAUAAGAAGAAAUUAUUACUUUAUUUGCUUCAUCUUUAAAAUUUAAGUUAUUUAAUAAUAGAGAAAUAUCUUUAAAUUUUAAUUAUAAAUAGAGAAAAAUACAAGAUAUUUUUUUAUUAUGCAUUCAGAUUGUGUAAAGCUUUAUUAGUUCCAAAAAGCUAUAAAAACACUAUUUCUAAAAUGGUUGCAAUGAAUUUGUAAUCAUUUAAGUUAAUAUCAUAUUGGUGUAUUCAUUACCGUUGUUAAAUAAUAACAAAUACUUUAAUAUAAUACUUGGAAUUAAAGAAACAAUCAAGCCUAUUGAAAUGAUAAGAAAUGUGAGUUGACAAAACUUGAGAUAUGAUUUUUUAGACAUGUUAUUAUAGAUUUUAGCAUCAAACUUGAUAAAAAAAAAUAUAAAAGUAAUUUAAAAGUAGUAAUAACCAACUAUAUAUAAAAAUAAUUAUCAUAUAUAUAUAUAUAUAUAUAUAUAUAUAAUAUUUUAGUAAUUAUGAUUAAUUAAAUUUUAAAUAAUUAUGAUUUUAAAUAUUUAGACAAUUUAAGUUUAUAUUGUCAAAACCAUUGAUAUAUAUAUAUAUAUAUAUAUAUAUAUAUAUAUAUAUAUAUAUAUAUAUUUGUGUGUGUGUGUGUGUGUUAAAAUAAAACCUCCAAGAUUUAUAUAGAUGUAAGUAAAUUUGUUGUUGAAGAAAUAAUUAUGAUCAAUAAGAGAUGUAUUGCACAAUAAUAAUAAUAAUAAUAAUAAUAAUAAUAAUAAGUUUUUAAAUAACUAGAAAUUUUAUUUUAAAAUAUUAAAUAAAUAAGUUUUUUUUUUUGAAUAUAUUACUUAGAAAUAAAAUUACACUUAAGCAUACACAAGAAAAAUUUAUUUUUCAAACAAUCUAUCAAUAAAGAAAUUGAGGUGGUAAGAAAAACCAAUAUUUUUUAAUAUAAAAUUUCUUUAUGAAACAAAAAUGAGUAGUAUAGUUUUAAACACACUAAAUUGACAAUAAUUGUAUCAAAAAAUAAACUUUAUUCUGAAAUUUGGAUGAUAUCCAAAAUGAAAGAAACCUAAAUGUAUAUAUUUGAGAAGAUUUAAAAUUUUAAAUUUUAAAUUAUUAAAAAAUGUAAAGAUGUUUUGAUAAAUAAAAAUAUGGAACAAAAUUUAAAGAAUUCAGUUAAUCAAUGAUUCAUGAAAGUAUAAACAAAUUCAAGUUUACAUAUUCAUAUUGUUGGUGCUUAAAAUAAAUAAAAAUUAUCUAAUAGUAGCUUUAAAUAUAUAUAUAUAUAUAUAUAUAUAUAUUUUUAAUUUUAAAAUAUUAAUAUAAGACAUCAACUUCAUUAUAUUUUUUCUAAAAUAAAAAUAAAUAUCUUAUAAUAUCUAAUCAUAUUAUUUAAAUAUUAAAAUAUAAUAUAUUUUGAAUUUUAUUACAAUUCUCUUUAUGUAAAAAAAUAUAAUAACCUUUAUGCUUCAAAUCCUGUUAAAACACCUAAUGUGAUCCAAACCUUUUCAAUUGUUCUUCAAUUUAAAUGUCUUUAUAUAAAUUCAAAUGAAAUAUUUUUAGAAUUCUAUGCUCUUUCAAUUUUAGAACUAAUUCUUUAGACUAUUUUAUUUACAAACACAUUCAACAUUUUAGAGUAGUAUUUAAAUAAAUGAACUUAAAUAAAAAAAAUCUCAUAAACUAUUCCAUAACAAGAUGUAACCAUAAUUUUACAUUCAAUAAUACAAACAUGUGUAGACUUAUGCCCACUUGAAAUUCAACUAUUUUUGAAAAUGUUGAAGACUCAUUCAAUACUUAAUUUAAGUCAAAAUAAAUAAAAACAUGAAUACAUUGAAUCUAUUUGUAACAUUAUGACUUCUUUUUGUUUUAAAAUAUCUUAACUACACAUUUUAAUCAUUCAUUCAUCUCUAACUAUCACUAAUCCGAGUUGCAACAAAUCUUAACUACAUUUUUGAUAAACCUCAACACAAUUGCCACUAACCCUUAUUAUAACAAACCAUAACCACCACGUAACACAAAUCAUCAUAAAACCUAUUCAUCAAUAACACACAACAUUAUAUUGUUUCACACUUAGUGUAACACGAACAAGGGUUUGUUAAGCUAAUUUCACAAGUGACACUAAUCUAGCGGAAUGUGGUAGAAGUGAAUGACAGAAUUAAUAACAACUGUUAAUCAGUGGGUGUUGAUUCUGUUCGGUGCUGCCGAGCAAAGGCACUUUGCAAGCUUUGUUUAUUUGUUUGUUUGUUUGUGUGUUUGUGGGAGUGUGUGUGUGUGGGUGGGUGUGUGUGUGGGUGUGGGCUACGGAGCCAAGAAAUCUUCCAUAGACGCGAGUCUGUGCUUCUUCAUCGACAGGAUCUGCGAGGAGGAGUUGCUUCAUGUGGGUUCGCGGAGGAAUUUGACCUGCGGGCGGCCGUUGCGAGGAAGUUAUUAUGGUUAUUCCAGUCGCGAGCUUCGCCUCCUCGGAAGAUUGGCUACAUUUGAGUUGUAGUGGCGGUGAACUGCGACCUUGUGGUUGUUGGCCUUUGUGGGCGUCUUCAUGCUCUUCGCAAGCUCGCGAUUGCCUUGGUACUCCUCCUGUGCCACAAUUACUCAUCGUACCCCUCUUCUCCAAAAUUUUGUUGAAAUACCAUACCUACAGUUGGAGACUCCUGGUAUGUAAUUGGUCUUGCAUGAGAGGGAUGAAGAUGCGGGAAGCCUCUGAGGAGUAGGAUUUGUGCGUGUAACGUUUUAUGUGCACGUGAUUUGGCGGUUUUCGGAGCUUGAGAGGCAUAACAGGAGCAUACGAAGAGAAAAUUGUGUGUUAGAGUAUCUGUUAAUAAUGGCUGCAGUUUGUGGGUGGCACAUUGCUUGCUCCCAUUUGUUUCCUUUGUGACGUGAUGUUAUAUCAGAAUUAGCGAUGGCUACUGUAGAGGUGGAGAGCAGAAUGACAUGACAAUAAGUGGUGCAAAGAAAGUUGCUUAAGUCAUCAUGGCUUUUACAGCAUACAGGAACAGGGAUUCGAGAAUUGUUCAAGCUUUUCAGCUCCAUCAAAGAAACAUUAAUUUUAGGAGGGAAGGCGAAGCUCCUUCCAUCUGCCAUGAAACCAUCAAUCCUUGCCAUUUUUCUCGUCGUGUCCCCAACAAACUCCUCUUCUAGGCUGAAAUCUGUUGAUUCUCUCAAGUUACUGAACCGCAGCUUCUUGCUGUUACCAUUCUAAAUCUUCCAUUUCUGAGAAUAGUUGACCCACACCCUAAUUCCGUCUCCAGUCACCCUCAGUCUACCAGAUCGUCGCAAAUUUUCAAGUUUACCAAAUUCGCACAAUAUAGCUGAGGCCGUAAUAACAUUAUUCGAAACAUGGGACCUAAAAGUUGAUGAACACAGCUACAGCAACUGUUGAUUCAAUCUUCACUUAAAAGGUGCUAUAUUUCUGACUAUCCGUCUUCACUAAGUUGCAAUCUGCAAGAAUAAUAGCUUCCAUGUAUGUGUUUAAGUGUGAAUUCUGAGUUCAUAUGAAAGUAAUGCUUGCAUUUUUACGUUGCGAAAACUCAAAGACUGUAGAUCUCAACUUCAUGUGCAUUGUUUUCAGCAAUUAAGCAACAAAUUUUGAUAUUCGAUUCAAUAGCGUUGCAAUCAUGAAUCAGGUAUGAUUUGAUCCAGUGAAGUUAUUUUGUAAAUAGGUUCUUUUUGCUGAGCAAUUGAUUGAUGUGGACAGGAAUUAUGCUUGAUCAUGCUUACAUCUUUAGAUAUUUUCUGUUCGAUCCCAGGUAACGAGGUCUUCCAAUCUGCGUGUAGCGGAGGCCGAAAUGAUGACAAAAUCGUUACAACAGGAGAAUGACAUUCUACGUUUUCAGCUCAAUGACCUCAUCAACCGUGAGAAAAACCAAGUGUGUACUUUGUCUUGAAACACAGAUCAAGUUAAAAAUUUCCAAGUAUUCCUUGUAAUAUAAAUUUCCAUUCACUUAUUGGAAAGUACCACCAAAACUCAUUUACUUUUUGAUUUGCAUCUCACCAAUAGAGACUCGAGCUACAAAGGCUGCGGGCACAUCGAGAUGUAGAAGUGUCUGCUCUGGUGAAUGCAUCCACACAACAGUUGAAAGGAGAGGUGGAGCGAUUAAAGGGGUUGUUAGAGCCUACAUCCUCGAGCCUUUCUCAAGCCCUCGCAGAGAAGGACAAGAUUGUCAAUGAGAAGGAGCAACUCUUGGCCGAGGUUGAGAGAAUGAGGAAAACAACUGAAGACGACGAAAAUACGCAUGGUGGACGGGUGCAAAUCCUCGAAACCAUCAUCGCCAAGAGCCAGGCUAUGACUAGCACCAUCUUGCAGAGUGUGGAAGCGUUCCAAAGACAUGUGCUACCAAAUUUCAAAGUCGUCAACGGUCAGAUCAACAAAUCAAGCAAAGCAAAUGACCCGGAUGGACCAAACAAACUCCUAGACGAGGUGCACAUCUAAGCGCAGCAAUAUUUACCGUGGUGUUUCGUUUCUGGAUUCAAACUCGAGAAACUGUUAAAUGCUAACAUUUUUACUGGUCACAUGUUCUAAACUUCCUUCUCGAAAGGCAUGGAUUCGCAGUUGCAAAAGUUGGAGGCUGGGAUUGCAUUGCUUCGUGUAAUCGUGGAUGCAAAGAACGACACUCUUGUUCUUAUCCGUGGCAAGGUUAGUAACCAGUCAUUCAUUCCUGUGAUCGUGGCCUUAAUCCAUUUGUAUGCGUCUGCCACAGCCCCAGCCAAUUCUGGCAGAUAUUCCUUGGAGUGCUCUGAAAAACUAACCCGAGCAGCUCCUAUACUGAUAUCAUACAUUUCGCACAGUUGAAACAAGAGAAUGAGGAGCUUAGAGCUGAGUUGGCAAAGGCAACAGAAUCGCCUUCGAUUCAGCACGAGGCAGCACCCACUCAACAAGAAGCAUCCCGUGACCAUGAGAGUCACGUUGAAAAGGAUCUCCUAAGGCAUGAGAUUCACGCGUUACAGGUACGAUUCCGUAUCUCUACGUCAUCUAUUAACUAGGAUUGGCACAUGAUCAGUUAUUGUCGUGCAGCAUGGUCACAAUACCCCAAGCAUAUUGAAAUUACAUUGGCAAAUGACUCUGCAACAGGACCUAUAUUCUACAAAAUUUAAGCAGAUGCAGGCGAUGUUGAAGGCAUAUCAACAAGCGGAGACUACUCAACAGGCUAGCUAUAAUGAAAUUCGACGAGAGUGCCAGUCGUUACAAGCACGGCUAGCGACUGUUGAAGCAUCGCGUUGUCAACUCGAAGAAAAUCUUAAGGAUGAAACCUCGGCCCGUUCUCAACUUGUAACAAACAUAUAUCACAUGCGAAAGGUUUGUGCUCUUGCACAUCUGAUAAUUACUCUUAAUUAGAGAUAUUGCAUUUGUUUCAGGGAAACAUCUAAACCUGUUUGAUGGUCUUAAUGGCUGCAGGAAAACGAGGCAUUAAAGUCGGAACUCGAAAUGGUGAAAGUGAAUCAGAAGGUGACCUAUUCUUGUCGCAUGUUACUACAUCCAACUUUCCUCUUAUGAUCAUCUAGGGAAUAUAGAUUUUCUUAGUUGAGGUCGAUUCUGAAAGGUUGGCAGUCUGAGGGAAUAAUUUGCAUUCGCAGUUCUUCAGAGGGCACGCAAGGAAAGGCCGACUUCCUAUGGAUAAGAUGGAUUUGGUAAAUACUGUGAAUCAGUUGCUGUUGGAGAAUAGCAAAUUGAGGAAUGAUAAUGUGACGCUCGAGGAAGACGUGAAGACACAACGACGAUCGAAUGUGCUUGAGAGGGUCAAAAGUGUUGUCACAGCUCGAGAUGUGGCCUUGUGUGCAAGCAACAAGGUAACCAAUUUCGCACUUCUAAGAUAUGAAUCUUAACGUCCCCUCUAGGAAUACAAAUAUGAAAGUUGAGACCACAAGCCUUCAGAUCUGACCAACGUCUAUCUUGUAGGUGGGAGACUCGGAAUUGGCAAGCAAGCUAGCUAGGGUCCGGCUACAACAAUUUGGUGGCCAGGGUUCACUCGCACAACUUGCAUUCAUGAAUGGAAACGCUGGUUUGAGCCCGACCAUGAGCCCCCAUUUGCUAGGUGAAACUUUAGGAUUUGCCGGCUGGAGUUCACCAAGUGCAGAGGCCACAGCAACUACAAAGCCCACAAAGAUGGGUGAUAUUUAUAAUUCGGGACACGCAGACAUUGCUCAGCAUGGUGGCCUGAGAGAACGUGGAAGUUUAAGUAGGUAGUAUCUUACUUUGAGUAUACAUGACAACCCAACCAAGUCACGCUCAUUGGCAAAAUCAAUUCAACGUUACGACUGGUGUAAUCUCUUACGCUGUGGUGUGCAAGGAAGAAAUCGAAAUACUUCACUGAAAGACUUACACGGAAGGCCAUGACAUCUAAGCGUUGUUAAAUUGCUACUGCGGGGUUGGAAAUUGUGAAAUUCUCAGUUGUAUAAUAGCAGGCUUCUACACUGGGAGAAUAUACCAAUGUUGAGGUCUUUGGUAAUUUUGUGGUUGAGCCUUGGAAGAAGCGAAGAGAUGUGAAUGCUAAAGCCUUCUCGUUUCAAGUUUUGUAAGGUUGGGUCCAGUAAGAAUUGAACAGGACUACAAAUUGUGGAGAAUUUGUUGAAGGUAUUGAAGACUCUGAAUGUCUUCUUCCUUUUGAACCUACUAAGAGAGUAGAGCAUGUAUCGACUUCUAGCAGAAAUAAACUUCUGUAUCUUGCGAAAUGACAACAAAGCAGAUCUCCUUAUAAUGAAUGAUACUUUCCAGGUUUGUAUGCAAGCUGGUGUAUGAUUCGUGGAUCGUUUACGUGAGUCUUUCAGGACACCUGCAGAGUUUUGUUUUGGAAAUGAACACGAUUAAUGAAAAUAUGGAGUAAAAAUUGGAACUAGGUAAUGUACAAGCAGAAUUUUUUAAAAAAAUUGACAUAUGUAUGGCUUAUUUACUCUUCUAAUAGUUGGAUACCCGUACUCAUAUUUAUUUUUUUGAUCAUGUUUUUCUACCAACGUCUUGAUAAGAAUUACUUUUGUAUAUUCAGAAUUUGUGUAAUUACAAUUUAUGUAUUUUUAUUUUAUCUUUUUACCAAAGUAGAUAUUGUUCUCACAUAAUACUUGCAUUUCUUUUGUGUAGUUCACACUCCUUAAAUAAAAUAAAAAUACUGGAUAAAAAAUUGUACUACUAAAAUAAAUCUUUACUCCACUUAAUACAUACUAAUAGCACUAGUUAUAAGAUACUAUUUACAAAGCUAAACUAUUAUAUUAUUUGAAGCAACUACACUUUUUAUGUAUUAGAUUAAAUUAUUAAUCCACAUCAAUUUUACAUUUAGUUUAUUUAGAUGAUAUUAUUUAGAAUUUGUGCAUCAUUAGAUGACAUCAAAAAUUUGGUGUUAUAAUGUUGUUAAAUAAUCAAUUCAUUAAGUAAAAACCAAAUGUCUUGUGCUAUGCUUACAUUAUAAAUACCUAAAUCUUUCUCAAUUUCUAAUACUAAAUAAUGUCUUGCACUUUUUAAUAUUAUAAUAUUUUUUUUGUUGUUUUCUAGUAGUUAAUCUUACAAACCAAGGAAUAAGACUAUGAGUAAAAUCACUAUUACAAUAGAUCAUUUUAAACUUUACAUAUGUAUUGUUAUUUUUAUGGUUUAUCCUCUUAUAGUAGCACAUUUAAAUUCCAUACUAAUUUAUGAGUAAAGAAAGACUAAAGAUGAUACAUUAUAAAACAAAAAAAAUACACUUUUAUGUAUAAUCACAUACAUAUUUUUUUUCAAUUUUAAGUCAACAUGAGAAAUUAAACAUGUCUUUUUCUUUCCUUCUUAAAAUCUUUCAAAAGCUGCACAUGUUGAGGCAUAUCAUAAGUCACUUUGCGAUAACAAAUUCUUUUGAUUGCAAGCCUUUUAAUAUGUUAACAAUUAAAAACUUUGUGCAUAAAGAAAGCCAAGCACUCUCAAUGGUAGAAAGCUACUAAACUAAUGAGAAUAAAUACAAUUCUUGAACUUCAUCAUGAAAAAACAUACUUUUACAAUACCUUUUUAAUACCAUUCAACCAGAUGUCUUACCUCCCAUGCUUCCCCAGCCCUGGUUAUCCCUUUGCACCAGGUGAUGUAAUCGGAGGGAGAAUUGUGAUUGAUUUCUAAAUCAAAAAUAUUCAAGCUGUGGGAGUUUGAUCAUAAUCCAUCAUGAUAUCAUCUUUGGCUUUGAUAAUAUUAGGUAGACUAAAAGUGACCAUUGUGAAAAAUGUUUCUUCAAUGUAUCCUUUAUGGUUUCCACCAACAUGCCGUUCUGGCACAGCUUUGCAGUCUGCCCAUGUCAGAGCAGCUGGUUUGAAUAGCUGCUCAUGCCAAAAUCCUCCGAGAUGUACAGUAUCUUCAGAAGAUUGGCUAAAAUGGAAGAUUAAAAGUCUCAAGGUAUGAAGUUGUAUUUAACCCAGAAGAAUAUGUCGAACUUGAUCCACAAUAAGGUUGCGCAUCCUUGCGCAUGUCAAGGAAAAUUCUUCUCUAUCCACAAGCAGGAAACGGUAGAUCUCCCAACGUUUUUCAUUGUAAUCAUGCCUUCCAAUAUCAGCCUGAAAUGCGGUGAGGAUUUUCAGGAUUAAAGCAAGAAACUAAGAACGGCAUUUAUAAUUUUGCAGUACAUAUAUAGGCACUCGCAAUUCUGACUUGGAAGAGAAAUGAACAAUAGUUUUAGGAGUAAUGGAUAGAAAGAGGCACUACGUGUAUCAAAUGUCGAUGAACUUGAAUUGGGUAUUUGAAAGUUGGUUAAAAUGAGCAUACCUUAAAUAUACAUAUGUCCAGCAUUUUCAGAGCUAGGGUAACGUCGUAUAAAACCCGAGGUCGACCCCUUCCGCACUUUUCAAUAGGAGUGGCAACAAGUAACUCUGUGUCAGGUCCUCUCGUCCCCACCUUAAUUCGCACAGGAUGCCCAACUUCCUCUUCCACGCACUGAGCUAGACUUUUCUGGUCUUGCACAUUGGUAAUCCUCUGUCCACUUGGACCCAGCACGAAAAGACUGAUCUCAGAGUUGCCAUUCUCCAACAUGCCAAUACGCCCAUGUGCCACCUGUAUACAUUAGCAAGUGAACCUGGUCUUAAAAAAAAAAAAAAAAAAACAGUCAAAUCCAAAUAUAGUAUAUAUGAGGACUAGUGCAUGUGAGACCAUGCCCAUCUCAACAGCAAAAGCUCUGGAAUAAGUUACUAAUUCCUUCCUUUUCUAGUGUGGCACUCGCCUGAUGUUUAUCUCAUCCAUUAACAUGACUGCAAUUCAAAUAGAAGAUUCAAGAAAUAACUAAAUAAAAAUGCUACCUCAAAAGUCAAAGAAUUUAGAAAGAAAUCAGAAAAGUAACUGAAUUUGAAGCACGAACCUUCAAACUGAAGUCCUUCACGGUGCGGAGGCAGUCGUACAGUAAACUUUUCCGGCUCUUACAAGUAAGUUGAACCAAACUGUGAACAGGGCUGGUGCUAUUCUCGACAGUAACAACGACUUCAUUAGCAUGAUGCUCACUUCUAGAGUUAAUUUUCUCACUUUUUGUAUUUCCUUUUUCGAAUGUUGCCGGAUCUUCGUAAAAUAUAUCUUUGGUGAUUGUGGCAGGCAGAGGGAAGCAAGUCAGACCCCCACACUCAGAUCCAGCAAGACUAAUCUCACAAAGUGAACAUGGCUCUCCCAAAAAUUCUUUCAGCUGAUUUGUUACUUCCUCCGCCCUUUUCUUCCACGGCUGCUUGUUUCUGCCGCAAAAUGCAAGACUGAAUACAUGAAACCAUCAAAGUUGAAAACCACGAGUACAAUUAUUCAAGAGAAUUUGGGAUGACUAGGGUAUCCGUUCCAUUUGAGAGUACAGAGACGCAGUGAAUGUGAAAACCAGCAUCACUCUAGGCCCUUGUAAACAUUGUAAUCGAUUGCAUCAGAUAUAAUCAGUGGUCAAGACACCGCAAAUUACUAGGAAUAGGAAAAGUACCUAUUGUCUGUGACAAAAAACAAAUCAACAGCUCUCCCAUCAGGGCUGGUUGAUACUUUGAUUUUGUGUAUAGUUAACUCCAUUUCCCACAACUUUUGUGCAACAUCUGAAGAACCAGUCAUAUCAUAUUAAAAAAAUUGAGACAACCAACCACUAUACCCAAAAUGAGGAGUUCAAAGUCGGUUGAGAAGAAAAACUAAAUAGAAACUGCCAAGUGUUGAGCAAAUCUAAAAUACUAAAAGAGCCAAGUCGCAAUAAUCAUGUUCCUGUAAAAUAGGAAGAAAAUCCUAGAACCACCCGUUAACAGCACACAUUGAGAGAAAAGAAUGAAAAAAUUACCAUGGAGGAGGCCUGUCCGAUCGGACGAGCAGACUUGCAGCAGCAGGACCCUCUUGGCUUCCGGCACAGGGGGAGACACAGGAGUUAAUAUAGAAGCCAGAGCAGACGGGCAUACAUCUUCCAACCGUUGUUUCAACAAUGACCAACGCACUGUUGAAGGACGCGAUCUGGGUGUCACCCACAGAGCUACAAAACACCAGCGUCCAUCGGUCGACAUAUCUGCGACACGAAGUCCUCCAUAAAAGACCAUGUCGAAUGUGAAGUACAUCUUAAAGAGACAAAGUUAAGAGAAGUUACACGCGCAGCGUACACAUCAACUUUUUCCAUUAACAUGACCUGGAAAGGAAACGAUCGAAUAUAUACGUACCCCCUUUCGUAACGCUUAGGCCAAACUCAAAUACGAUUCGGGCGAGAUCGCAACCAAGUCCCACUUUAUCAGGACAAUUGAUAGUUAUCUCACUCGGAUCCCCAGGGUUCCUGCCCCUACGCACGACCACAUAUUCAUCGGUGUAGACCCCCAUUCCGCCUCUGAAAUUGCCGCUCUCCACAAGUGUUGUACUCCAACCUCUCCCUCGUCUGUUGGCACCAAUGGCACUUAUAAAUUGAAUGAUAUGUACAAAGUGACCACAAGGAUGAGCGUAUAAUUAACAACCUCCAUACAACAUAUACAAAAUUGCAGUCCCAACAAUCAUUUUGAGCGUAGGCGAGAGUCAUAACAUAUCUCAGAAAUUGGACACGAAUCUAAGAUAUAGAGAGUGGUGACCACUGCUUGAACUUAAAAAAAGUAGUGGCACGUACACCUUCACGCCCCUUAAAAUCCGAAAGCAAUCUGAAGCUAGUAGUGUCAACUUUUCCUUUCAGAAAUAUUUCUGGCUCUAAAGCUAUGUGCAUGUUCAAUUACCAGUGAAGCUUGCGGUGGUCAAAUAAAUUCUGUGAUUCUCGUACCCUAAAACGGCUGAUAUGCCUAUGUCUAAUUAUGAAAUCUAAGCGACACAGUUGAAAUCCUGUAUUUUUGUAAUAUUAUAUCAAAGCUAACAUCAUGAAUUCACAUUUCUAGAUCGCAACACUCAUGAAUACUAAAUACGAGCCGUGUGAAGCUUGAACCCCCGAUAAAUAUACGAUUUCCUACCAAAUCCGAGAAUGACUAACGUUACAACAGAGAAUAAAUUAAAAAAAAAACAUUUAAGGUCCAAUUUCUAAGGUGCCCCUGUCAAGAGCAGCAAUUGAACAAGAAACGUUUCCAGAGGUCUCGUUCUCUUCUUGACCUGUGUCUAAGCUCUUCAGAGAGACACGCGUAAAUGUCAGACAAUGACAAGGAACUCAACAAUUUUAAGAAAAUAUUAACAAAAACAACCCUACAUAUUCUCAUUGCUUUUUUAUCGUUUCCAAACCAAUCAACAUCAAUUCCGGACGCAAUUCCCUCCUCCCAAACCUCAACACACACACCCCAAGUCAUUGGUAACUGAAACUAACAGGCACUCAACCUUACCUGAACUCACGAACGCUCCCAGCAACCGUUUCGCGCCCCCAACAACACAGCACAGAACCCAAGCCUGCUGCACACCCUCCGCGGCUGGCACCUCUCCCGAGCUGCAACAAUCCCAGACUCCACCUCAAUCUCGUCCCAUGCUCCUCCACCCCGCGAUCGUCUCAGCCACGCUCUCACACUCCCGUCUCCCCAUGCCAUGUCCACUUCUACACUCAACUGCUAAUUCCCGCUACACCUUUUCCCUUUCCCACAUUCCUCGAAUCCCUGUACUCCCCUCUUUCAGAAACCCAACUCAGAACACAUCUCUGCCACAAAAAAACAGCCGGCAACGCCUCCCGUCACGCACAGCCACGAGAUGAUACGCCACCCUUCACCCUCCGAUUGUGCUAACAAAGCCGCUAAUCUCAAAGGUAACGAAGCCUGGAAGCAAAAGCAGCAGCAGCAGGCUUCAUGAGGAGGAGGAGGAGCAGUGGACGAUCUCGUUUCAUUGAUCCAGAAAUCGUUUCCAUCUGGAUCCGAGCUUGGUUCAUGACAGAUUCGUGUGGAGCUUGGAAUUGCAAGCAAAUCGGAAUGCGUGGGAUCGAGAUAAUUCUGGCCCGCCCAACAACACAGCCAAUGCGUCUUCCAUUUUGAGUUGGGUUGGGUUAGCUUGGAACGGGCUGGGUCGGGCCGGUUCCCGCAGGGUGACGCGCGCAGGCGUCCGGUGCCGCCAGAUGCCGAGGUAAUUGCGUUUGGCGGGAAGCACGCGUGGAGGAACUGCCAUUGUGCUCAGGUCAUCUUCCACGUGGCUCGGCAAUGCUGACCCGUCUUGUUGGGAUGGGUGACGUGGAGGGGUUGCACUGGACAGCUGUCCUCCUUCAGCAUGAUGCCACACAAUUCUGGUGUCUUUUUAUGAAAUGAAUUCCCUCAAUUACAACCAUUAGUAAUAUUUCACACAAAUGAAGAAUUUUAAAUUUUAAAUUUUGAAUUAAAAAAAAGUGAUCAUGCUAUUUGAACCUUUCUGUAUGUCUGCAUGUGUGCAUGUUUAUAUAUAUACAUACAUACACAUACAUAUAUCUGUAAAAUUUUAGCUUGGUAAAGAAAAUAUCAAUAAAGUAGCUUAGAAAAAAUAGAAGCUAAGAUUUAGAGGUAUGCAAUGUUGAAUAAUAAAAUAAAUAAGAAAAAAAGGUUUUUAAUUUACACUUGCCUCAAAUUCUCUAAGACUUAUCACAUUUGUAGUUUUCAUUAGAAAGUUGUGUAUCAACAAAAGUUUUGAUAAAUAAGAAUACAAUGGUAAAACAACCAUUUUGAAAAUAAUAAACACUAAUGAGAUAAUAAUUAUUUUAUAAAAUUUCAAAAUAAAAUAAAAAAUAAAUAAAUUUAUUAAAACACACAAUAGAAUAGUAUGACAAUAAAAAUGCUUGCUUGUCUUAUAUAAAAUGUUUUUAAAAUAUUUGUUUCUAAAAUUAAAUUUUCAGAUUUUGUGAUAAUAUUAUAUCCUCUUCUAAAUGAAAAGAGAUGUGCUAUGGAAAUUCUCUAGUAUACUAAGGUGGAAAUCAUAAAAUAAUAAUACAAUUAUUCUACUAUCAUUAUAAACAUGAUAUUAAUUUUAAUAAUAAAACUUAAAUUUAAUAUUAAAAAAAACAAGACCAGAAGUAGACUUUAAAUCAUUCUUCAUAGAACUAUCUAUAGAAAUUUUAUAGAUCCUUUUAUUCUAUAAUACUAAAAUAACUCUUAGAUAUAUUUUUACUCUUUAUGAAAAUGCCUAGUAUGCUUUAAAAUUUAGUUACAGAAUUCUUUGAGGGCUAGUAUUUAUAUGCAAUUACUUUACAGACAUCUACACGUUGCACAAAAAUUAGUUAUUAAAAUAGGAUAUAUUUUGUAGCAAUGUGUCUUUAUAAAUAUUCAACAUUUUCAAAGAUUUUAUUGCAACAGAUCAAUAAAAACUAAAGUGAUUCAUAACGUUUUUUUUCUUCCAUUUUAAUAUCAAGAUUUUAUGAAAUAGUAAAUUUUAAUAUAUAUAUAUAUAUAUAUAUAUGUAUAUAUAUAAACAUAUUUCUUUCUUUCUUUCUUUCUUUCUGUUAAUACUUAAAAAUUCAAGAAUGUGACCACGAGUUGUUUUGUUUUGAUUUUGUUUGUUUUGUUUUGUUUGUUUGUUUGUUUGUUUGUUUGUUUGUUUUGUUUUGUUUUGUUUUUUUUUUUUUUUUUUUUUUUUUACUUUUUUCUUACUUCAACAAUUUUUUCAUGAAGAGAAAUUUCUCAUAUCCAUCUUUACAAAACAUUAUACAUAUCCUUAUUAACAACUUUCUUAAAGUUCUUUUACAACUUCUUAAAAGAUAGAAGUUUUUUUAACAUUACAUAUAAUGUAAUGUCUAAAGAACUUGGUUCUUUGAAGAUAUACAUAUUGAAAUUUUUAUAUAAAUACUCUAUUAAUUUUAUUUAUUUAUUUAUAUUAUAAAUUUAAUGGAUUAUGUAUAAAAUAUCUUAGAUUGCAAAAAUCUUAAACUUCUAUUUAGUAUUGUAAAUCUACAUAGUAAUUAUAAUAAGACUUGGAUUUAUUACAAUCUAAGAUUGUUUAUGAGGUAUUGAACAACUCAAUUUUAAAAUGGAAUAUUCAUACUUAUAAUUGAUAUGUAGAAGAUAGAAUGUUUAUAUGUGCCAUUAAAGUAUAAUUACUUUGAGUUACUAUUUUAUAAAGUAAAUAUUUUCAAAUGUAAUCCCAAUUAUAUCAAAAGAGUAAAAUAAAAUAAUCAAUAAUAUAUAAGUCAAAUAAGGUAGACUUUUUACAUGACAAAGAAUUGAUUACAAUAAAGGUGGUAAAAUUAAAACAUUAUAAAAAAUACAUUAUAAAAAUAAAUAUAUUUAAAUUAUAUAUAUAUAUAUAUAUAUAUUGUUUUUUUGUUUUUUUCUUGCAUUUAAUUUUUUCUUGCAAUGUGAUUUUGGAUAUAUUUUUAAUAUUAAAAAUUAUAAUAUUAGUAACUUUAUUUUUUAAUUGAUAAUUUAAAAUUUUAUAUACAAUUAAAAAAAAUCUUAAAUUCACACUUUAGAAUUUUAUAAAAACUAUUUUAUUUAAAUUAUAUUUAAUUUCUUAGUGUUUCUAUGUUUUUUAAUGUAUCAAUAUCAGAUAACAUUAAAAUCACAAUAAUUAAAAAAAUAAAUAUUCAUUAAUUAUCAAUUUAACUAUUUUAUAUGUUUUAAGUUAUUUAUUAUUUAUAUAUGAUUUAAAAUUAUGGUUUAAACCACAUCUAAUUUAUUAAUUUAUAUAUAUAUAUAUAUAUAUAUAUAAUGUUAUUAUUAUUAUUAUUAUUAUUAUCAUUUUUUAUAAUUGAGUAUAGUUUUUCAUCUAAGUUAUAUUACUGAAAAAAUUCAAAGUUAAAGAAGUAUCUACUGCACAUCAUCAUCUUGCACUUCUAUAACAAAAAAUAUCUAGUCUAAAAUAUAUACCUUAUCAUUAAAAGGUGGACAAAUCAUUUACAUCACUCUUUGUUGUUGUCAUUGUUGUCAUUGUUGUUGUUGUUGUUUAUUUAUUUAUUUAUUUAUUUUGAAUAUUUCUGAAAGAAAAGAAAUCAUAAAUCUUUGUAUGCAUUAUGAACCUAUAUAGUAGACUUAAACUAAGAAUAUACUUUAAAACUAUUUCUGCCAUUUAAAUUAUUUUAAAAAUCUUAGCAGUAAUUUUAAUGAUUAUUCUUUUAAACACUAUGUGACAAUUAAAUUUGGCAUUAAUAUAUAAUUGUGUUUUGACAUCUAUCAAGUAUUAUACGAAUUUUCUAACUUUAUCUAUGUUAUUUUAUUUAUUAUUUUUUAUUUUUUAUAGUUUAUUUUUUUCCAAAAAAUAGGAUUUAAAUAUAAUAAUAUAAUAUCAUGUAAAACUAUAUUUGCUAUUUUAUGUAGGUCACUUAAAAAAUAUUUCAAAAAUACUAUUGAAUUAUAUCUAAAUUAUGCUAAUUUUAUUUUUAUAUAAUAAUGUGUUAAAACACUUCAUAAGAUUAUCUAGGAAAAAAUAAAAUUGAUAAAAUUGAUCAAUUAGUAUUUGUCUUCUUUUUUUCUUCUUUCUUUUUUUAAUAUCUGCAAUCACACAUUAAAGUUAUAGAAUAAAACUGCUAUUAUUUUAAAAUAAAAAUAAAAACACACAUACACAAAUUUUAGAAAAAAGUUAUAGUAUAUAAUCAAAAUUUUUAUAACUAAAAGAAGUUUGUUUAUACUAUAAAAAUAAUAAUAAAGGAAUAAGUUCAAUAUGAUUGAACUUUGUUAUGUAUUUUUUAUAACAUAUAAAUUUAGGUAAGCUAAUAUAGUUUUUAAUAUGUAAGUCCCAAUGCAUGACUUAAACAUAACAAUGUUUAUACAAAUUAUCACUGCAUUUCUUGAAGUCAUUUUUUUAAAUCUAUAAUUCCAAUGUGUAUAUAUAUAUAUAUAUAUAUAUAUAGAUAUAUAACUUUGCUUAAUAGGAAUUGUAUAAAUUAUGCAGGCAAAAUUAGUUAAGAGAUGUAAAUUUACAAUGUAGGAACAACCUCCAAAAAGAAAAUGUUUCUUAAAUUACUCUUCAAAUUUUGUCAUAAUAUUGUAUAGUUUUCUGAAUAUAAAAGAAGACAUACAUUUCAAAAAAUUAGAUUAACCAUUAUUAUUAUUAUUAUUAUUAUUUCUUGGAACAUUAGAGGAGUCUUCGUCUGUGUUGUAACAUGCAUGAGAACAGAUAUUUCACAGCUGGAAUUUAAACCAUUAAACAGCCCCUUCUUUCGUUGUUUAAUUUAGUCGUGGACACAAAAUAAGAAUUCAACACACACUGCAUGAGUUUUGAAACAGAGGGGGGUGGUGAAGCGGGAUAUUCGCCUCAGGAAUGGAGGCGUGGCGCAGCCCACAUUUGAAUGAAUCGUAUCAACCACAACGCCGCCAUUCCUGCCGAGCACCCUUCCUGCCUUUCUCCUUCUCUCACACAAUCAAUCUGCGCCAUCGCAUUUCCGCCCCUUCAUGGCGCCCAGUGUACUAAUCCUGCCACUAAGCGCUGCUACCCACUUACUUGCUCCUUUUCUUUCUUUGGAUGCUAUGGUCCCGUGAUUAUGCUACUUUUUGUAAUCCUAGUAAAAGCGCCUGCCGCGGCAUGCGUACAUCCGGUCUGACAACAUGCGUAAAUGGUGCGGGUAGUCAACGUGGGAUUCAGGUUGGUAUAACAGUGAUGACUGCAACCGUCGUCACGUUUCCUCGGGUGAUGGGGUCCACAUGUUUGAAGCAGACUGUGAGGUGGGAAGUGAUUGUCUAGAAUGGCCACAUGACGAAUUGCUGGGUGAGGUGUGAAGAGGGCGUUAUGUCGAAAUGUGUGUCAGAUCCAACUGUGAAGAUUCUAAACAGGUUGGAGUGAAAGAUGUGUGGGCAUUCCGCAGUUAGAUCUACUUGCUGCUGACAAGGGCUCAAGUCUCACGCGAUAAGUCAUCAGAAGCGGGAUGUUGGAAGAAAGUAGUAGACACUGCAGAAAAAUGCUUGUCCUCGUGUUUACUGGGCAGAUUAAAAGAAUUUUUAGGGCACACCUGGCAUGGCGAGUUUCCAUGCCGGCUCUAGCACACCUCCAGUGUACAAGCGCUACCCACUCGUCAUCGCUGCUGGAACAGGCACGAACAAGCCCAGCCUGAUGGACAAAAAAUAUCUGUGUUCCGUCUCAUGUACUAUACAACUCGAGGGCCGUGGGGUUGGGUUCCUGAUACUGCCAUUGCAGCAAUGCCCAAAGAAUUUUUAAAAAUCAAUCUGUUCUGUACUACCCUCUAGCUAUCUGGAAUUGUACCCCGACCAUAUUGUACCAGAUGACGUGAUCGAAUUCUUCUUUACACGCACUUCUUGAGACCUUAGAGGAGGCCGAAGAGAUUAGAGACGAGAAUGUAGCACACCAAGAUCCCCAUGCCAAAAGCUCCACCACGAGUCCGAAUAGCUCCACUUGACAAUGGAAAGCCCUGCGGCAUUGCGCAUUCCUCGCCGUUGAACCAGACCUUCUCUGGGAAGUAGUCGCGUUCACGCAUGUUCGGAGUAAGUUUCUUAGUGAAGGAGAACACGGACUGCAACUUCCCUGCGGAUCGGUUCGUAGCAGCCAUCAAAUAAUUCAAGCCUUCUAGGCCCGUGACCAUAAUGCUGGUGUUGUCGGGGGCCGUUCCAUUCAUGAUAGUCAUUUGCGUGGCAUUAAAGGAGUACGCUUGCUGGAAUCCGUCGUAAGCACCCGUCAUUUGAAGAACGGUGAACCAAUCGGGGUACGUCGUGUCCGACCAAUCGAAGAGCGUCAUCCUGGAACUCCACCCGCCAGUGAAAUUAGACACGACGUGCCAGUUGAUGGCGACACCACAAUAGUCCUGGCAAGGAAGAGGAUUCGGAAUGUUCUUGUUGUGAUUUAUGUCGGCCCAUGCGAGGAUCUGCCUUGUUCGAUUCUCUGGGUGCAUUGUGAUGGCACUGUACGGGAGCAACAUAGCGGAGGCUUUGGGGUUGCAAGCUGGUUGAGGAUUCGCAGGACAGCCGCAGGCGCAAGUGCGGCACGGGACGAUGGAAUCAUUGGUGUAUUUCGAGAAGGAGACGCAGCACUUAGGAGGGGGCUUAUUUGCAGUCUCAUUGCACGUCACCUGCUCCGAGGAUCACCAAUUUACAUCAACAUACAGAAUGAACAAUCACACUUUAUCCUAAAUCGAAAACCACACAAACGAAAAUACCAAAUACAACUAGCGCAAAUUUCACCUGCCAAGUCUUGAAGGCAGUGGUCUCGUGGAGCACAUAAGGAUCCGGGUAAGCUGUAGGCUUGAUUCGGCGUGGCACACCACACUUGAACCUUCCGUCUGCAAUCCUCCAGUUGCCGGGAGGGAUGAUGUGAUUCAGCUGAUUGCUCAUGGGAGGAACCUUAAACACGUUCAUAAGAAAGGCGGACUUAGAUUUCUUCUCAUCAAGCAACGCUGGCCAAAGGGUUCCGUUUCUGCAGCAAUAUUCGAUCCUACCAACUUGAGUGUCGUUGUAUUUUUCCAUCGGAAGGUCAAUUAUCUCGGGGCUCACGGAGCAGCUAAGAACCGUGUUCAUGUCCGGAUCGGUGUAAGUUUUCCCUGCAAUUCCGUUCAAGCAUACCUCCCUGUCGGCUUCUCGAGUUGUAGCACCCAUCAUCUUCGUUAUGAACUCGUUUUCUUGCCACGUGAAGGAAAUGUUCCAGAAGUCCAGACGCGCAAUUGGACUGUCAUUCGAGAUAGUUACCUGCGAGUGUGGAUCGCAUUGAACUCAUUUAGCCCAAAUGCAGCCACUGUACUCUGAGCAGACGUCAUAUUAGUCUAAUAAGAUAAGCACAAUGACUCGUGUUUAGCACUUACAUGUGCCAAGUAGCUGCCGGGAUAAGCCUGAGUGACAUCGUAGGUGAUGGUGAUAUUCCCCGUCUCAGGAGGCAAGAAGAAUUCGUCGUCAGUCAAGGUUAUGUUCCGGUUUGGCUCUGAGCAGCAUGUGUGCAUAGUAUUAUCUGCAAAUUGAACUCCCAGUUAGCCACCUCAUCUGGAUCCUAAUUCCGCUGUUAACUGACAGCACGCGAGAUCGGUACAUAAUGAGAGGUUCUACCAGAACUAAUGAAAGCUUCUGAAAAAACCACUCACUUCCGUAGAGCAAUGCCUUGCUGCAGUUGUAUCCUUUCUGAGUGAUGUUAAUGCUCCGCGGCAUCGGAUUUAACUUUACCCCGAACUCCGUCCCUUUGAUGAUGAAAGAUUUCUGAACCUGAGUCAUGUCCCCAGCUGUCUCGAUAGCGUUUUUCAACACUCCAGCGGGAAUUUGCGUGAGGAUGGUACCGUUAGAGACGUCGACUGGCAUUAGGCGCCCGUCUUCCAACACUAUUCCUUCGGCAUCUACAAUAAUCUACCCCAUGCACGAUACGUGAGGACGUGAACAGCGAUGAGAGCACCAAUAAACUGUAACACUCAAAAUAACGAAAACUAUGAAGUCUGAAAAGAUCUACAAAAAACUGGGUUUUAUCAGUGGGUGCAUAAUUCUCACCUCGUGGUUCUGGAAAUCAAUUCCAAUCGCCCAGCCUUCCACUGUCGAGUACCCCAUGUUCGUGAUCGUGACGGCGGACUCGAAUCUGUAAGGUUGGAGCCAGGGAGUAUCAUUGAGGAAAGGGUAGAUCUUCACCGCGUACAUGUUCGUGUACACAAUAUCAACGCCAUCACAAGGGGGCCACAGAGGCGCAGGCUCUGGGGCGGGUGCGAAAGAAACAGGCGCAAGGGGAGCGAUCACUGGAGCUACCGCUGGAGCCUUAAUAAUGGGAUUCUCAGGGAAACCUUGUCCCUUCACAGAUGUCGUGGAAAUAGCCACGAGAGCGAUUAUCAACAAUGCCCUAGAUAUCUUAAACCCUCUCAUGGCUACCACCUACGUUAUCACGACUGAGAUACAAGUGGACUUGCUUGAUGUGAAAGACAAGCAAGGUGCUUCAUACAAUCGGACUACCUAUUCAAACAUGUCCAGAUCCUAAGCAAAGUCUUCAGCAGCUGCAGAACCGUAGCUGAUUUCUCGAACCUUAACCUCGGAGCUAAAUCCAAAACCAAGCUUUCAUCUGCGAAACACAAUGCGAGCCCUCAUUCCACUAGGUCCUCUGAAUUCCAAAACCUGAGAGCUCAACCCCUGGUCUAAAACCUCUAGAACUACACAUUGAGGGGGCAGUGUCGAAAGACUCUUCCACAACGCGGCAGAAGCAACACGCACACACACAGCCUGGUUGAUGAGGCUUGCAAUGCUUCAGCCCAUCCAGGAGUGAGAUGAAGAACCACUACUAGAAGUGUGAGAUCUAGAGUGGGAAAGAGGGAGGGAGCCCCGUCGACUUAGGGACGGCGGCCUCGGGGCAACCACUGCUGUGCUGAUAAUGGCGACCAGUGCCCGCACUGAAAAACUAAACUGGUCUAGAGGCGCAUGUGACUCUACCCCCUAGGACGCCGCUCACACUCUUGACGAGAGGCUUCCCGCGCAACACUUUCAGCGAGCCCGUCGCUCUGCAGGCGACAAUCACCUCUGCUUCACUCCAAAAGCGUCGAUUGCCCAUGUUUAUUCGGUGUGUAAAUAUUCUGCGCAUACUCGACGAAGAAUUCCAGAUUGACUCGGUUUGGCUCGUAUUGGCCCAGAGCUUCAGACGUUGGGGUCGGGUCUGGGGUGCAGCAAAUUGGCAGCUACGAGCAACUCCUAAAUUGAGAAAAUAAACAGCUACUUGUGACGAUCUACACCCAGGUUUAGUCUGCAAGUUUUUCCUCCUGCGAUGUGUCCCGUCCAAGCGAAGGACUAAUUCACAUCUCGUCCUGCAAGGAAAGUCGAUCUGGAAAAAAGAGUCUGAGUGAAAGUGGGAUGGUAACCCUCAAAACGAAAUGAAUGCAAUCUAAAGAAAAAAAUUAAAAAUUAAAAAUAAAACAAAACGAAAAAGCAAAACAAAAACAAAACAGAUAAAUAAUGCGAAUAGCCUAUAGCAUCCCUGUUUGAAUAGCACGUCUAAAUUAGUUAUUGUCGGCUCGAGAGCGAUGUUUAAUUAUACUGAUUUUUAUUUUAUAUUUUAUAUUUCUCUUUGAAGUGUUGUCAUGCAGAAAAAUCAGCACAUGUUCUCAGAUUUUGUUUUCUAGUUUUUUUCUCAGCGCAAAUCAGAAGCACACAUGAGACAACCAUUUGCUUUCUACCAACCAUUUGUUGCAAAUUAUAGUAUUCUGCUGUGGUUUUUGUCCAUUGUUACUACGCUUGCAUCAGCAAGAACAGUAACGACUGUGGAUGAAUAGAAGGAAUUAGUUUUGGCUGACGAGCGUCCUCUUCCCAUACCUGAACUUUCCUGGGUUGCCAAAUUUAUCAACUGCAAGAUCGAUUAAUAGCUCGCAAUAUGAGGGGGACUCCUGGUGACUCGCAGCCGAGCUCCGAUACCACGAGGCACCAUGAGCAACAGCUAGCCAAGUAACAUCGCAGCCCCUCCGCUGCUGGAAAAAUAAUAAUAAUAAUAAUAAUAAUAAAAUAAUCCAAUCCGUGUACUGGAAAAUUUUCUAUAUUAUACAAAGGUAUUUCUGGGCUCGUGCAUUUGAUCAUUGUGAUAUUGGACUGUUUGACAGAACAAUAACUUGAAUUCUACAAAGGCAUUCAUGUUGUUAUUAUUAGUCCAGAGGCGUGAUGUGCGUUGCCCUUCCACAUCUUUCUCAACCUGAGAAUCUUCAUCCCUCAGGAAAGUUUUACGUGUUUUUCACUUCCUUCGAGCAACUUCGUUUACUUUUUACUUUGCGAUAUCUCUUUUGCAACGAGAUUGUCGCAGAUUGUAAUCUUGAAGCCGGGUGGUGAAUAUUUCAUCGUUGGCCAGAAUUUGCUGAUCCCUCAAGGCUGGAAGAUCCUUCAGAGUUUCACAAUCCUCUUAUUUACUUCACCCAGAUCUAACCACCUGCAACACCGGAAGCGUCGAAGAUGUGCACUUAAGGAGAAGUAGAAGUGGAAGCUGCCACUUAUCCAGCAGUGGCAUCCUAAUCGCAUUGUUCCAUCAGCUCCACCAACUUCGUUUUUUUUAGACAUUCACGGUUCGAGGCAUUCAGAACCGCGCUGCUGAAUUCGAUAUGGUGGUUCGAGAAGCGCGGGGGCAGAUCGCUUGCUGGAGCUAAUAUUGUCCUCCAAAUCAGUAGGUUGCCUUCGCAAUUCCCAUGUUCAGAGAUCCUCGCAAUGCUUCUUACUCCAGCUUCAGGUUCUGCAGCAUAUUACCUGCUCACCAAAUCUCAUAAAAAUCCUGAGAAUCGUGUUGGAAACGAGGUAUUAUCCAAUUUAUGACUGCAACCACAUGCUCGGGGAAACAACGCUCCGUCAAAGUUCACUUCUUAAGCAAGCAACUUUGGGAUCAGAUUUAGGUUGAAGCAAGCAGGUUAAUAUGAGGCCCUUCAAAUUGUCACGUUGUCAUCUUUAGUCAUGAAAAUACAUGAUUCUGUGCUGGUUUUGCCGAGACUGUUAAUGAGAGUUUUCAUUUCUACACAAGAAUUAAAAAAAUAAAAAUAAAAAUAAAAAUGUGGGGAAUGUCAUAGUAAUAUACAAUGAUUUAUAAACCAAGUGCAAUAUAUCUAGAUUAUUGCUUCGGGUUCAGAACGAGCAUGUGGCUUGUGGGAAUGAGAAUGAAAAAGAAUGAAAAAGCAGCACAAAAAGUGCUGAGUUUCCUUUGUCUAAAUGGUGUGAUGCCUCCUGGAUCCAAAAAGGCCACUGAAUUCUCACUUUUUCCAAAGUAUAUAUAUCUGUUUUGUUGCUGUUCUGUCCUGGGAUCAUCACAAAAAAUCGUAACAGAGAACUCGCGUUUUUGUCUGCGAAUUAUCUGGAAGCUCACGCGGCAAAAGCUCCGAUGCCAUGCACUGGAUCUGAUUAGGAGAGCUCGCCUGCAAGUCAAUCGCGGCUCUGUUUGUCAUUCUUUUGCUUGAGAUGACGUAAAAGCAAACCAACACCCAUCUCUCACCAAAGGAAACCAUACAAAAAAAAAAAAAAAAAAAAAAAAAAAAACUCUUGGUACUUACGGAUCGCGACUGUCUACCUAGAGCUCGUACACAGCGUCGCCGAGCGUGUUGCAUCCACAAGCAACUUCAUUUUACAAAAUACCAGACGAAGAAGAAGAAGAAGAAGAAGAAGAUGUUUACAUUUGGCUGAGGUGAACAAUUUUUGUAUUCAUUUUUCAAAUAGUUGUUUACAGAAAGAACGAGCUUUGUGUCCACCCCAGUCUUUUUCACAAGCUUUUGUACGUUUUCUGAAAUAUAUCUUCUUCCUUCACAACUUGCACAAUUUUCUUAGUCAUGUUCACAACAAACCAAGAUUCUUAAUGUUUAUUUACUUGUUAUUGAAACAAUGAAAACAAGUGGACCAAUUCACUUGCAGUGGAAUAUUGAUAAGAAGGAAUUGAUGAAGGAUUUCCUAGGAAGAUGCAACCACCCACCAUUUUGGUUGGGUUCAUGAGGAAGGAAGAUGCAACCACCAUUCACUUUAUUUAGCAAGUUCAUUUUUUUUAUACUAUAAAUGCCUUUUAAAACACUUAUCAAUAUUGGACUUCAUGCGUACUGAAUAUUAAAUCUAUAUUCAUUUGUUUGACAAUCAAAGAAUGUGGUAUUUACAAACAUGUUAUUAGAACGGUACUGUAAAUACUUAAUAUAUAUAUAUAUAUAUAUAUAUAUAUAUUAGUUUUGUGUUUACUUGAUCUUGUCAUUCUUUGAUUUCUAGUUUUUAUUUUGGAUAAUGUUGGUGACCUGUAAUUGAUAGAUUUACAAAAUUUUAUGUAAGUGUUUUAAUGAUGGUUUUCAUCCGAAUUACUAGAAGAUUGAAAGCGAAACCCACAUUAUUAAAUAAUCAGCAUUUGUAACGUACAAGAUUUUAGUGAGUUUUAGAAUUUCAUCAGUUUCCAUCAUCUAUUGAAGUCACUGCACACACAUAUUUUCAAAACUUAUUAAUUUAUUUUUCUCUCUUCUCUAUUGCACACUUACAAUUAUAAAACCACAUUUAUUUUUAUUUUUUCCUUUAAUUUAUUAAAAUUUGAAAAAUGAUUACAAAUUAUCAUAAAUUAUAUAUGAAUAUUUAUUGAAUAUUUGAAGUAAAAUUUACUUAAAUAAGCACAUAGAAAAGGUUUAUUUCCAUAAAAUUCAAGAAUGUUGUUUUAAUACUCAAGAGGCAAACAUUAGUGGAAAAUAAUACCAAAUGUUAAUCCAAUUUGACAAUUCAAUAAGAUUUAUUAUUAUUUUAAGCUAUUUAUACAUUGAAUCCUUGUGUCAUUGUGUGGUUUAUCCUUAGGCACCAUCAGUGAAUAUCUGAUUGAUUGCUGUAAUUGUUGUGCUAUAAGUAUUCAAAAUUGUUGUUUUUCUCCCUUUUUUUUUUUUUUUUUUUUUUUUUUCUUCCUUAAACUUGAAGUGGAUUCAAUAAAGAUGGAGGUAUUUUGGUGUGCCACAUUUUUGUAGUUGAUACUAAUCAAGGAGUGAAUGCUAUGGAUUUGAUUGACUUCAAAUUAGAAACCACCAAAUAGCCUAUAUAUACAGUAAAUAUAUACACCUAUUGAAGUUGAGCAAUGAUCAGUAUUGUGAUUAAAGUUAAUUAUAAAUACUUGGAUGGCUAACUUCAAAUGGAAUUAAUAAAUUACGUCAAUUAGAGAGUAUAUUUAUAAGAGUGAUGUGCAACUUUGAUUUUUUUAUUAAUAAAUUAUCACUGUUUCUUUAGCACUGCUUUAUCAAUGAAAAAUGAACAUCUUAAAAUUGACCACAAGAGCUCAAAUUGUAUUCAUCACUUCUGUUUUUUACGUGUGAAAAAAUCUUGUGAGAAUAUUGGUACAGAAAAUUUCAAACUUCAAAUAAAUCAGUGAAAGAGGUUAAGACUAUAAAAAUGAUUUGUCAAAUAAAAUAUUACUAUUACUAUUUUAAUAAUUAUUUAAAGCAUAGCAAAAUAAUAUGAUAGAAUAAGAAUAAUAUUAAGAAUUGGAUAGUGGAAUAGACCGCAGAAAUGUAGAAAAGAACUAGCAGGAUUAAUAAAGGCAUGAGACUAACUGGAAGAAAAAACUGAGAUUAAUCAUGCGGCUAAUUUGCAAAGAUCAAACUCUAACAUGUCCAUUACUUUUUUCCCUUUGAAGUUUAGUAAAAGACACAAAAAACUAUAAUGUGCCAAAGAUUUAAUAAAAUUACAUUCUAUGCAUUUUAAACCAAAUCCACAAAUAUACCACAAAUACGAAUACUACAAAAUUAAUCAUAAAUUAUACCAAAAAAAUUACAAAAUUAGAUUUGAAAAAAAAUACAAAACUUAAUUAAAUUGAAUAUCGGAACACACAUGCUUGGUAAAUCUAGUGUAGGCAUCCUUUUCAGCAUCAAACGUGCUAUUUUGAAAUUUUUAUUCUAAGAAAAAAAAAAUAUAAAACUCAAUUUACUACCAAUCUAUUUUGUUUAGAUAUUCACACCAAGUUUUAUUUUUUUUCUAACUUUCCUUGAUUACAAUGAAAGGUUUCUAAAAGCAAUAUUGAAAAUAACUACAAUGCUUUAAGGAUAAUAUUAAGAUGUGCUUGACUUCAACAUGAUUUUUUUUUUUUUUUUUUUUUUUUUUCUUUAUUGCUUUUGGUUUCUUACUAAUAUUGUUAUUAUGUAGAGAAUUGACACAUAAACAAUGUGAGCAUGUCAUGGCUUUGGAUGGGCUAAAACUACAUUCAUAGUGGAUAUGGUUUUUGUAAAGCAUCACUAUAUAAUAAUAUUUUAGAAGGCUUGUCAUAAGGUGCAAUAUGGUUUGUGGAGGUCCAAUUGCUGCAAAAAAUAGUCAGAUUUAUAUGUUCCUCUUGCAAAAAUCUUGCUAUGGGACCAACCAAAUUUAUGGUUUGUCUUGACACUUUACAAGUUCUAAAUAGCAUCAAAAUCUUGCACAUAUGGUAUUGCUCUAACAAACUCAAUUAAUAAAUAGAUCAUUUUACUUUGAUAAUUUUAGUAUGUUUCUUUUCUUUUCAGUAAAUAAGGGAUAAUUCAACUGAUUCUAUUGCUUUACAAAAGACCAUCUAAUUUGGAAUUGAUAUAUAUAUAUAUAUAUAGAUAGAUAAUUUUAUUUUUGAAUGAUAUCAUAUAUAUAUAUAUAUAUAUAUAUAUAUUUUUUUAAAUUUUAAAUCUGUGAUUUGUAUCUGAAAGACAUAAUUUAGAAUCAUAAAUUCAACUUCAGUCAAAAUCUAAUAUGAUUUCCUACAAUCAUAUAUAUACAUACAUACAUACAGACACUUAUUGAUUUUUUUUGCAGUUCUAAAUUACAAAUUAACAGCAUUAUAUUUUUGCCAAUGGAUUGUUUUAUUGUGAUUUAAUGUCAAAUUAGUCUAAAACCAAAAUGUAACUUUUAUUUUUAUUAAAUAGAUUUAAAAUAUCUUUAUUGAAUUAUAUUUAGUUAUUUUUCUAACCAUAGGAGUGUGUUUUUAAUUAAUUUAAUUUAAUUCAAUUUUUUUAGUGUGUUAAUGUAAGCACACAAGUAAAAAUCAUUCAUUAUGAUAUAAACCCACAAUUUACACAUUGUCAUACACAAUUACCCUGUAUUUUUAAAUGAUCUUUGUAACAAGAAAUUAAUUGAUGUGAUAUAUGUGUGUGUAUAUAUAUAUGUAUGUAUGUAUAACUGACAUAUAAUAUUGUAGUGAAUACAAAAAAAUAAAAUAGACAUGCUAAAUUGUUUUUAGAAAAAAUUUAUAUCUUUAUUGAUUUUUUGUGAUGAAAUCUCAGAAGUAUUGCCAAAUUUUAUUAAUUUCUCCAAAUUUUACCUCUAUCAUAGCUUAUUCUCUAUAUUUUCAUUAAAAAAAAGGUUAAUAAUUUUUUAAUGUAUAUAAUAUAUCUAUGAAAUUUGAAGAAAAUUUGAAUAAAUUUUAAGAGUAUUCAGAAUAGGUUUUUAGAGAUGUUAUAUAUAAUUUUGGCAGUCUUUGAAAUUAUUUCUAAAAUAAUAUUAUAUAUUUGUGUGUGUAUAUAUAUAUAUAUAUAUAUAUAUAUAUAAAUCAUUUGAAAUGAAAAUAACUAAUUUCUUAUCUAACAUGUGGUAAAAGCUUUAGAAAUUCAAAUGUCCAAUGAAUUAUUUCCAUAGGUUUAUAUUAACUAAUAAUGCUUGUUAAAUAUUAAUCAGCAGUUCUCUUUUUGAUAAGUACAGAUUUUUGUUCUCUCUUGUUUUCUUUUAAUGGUAGUUGUCUUUUUAACAACAUUUUUUUUAAUAAUAUAAUAUUUAUUGAAAAAAAUAUUUAUAAAGUGAUUAAGGUUUAUAAUCAUUUUACAAAGUUCAAGUAUAUAUUUUCAUUUUCAAUUCAAAAUUUAUUGAGCAUUGUAUAUUUUUUGAUAUUUCAAAUAAUAAUAUUAUUUUUAAUAACUUAAUGCAUAUUCUUUUAAACUAUUUUGUCAUUAAAAGUAAAAUAGUUUUAUAAAUUUUUCAAGAUAUAUUUUUAAAAUAAUAUAAUCAUUAAUUUUUAAGUCCAUAUUUUAAUAUUAAUAUCUUCAAUAUUCUUAUAUUUGCGUAUUUGAAAUUAUCUCUUCUUUUUAUUUUUUUAUUUUAUAAAACCAUAAUAAUAAUAAAAUAUAUUUUUAUUUGAAUUUUUAUUUAUAAAUUAUAAAUCUAAAUUAUAUUUUAUUUUAAAAAAUAUUAAAUAUAUAUUUUUAAUUUUAUAUAAUAAAAUCUAUCAAAAUGCUUACUAUCAACACUUAAAGUUGGAUAUGCACUUAGGUAGGUUAUUUAGUUUUAGAGGGUAGGCAAAGUAUAUCAAAAAAUUCCAUUAGGGGACUUUUUUUCCGUAAUUAAAAGCAUACAUGUAAGUUUCUUUGCAUGUGGCUUAUCUAUAGCAAAAAAAAUCAGCUUUUUUGGCUUCUUGUCUUGCAUGCACUAGUAACUCUCUACAGUAAACUUGUCUUGAGCUGCAACAUUUCAUGUCAGAUGCCUCCAGAAUUCUAAGAGAUUCUAUAACCUUCUAAUUUCUUUGAUCUACUAACAUCUAGAUUUAAGUCACAUAAUUUGUAAUAAAAACAAUCAAAAUCACUUUGUGACAACUUGUUUGAAGACAUUAUAAUAUGCCUUUGAAAAGAAUAUAAACAACAAUGUUAGAUAAGGUUUUCAUUGCCCUUUGUCAAUUCAAAAAAGGAAAUUCCAACUUAAUGCAUCGUUAACUCAUGGAUUGAUUGAAGAACAUUUAUAAGACCAAAGUCACUCAAAUAACCAUAUUUAGGACCUUCAAGCAUUCAACAAAGCUACUUGAAAAGACUAACAAUGCAAAUUUAGAUAACAAGAGAUAAAGAACUAUUAAAUAUCAGUUAAUUAAAUCAAUACAUAUAGAAUGAUUUCAUCUAAAUUAGAAAUGUGUCAACAUUGGUGUUUGGUCAAAGAAAAAAUAACUAUCAUUCUUUAUUGACUAUAUUUUGGACAUAAAAUGUUUGUAUUCUCUAAUAGAUGGCUAGAGGCAUUCAAAAAUGCUACAAAAUCUAAUCUUUCUAUUAUUUUGAAGAGAGUGAGUUAAUCAACAUAAACAUUAUUACAAAUUCUUUUCUUUUGAUUUGUGGAAUCAUCAACAAGUUCAAAUAAAGAGACAUUUAUAAUAUAGAUAAAAUUGGCCUUUUUUAUUGCAAGUAAAUUAUUUUAUACUAUGUUCUUUGUAAUUAAAUUAUUUUAUACUAUGUUCUUUGUAAUUCAAUUAUUUUAUAUUAUGUUUUGAUGCCAAUAAGCUUUCCAAAGGCUAAUUGCUAGCUUUACUUUAUGUCUAAGCAAAACAUUCUUUGACUAACAAACAAUUUGAAAGAAAAAAAAAUAAAGCAAAGAAAGAAUUACAUUGAUUCAAUUUUGUAAUAGAAAUGAUAUUGAUAAGCUUCUUUUUAGGAUUAUUAGAAAUUUUUAGAUGUUGAGAUAUUUCAAGAAUAUCAAUCAAAUCAAUCUUAGUUGCAUAUACAAGAGUAAUAUUAAGGCUUAGAUGAUUUAUACAAAAUGACACAAAACCUUUUACAUGUGCAUGAUAAACUAAGAAGUUAUUAUUAUUUUGAAUAAAAAAAACAUGUAUAUUCAAGUGGCAAAAUUUUCUAAUUAUAUUUAAUUCUAAAAUACCAUAAUAUAUUAUUGCUAUCAGUAUGUCACCUCUAAGAUUUAACCUUGUGAUGUUGUUGUGAUGUAAUACAACUAUAUAACAAAAAUAUAAUCAAAAUUAAAUUUUUAAUUAAUAUCUAAUUAUCUUAAUUCAAUUAUGAUUUAAGAUAUUUAAAUAUGAUUUUUAUAAAAGCCUCUUAGUUUAUUUUCUUAUCUUAAUAGUUAUUAGGUUAGAUGUUGAUUAGUAAGUUUACCUUCUAGGCUGUAGAGACUCUUUUACUACCUUAGAAAGACAAUAAAUUAGUAAAAAUAGGUUAAAAAAAUAAAUAAUUAGCCUGGUUGAUACUAGGAUAAAUUUGAAAGUAGGUUUGGGCUAAAAAAACCCCUAAGAUAGUUUAGAUUGAUACUCGGGGGUCAAUUGUUUGUGAGACAAGGUCGAAAUCAGAUUUCUAGCCACUAAAACGACAACUUAGGGCAAAAUAGGGAGGUAUUUGAAGAUUAGAGGUUAGGAUUCAAGAGUUAGCAUGAAGUUUAUUCUAGAGAUGUAAGGCUUGUUUUGGUAGGAUUUGUUGAAGCUUUGCAAUUAUUGUUCAAAGUCAGGGUUUGUAUUAGCAACUGUUAGGGACAUAUUCCUUAGAACUUUCUAGAGAGAAGUUUCUAGAACCUUCUUGAAAACAAGCCUCUGGAACCUUCUAGAAGAGAAGCCUCUGGAACCUUUUAGAGAGAAGUUUCUAGAAGCUUCUAGAAAGGAAGUCUCUGGAACCUUCUAGAAGAGAAGUUUCUAGAAGCUUCUAAAAAGGAAUCCCCUGGAACUUUCUAGAAGCUUCCUAGUUAAUAGAAGUAGCUCGAGAAGUUUCUAGAACCUUCUAAAAAGGAAGCCUCUAGAACCUUCUAGAAGCUUCCUAGUUAAUAGAAGUAGCUCGAGAAGCUUCCUAAGUAGGAGUAUAUAUAGGAAUCGAGGCUGAAGAGUUCUUCAGUCUCGACAACACAUCUCUUGGAGUUCUACCUCACCUUUCUGGUGUUGUUCUUGUACUCAUCUGUUUAAUCUAGUUCUGCCACUUCUUCUUGAACUUCUUAUUAGAUUUCAAGUCUGUAUUUUGUGUCCGUGAUAGUUUGUCGAGACUACACUAACUUGAGAUAUCAGAGCUAGUUCUUUCUUAGUAGAGUGUGGAUUAUCCCUCUACUUGAAGGUAUACUAGCAUUUUUUAGAGGUUGCGGAUUACCCUCCUCUAAACUGAUACUUCUUCUGUUACAAUAUUAGAGUCUUAUUCUUCUUGGAGAGAGUGGAUUACCCCUCUUCUUGAAAUUCUUAAGGCAUUUUAUAGGUUGUGGAUUACCCUCCUAUAAACCAAUAUUGCCUCUUAUAGGGUCAUUUUUGUCCUUCUUUUAGAAUGGCCGGAGGUCAAGACAUUAGUAUGACAGAAAGUUCGGAGUCUAAGUUAAAUGCUAUUAUGAAUGCCCUCGCUACGUUAUCACAAAGAACUGCAGAGAUUGAAGGAGUGGUGGCAAGGCUUCAUAAUGAUGGAGUAUCUGGAAUAGCACAAUCUAAACUACACCAGCCUCAAAUUUCGGCACUUGGAGAAACAACUUUACCUCAGGUUCGACAAGAACCACUAGUUCUACAACAUAAGGAGCCUCGAGUUAGCCUUCCAGAUAAGUUUGAUGGAACACGUUCCAAGUUUCAAGGAUUCAUUAAUCAAAUCAGGUUGAUAACAGUUUUACAACUCGAACGAUAUCCAACGGAGGAGUCACGUGUUGGGCUUGUUGGAACCUUACUUACGGGACAAGCUCUAUCAUGGUUUGCUCCUUUGUUUGAGAAACGAUCAUCCAUAUUAAACAACUUCGAAACCUUUUUGGAAGCAUUUGCGGAAGCAUUUGGUGAACACGAUAAGGUUCAAUGGGCUACAACAAAGAUCCGGUCGCUACGACAAGGGAUGCGUUCUACAUCAGUCUAUGCUUCGGAUUUCAGGCAAUUAGUAUGCGACAUCAAUUGGGAUGAAGAAGCGUUGAUGAGUCAAUUCUAUUGGGGUUUAAGAGAUGAUGUGAAGGAUUUGCUGUUAACUCUUCCUGAUCCACAAAUGCUUAAUGAAGCCAUUAGCCAAGCUGUGAAGUGCGAUAAUCGCAUAUUCCAACGUCGCCAAGACCAACGCUCAAGAAAACAUACAAUUUACCAUGCUCCAACUAUGUCGGCAAGUGGUGUGAAUUCGCAUUCAGAGGUGGAAGACAUGCAAAUUGAUGCGAUACGUAUCAAAUCUCUUACUAUAGAAGAAAAAAAGCGACGUAUGGAGGAAAAUUUAUGCUUGUAUUGCGGUGGAGAAGGCCACAAAGUCGGAAACUGCCCCAAAAAGCAAAAUCAAGGCAUAGUCAAGACUAGGGGAGUAUUUGUUCAGGAAAACGAGGAUGCCCAGCCACAGUAGGAACCGUGCGGCUGGACAAUGAAAUAUCCCAACAACGAUCAGGUUCCUUUCUUUCUGCCCAACCUACACUUUGUUUUACAAUCUCUCUGUUUAUCCGCCCUCAAAAACUGAGAACCUUAGCACUACUAGACUCAGGAGCAUCUGCUUGUUUUUUAGACGAAGAAUUUGCAAAGCGUCAUAAGAUCCCUUUAGUACAAAAAUCAAAACUUGUUCAUGUUGAGGUCAUAGAUGGGCGACCUUUAUUGUUUGGUAGCAUCACCCAUGAAUCAAAACCUAUAGAAGUAACGUUUAAAGACCAUAGUAGUCAUAUUAUUUUUAAUAUUAUUAGAACCCCAUCAAAUCCUAUUAUUCUUGGUCUUUCUUGGUUGGAAAAACAUAAUCCAUUGAUAGAUUGGAGGUUGCGGAAGAUGACUUUUCCCACAAAACCACCCAAGAAAAAACCUAGUAAAAAACCUCGAAAAAAGAAAUCCUUAUUCAUUGGAGCAAGAGCGUUUAUAAGAUCAUCUAAGGAAGGCACUCCAUUUGUCAUUUAUGCGGCUCCAACUACUGAGGAGAAGAUCUCAACAGCAAGUAUACCGGAGCAAUAUAAGGAUUUUGAAGACGUGUUUCAAAAGAAGAACGCCGACAUACUACCGGAACACUGACCAUAUGAUUGUGCCAUAGAUUUGCAAGAAGGAGCACAACCACCUUUUGGCCCAAUCUACAAUCUAUCGCAAACAGAGUUGGCAGAGUUGCGAAAGUACAUCGACGAGAAUCUAGCCAAGAACUUCAUUCGUCAUUCAAAAUCAUCAGCUGGAGCAUCCAUCUUAUUUGUGAAGAAGAAAGAUGGAUCAUUACGGAUGUGUGUGGACUAUCGAGGCCUCAACAAGGUAACAAAGAAAAAUCGUUACCCAUUACACUUGAUUUCUAGUCUCUUAGAACAACUUGGACGUGCGAAGAUCUUUACAAAAAUUGAUCUAAGGGGAGCUUAUAAUCUCGUACGAAUCAAGGAAGGAGAUGAGUGGAAGACAGCAUUCCGUACAAGGUAUAGUCAUUUCGAAUAUAAUGUCAUGCCUUUUGGUCUUACCAAUGCUCCAGCGGUUUUCCAACAUAUAAUAAAUGACAUCUUUCGAGAACACCUCGACGAUUUUGUUGUCAUCUACUUGGACGAUAUUCUAAUAUUCUCUAAAAACGAGGAAGAGCAUGAGGAGCAUGUUCGUUUGGUCUUGGAGAAACUAUGCAAGCGAGGACUAUAUGCCAAAUUAGAAAAGUGUUUAUUUCACCAGACGGAGAUGGAAUUUUUGAGGUUCAUUGCGACUACAGAAGGUUUGAAGAUGGACCCCAAGAAAGUAGAAGCAAUCAUGUCUUGGGAGGUUCCGAAGACGGUUAGGGACGUACAAUGCUUUCUUGAUUUUGCUAACUUCUAUCGGAUCUUCAUCAAGAAUUAUUCUCAAGUUGUUGCUCCUCUCACUCGAUUAACAUACAAGGAUAAGUUGGAAUGGGGACCUUUGGCGGAGAAGGCGUUUCAAGAUUUGAAGACAGCAUUUAUUACAGCUCUAAUUUUGCUACAUCCAGACUUUACAAAGGCCUUCUAUUUAGAAACUGAUGCUUCAGAUUUUGCUUUGGGAGCUGUGCUUUCACAAAUGAGUGAAGAUAAGAAGUUGCAUCCAAUAACAUUCUAUUCUCGGAAGUUCUCUACUGCUGAAAUCAAUUAUGAGAUCCACGAUAAGGAACUUCUUGCUAUAGUGGAUUCUUUCAAAGAUUGGCGUUACUUUCUUGAAGGAGUUGUACAUCUAGUAACCGUAUAUACGGAUCACAAGAAUUUGGAGUAUUUCAUGACGGCUCGAGUUUUAAAUCGGCGUCAAGCUCGGUGGAAUAUGUCGCUAUCUAGAUUCCAUUUUGUUAUCACUUAUCGACCUAGAAGAUAGCAAGGACUAUCCGAUGUUUUAUCAAGGAGAUCGUAUCUUGCACCAAAGGUUGGAGAAGCAGCGUUUGAUCAACAAUGUACAACAUUAUUGAAGCCAGAGAGAUUUCAACUUUGUGCUACUAUUGUAUCAUUUGAUGCUGACUUCCUAAACCAGGUACAUGCUAUGACCAUUAAAGAUUCAGUAGCCAUUGAUAUCAAGCAACGUACCUAUGACGACAAGUUCAAGGUGGAGGGAGAUCUUUUAUACUUUGAAGAGCGAUUGUACAUUCAAAAAGGACUAGCACGACUCCGAGUUCUUCAAUCUCGCCAUGAUUUUCCAGCUGCGGGACAUUUUGGAUUCAACAAGACCUUGGAGCUUAUUUCCCGAGAUUUUUGGUGGCCCCAAAUGUGGAAGGAUGUGAAAGAUUUUGUCCUCUCUUGUGACAUUUGUUCAAGAUCUAAGAAUCCUCGACAUCGCCCUUAUGGACUUCUACAGCCAUUGUCAAUUCCACGUCGACCAUGGUCUUCAAUUUCUAUGGACUUCAUCACGGACUUUCCAUCAUCAAACUCAUUUGACAGCAUCUUUGUCAUGGUAGAUCGGCUUACGAAGAUGGCACACUUUGUUCCUUGUAAGAAGACAUCAUCCAGUGAAGUCAAAGCAAGACUCUUUCUCGAUAAUGUGUAUCGAUAUCAUGGACUACCAAAUGAUAUCAUAUCAGAUCGAGGUACCCAGUUCGUGUCAAAGUUUUGGAGAUCUCUGUUUGGAAUAUUGAAGGUGGAUAUCAAGCUUUCUUCAGCUUUUCAUCCUCAAACUGAUGGCCAAACGGAACGGGUGAACCAAGUCUUGGAGCAGUACUUAUGAUGCAGCAUCAACUAUCAGCAAGACGAUUGGACUGCAUAUCUACCACUAGCCGAGUUUGCAUAUAACAACACCCUCCAUGCGUUGACUCAACAAACACCAUUCUUUUCCAACUAUGGGUAUCAUCCGAAGCUUGAUUUAUUGAGUCCGUCAACAAAUAACAAUCCAGCAGCUGAAGGAUUUGCGAAGCAACUAUCAGAGCUUCAAACUAUGUUGAAGCUUCAAUUACAAUCCACUCAAGAAUCCUAUAAGACGUGUGCAGAUAGAUUUCGGAAUCCAGCACCUACUUUCAAAGUUGGAGACAAAGCGUGGCUUCUUCGAUGAAAUAUCAAGACCAAGCGACCAUGUGAUAAGUUGGACUAUCGAAGAUUGGGACCAUUUAUCAUCGAGAAGCAAAUUAAUCCAGUGGCAUACCGGCUGGAGUUAUCGGCUUCUAUGAAGGUACAUCCAGUCUUUCAUGUUUCUCUGUUGGAAUCUUAUCCAGAGUCAUCUUUUCCUGGAAGAGUGCAAUAUCCGCCACCUAGUAUUGAAAUCGAGAACCAUGAAGAAUACGAGGUUGAAAAGGUAUUGGAUUCACGGCGAAGAUGGGGAAAGUUAGAAUAUCUUGUUCAUUGGUGCGACUAUGACAUUAAUGAGCGAACGUGGGAGCCAGCUGAAAAUCUUGCGAAUGCGCCACAAAAGGUACAGGAGUUUCAUCAACGACAUCCCGAUAAACCUAAAUCAAUUCGAUGAUAGCUUCUUUCUGAAGCUUGUUCUCCCAACAAUAUAAGAAAAGGGGAGAGCACCAGCAAAAUUCAUAGUUGAUGUAGUUAUUUUCUCCAAGAUAGAUCGUAGUUUGGUCUUUUGAUAUGGAUAGCCAAGAGAUAGAUACUAUGCCAGUCAGAGUAUCGCAACUGAGUAGCUCACGAAGGCGACCCCGAGAUGAAGAACUAUAUGUACCAUGACAACGACGGAGGAUACUGAGUAAUCGAUCACUAGUGAUCGUAUUUGAGAUCGAGCCUACUUACGAUGGUCAACCAGAAGGCGUGUUUGUAGGACAAUUUCAUAAUGAGGACACUGAAGUUCAUACUUGGUCAGAAGUCGAAGGCGUGGGCCACUACCGUUGGCUUCAAGGGUCGAUGAACCACUUGCCUCGUGAACAACAGUUGGAGUUCAUAGCAGAAGUUAUGCGACAGAUCUUCAUUUUCUUGCGUUGGUAUUGAUCAACAAUAUUGCUUCUCAGAGACCUCGAAGCUAAAGGAGGGGAUGAUGUUAGGGACAUAUUCCUUAGAACUUUCUAGAGAGAAGUUUCUAGAACCUUCUAGAAAACAAGCCUCUGGAACCUUCUAGAAGAGAAGCCUCUGGAACCUUUUAGAGAGAAGUUUCUAGAAGCUUCUAGAAAGGAAGUCUCUGGAACCUUCUAGAAGAGAAGUUUCUAGAAUCUUCUAGAAAAGAAUCCCCUGAAACUUUCUAGAAGCUUCCUAGUUAAUAGAAGUAGCUCGAGAAGUUUCUAGAACCUUCUAGAAAGGAAGCCUCUGGAACCUUCUAGAAGCUUCCUAGUUAAUAGAAGUAGCUCGAGAAGCUUCCUAAGUAGGAGUAUAUAUAGGGAUCGAGGCUGAAGAGUUCUUCAGUCUCGACAACACAUCUCUUGGAGUUCUAGCUGUCAAGGACAAGAACUCGAUGAAAGCUAAAGAGUAAGUGAGACUUUUUUCAAAAAGAAAUAGGACAAAAUAGAAAUAUGUAUAUUAAGAAAGAAACUGGAAUGGCUAUUGCCAAAAUACAAGAAAACUAGAGACCCUUGAAACUAGACUAGAAGCAAGAAAGGAGUUGACAAGAGUGAAGAGGGCUUCACUCUUGCCUCUAUAUAUACUAUCUAACUAGAAGCCACGUGGCGAUGUUCUAUAAGACCUCCAAUAUAUGUUGACUUUCUAGGCCACAUGCCUUUGCUUGCAAGGCAAGUUUUCUAUGGAUGGACCACGUAGUUAGCUUGUUCUUUAAGCUUCCAACAUGCGUGGCACAUGGCUAACUUGUUGACCAAGUUUCUAACCUAAAAGUCAACUAUAGACUCCUAUAAAGUCAAAGCAGCGUCUAUGAAGCUUCUAAGAAGCUUCUCUAGAAGAUAUUACACAAUUAACCUACUUUUACAUACUUUUAUCUAUUCAUAUAGGUAAUUAUAUGUAUGUCCGUGACAUUAUCCCUCCUUCUAGGGACGAGUUCCACGAGGAGCGGUGAUUAUAUAUUGAGAAAAUCUAAUAUGCGGCGAAUUGUAUUUGCUACAUACUCUGAUCUUUGUUCUCUUCAAAGAUAGUUGAUGGAUCCUCUUAGCCAUCGAUAGUGUCCCAUUCCAGGGCGAGAAGACCACCCUGUUAUUUGAUCACUGUUGAGGCCUUCAUAACUUCCUCAAUCUUGUCUCUUUUAUAAGAGAGGUUUUCAUCUUGGUUUUGAUGGAUGUCGUUGAUGAAAAACUUUGACUUUAGCUGAUGCAUUUGCUAGAUUCCUGGAUGGCUCCCAUGUGCGCUCACUAAUAUCAUAUCCGCACCAAUGAACAAGAUAUUCCAGCUUAUUUCGGCGCCGCCUUGAGUCUAAUAUCUCUUCUACCUCAAAUUCUUCAUUAUUAUCUACUUCUAUAGGAGGCGGUGGCAUUUGUCUUCUUCCUUGUAUAUCCACUGUCUUAUAUGGUGCAAGAAGAGACACGUGGAAUACAGGAUGGAUCUUCAUUGACUCCGGUAGAUGUAACCGAUAUGCAACUGAGUUGAUCUGUUCAGAAACAGAAAAGGGGCCAAGCCUACGAUAGUCCAAUUUGUCACAAGGUCGAGUGGUCUUGAUAUUGCGACGAAGUAGCCAUACCUUAUCACCCACGUUGAAUUGUGGUUGCUCUUUACGAUAUACAUCUGCAUUUAUCUUUUGUCGUUCUUGAGCUUUCUUCAACUGCGCCUUCAUUAUUGCAUGUAACUCUGACAACCGAUUUGCCAUAUCUUCUGCUGCAGGAUUAUCAACUUUUGAAAAAUCAAAAGUAUCAAGUCGUGGAUGAUAGCCAUAAUUGGCAAAGAAAGGUGUUUGUUGCGUGGAGGAAUGUACCGUAUUAUUAUAAGCAAACUCUGCCAAUGGCAGAAGGUUUGUCCAAUCAUCUUGUUGGUAGUUGAUGGUACACCUUAAAUACUGUUCCAAGACUUGGUUUACGCGCUCUGUUUGUCCAUCAGUUUGAGGAUGGAAAGCUGAAGAUAGCUUUAUGUCCACUUUUAAAAUCUUGAAAAGAGUCCUCCAAAAUCUCGACACAAAUUGAGUUCCCCUAUCCGAUAUGAUAUCUUUAGGCAAUCCAUGAUAGCGAUAGAUAUUAUCAAUGAAAAGCUUAGCUGUUUCUUCACCUGUGAUAGAUUUUGUACAUGGCAUAAAAUGUGCCAUCUUGGUGAAACGAUCUACUAUCACAAAUAUAGAAUCAUAAGAUCUUGAGUUUGGAAGAUCUGUGAUGAAAUCCAUAGAAACAGAAGACCAUGGUUGUUCUGGUAUAGGUAAUGGCUGAAGAAGUCCGUAAGGUCGAUGUCGAGGAAUUUUUGAUCUUGAACAAAUAUCACAUGAUUGUACAAAGUCUUUGACUGACUUCCACAUUUGUGGCCACCAAAAAUCUCUUGAUAUGAGUUCCAAAGUCUUAUUAUAUCCAAAGUGCCCUGCUGCUGGAAAGUCAUGACGUGCUUGAAGAACACGCAAACGUGCUUUUCCUUCUGGAACAUAUAGGCGUCCUUCAAAAUAUAAUAGAUUAUUCUUGAACUCGAACUUAGAAGAAUCAUGAGACUUGGAAGAAUUAUUCUCGAUAUCAUGAACAAGAGGGUCUGAGGACAUACUGGACUGGAUUUGCUUGAGAAAAGUUGAAUCAACAGUCAGUGUUGAUUUCACUGCUCGGAGAUGAAAUUGCUCCGGUUUCAAGAGGACCGUUCUUUGUUGCUCAAAAGCUGCAUCUCCUUCUUUUGGUGCAAAAUAAGAACGUCUAGACAGGGCAUCGGACAAACCUUGUUGUUUUCUUGGCCGAUAAGUGAUAAUGAAGUCGAAUCUUGACAAAGACAUACUCCAACGAGCUUGACGACGAUUCAACACGCAUGCUGACAUGAAAUACUCGAGGUUCUUGUGAUCUGUAUACAUAGUGACUGGACUAGAAGCACCUUCUAGAUAAUGACGCCAUUCUUGAAAAGAAUCCACGAUUGCAAGAAGUUCUUUAUCGUGGAUCUUAUAAUUGAUCUCGGCUGCUGAGAAUUUUCUUGAAUGAAAAGCUAUCGGAUGAAGUUUGUCAUCUGUUCCCAUUUGUGAUAAAACUGCACCCAAGGCAAAAUCCGAUGCGUCUGUUUCCAUAAAAAAUACCUUGGAAAAGUCAACACGAUAUAAGACUGGUGCAGAGACAAACGAUGUCUUCAAGGCUUUAAAUGCUGCUUCCGCUUCUUGAUUCCAUUGGAAUUUAUCUUUACUAGUCAAGCGUGUAAGUGGAGCUGCAACUCGUGAGAAGUCUUUGAUGAAGAUCCGAUAGUAAUUGGUAAAUCCCAAGACACAUUGGACAUCUCUUACAGUCUUUGGAAUCUUCCAAUCCAUGAUUGUUUGGACUUUCUUAGAAUCCAUUAUAAGACCAUCAUUUGAAAUGAUGUAUCCUAAAAAGUCAACUUGAGUAGUGUGAAAUACACACUUUUCUAUCUUGGCGUACAAUCCUGCAUCUCUAAGUUUUUGCAAUACUUGACGAACAUGUAUUUCAUGUUCUUCAACAUUCUUAGAAUAAAUCAGGAUAUCGUCUAGGUAGCAGACGACAAAAUUGUCUAAGAAUUCACGAAAUACAUCAUUCAUGAGAUGUUGAAAAGCAGCUGGUGCAUUCGUGAGUCCAAAAGGCAUGACAUUGUAUUCAAAGUGUCCGUACCUGGUUCGAAACGCAGUCUUCCAUUCAUCUCCUUCUUUGAUCCGUACUAGAUUAUAUGCUCCUCUUAGAUCUAUUUUUGUAUAGAUCUUAGCUUGAUUUAACUGGUCAAGGAGUCCUGAUAUCAAAGGUAAUGGAUACCUGUUCUUGAUUGUGAUCUUGUUGAGUCCUCGAUAGUCAACACACAUUCGUAAAGAUCCAUCUUUUUUCUUUACGAAUAGAAUUGGAGCUCCUGCUGGAGAUUUUGAAUGGCGUAUGAAAUUCUUCGCUAAAUUCUCGUCAAUAUAUGUCUUGAGUUCAGCCAACUCAUCUUGCGAUAAACUGUAAAUUGGUCCAAAUGGUGGCUGAGUUCCUUCCUUGAGAUCGAUUGAACAAUCGUAUGGGCGAUGCUCAGGAAGAAUAUCUGCAUUCUUUUUCUCAAAAACGUCUUGAUAAUCUUGAUAUUGACUUGGAAUGCCACUUGAAGUCUUUACGCUUUCAGAAAUAGGUGCAGCAUAAAUAGCAAAAGUUGAUCCUUCUUUUGCUGCGUGUAUAAAUGCUUUUGCACCUAUAGGUGCAAGUUUUACUAUACUAGACUCAUGGUUUUUUACUUGGUUAAUAGAACUAUUACUAAUGCUCUGAGGAAAAUCAAGUUUACGAGAAAUCCAAUCUAUUCGAGGAUUAUACUUUUCUAACCAUGAUAAGCCUAAAAUUACUGGAUUAGAGGGAGAUCUAAUUAUAUUAAAAAUUACGCAACUACUAUGACCAUUUAUUACUACAUCUACAGGAAGUGUUUCGUGAGUUACAUCUCCAGAAGACAACGGACGACCAUCUAUGACUUCUACGUGUACAGGUUUAGUUUUUUGUAUUAAUGAUAUUCUAUGACAUCUAGCAAAUUCUUCAUCUAAAAAACAAGAUGAGGCUCCUGAAUCUACCAAGGCAGAGGCUUUGUAAUUAUUAGGUCCUAAACGCACAUCUAUUAUAAAACAAGGAGAUGGUUCUGAGGAGAGGAUAGGACCUUUAAUAGAAGUUGUACAAGAUUCCAGCCGCACGGUCCCUAUUGUAGCUGGACGUACUCGUUUUCCGACAUACUGUCUUCUUUGACAGCCGUACUCCUCAUUUUGUAAUUACGUCGCUUCUUUGGACAAUGUUGAGCAGUGUGCUUAGGUUCUCCACAAUAUAAGCACAAUCCUUCUUGUCGACGACGAGACUUUUCUUGCUCAGUAAGAGGUUUGAAACGUACCGCAUCAAUUUGCAUAUCCUCUACUUCUGAAGGUAUGUGUUGAGGAGACGUCGGUGUUGCCAUUGAAUUGUAGUAACGUUGAGGCCCACUUGUGCGACUCUCGGAUCGAAAUUCAAAAAGUCGAUUGUCGCACUUCACAGCAAAGUCAAUUGCUUGACUCAAUGUUUGAGGAUCAGGUAAAUUAAGCAUCAAUUUCUUUACCUCAUAUUGUAAUCCGUAGAGAAAUUGACUCACAAGUGCGGCAUCAUCCCACUUGAUAUUAGUUGCAAGUUGUUGAAAUUGCAAAGCAUAUAAUGUUAUUGAUCGAUUGCCUUGUCACAAAAUACGGAUCUUGUUGGUUGCAACACGAAUUGCAUCAUGUUCUCCAAACAUGGAUCGAAACUCCGCCAAAAAAGCCUCCAGAUUAUCCAAUAUUGGAUCUCGUCGUUCAAGAAAAGAUGAAAACCAUGACAAUGCUGAACCUGAAAGAAGUGUACCAAUGAAUCUUACUUGUGACCCUGGAGUUGGAUAGCUCUGGGGUUGAAGUUCAAUCACUAGUUGGACCUGAUUGAUGAAUCCUCGAAACUUGGAUCUGGUACCAUCAAACUUCUCGGGCAAGGCAACUCUCGGUUCUCUAACACUCGAAGGGUGUUCCAUUCUGGGAGAAGGGACAUGGUUUGGUGCAGAUGUUGAAGCAGCCCCAAUCAUCUCUAUAUCUUCACUUCCUACCAUUCUUGUUGCUCCUUGUGGUGGUAAAUUGAGUUGAUGCAUCGCAAGCAUUAACUCCCUCAAUUGUUCUUGCAUCUGUGCCAUUGCACUCUUCAUUUCAACAAGCUCUGCCAUAGUAGCACUUAGAAAAGAGAAGAUGUCUAAUAACGCUCAAAACAAAUAGAAGAGAGGAAUUGAUAACAAAGAAAAUACUAAGAACAAUAUCAGUUUAAAAGAGGGUAAUCCGCAACUUCUAAUGCGCUUAUGUCUUAUCAAGAAAAAGGGGUAAUCCACUCUUAAUCAAGAAAAGACAAAGCUCUGAUAUUGUAAGUGUACUCUUGUCAAUCUGUCAAGGACAAGAACUCGAUGAAAGCUAAAGAGUAAGUGAGACUUUUCUCAAAAAGAAAUAGGAAAAAAUAGAAAUAUGUAUAUUAAGAAAGAAACUGGAAUGGCUAUUGCCAAAAUACAAGAAAACUAGAGACCCUUGAAACUAGACUAGAAGCAAGAAAGGAGUUGACAAGAGUGAAGAGGGCUUCACUCUUGCCUCUAUAUAUACUAUCUAACUAGAAGCCACGUGGCGAUGUUCUAUAAGACCUCCAAUAUAUGUUGACUUUCUAGGCCACAUGCCUUUGCUUGCAAGGCAAGUUUUCUAUGGAUGGACCACGUAGUUAGCUUGUUCUUUAAGCUUCCAACAUGCGUGGCACAUGGCUAACUUGUUGACCAAGUUUCUAACCUAAAAGUCAACUAUAGACUCCUAUAAAGUCAAAGCAGCGUCUAUGAAGCUUCUAAGAAGCUUCUCUAGAAGAUAUUACACAAUUAACCUACUUUUACAUACUUUUAUCUAUUCAUAUAGGUAAUUAUAUGUAUGUCCGUGACACUAGCUCACCUUUCUGGUGUUGUUCUUGUACUCAUCUGUUUAAUCUAGUUCUGCCACUUCUUCUUGAACUUCUUGUUAGAUUUCAAGUCUGUAUUUUGUGUCGGUGACAGCAACUUGGAAUUUAUGCAAUACAAUUAGAGCUAGCAUUCUUAGUAAGUUUGUAAAAUUGGUAUCACAUCUAUAAUUCAAAAUUUGACAAUACUUAGUUAAUUGGGUGUACUAAGUAUGUAUAAAAAUUUGUGAAAAUCUAAAAGUAUUGUUAGGAGAUAUCUGGAUUUGUGUACAAGAAGGUAUUAGAAGUUGGUAGUUUUAGAUUGGGUAGAAUUUUUAUCAUAUGUAAAGAUCUACUAGUUAGAUCAAGAUGAAAUUUGGCAUGGUGUUAGAAGACUUGAAGAUCAAGAUACACACCAAUUUUGAGUUGAAGUUAAUGAUAAAAGGAAGAGAAUCAUUACUAGAACAUUUGCAUCAACUUUAAAGUUAGCAACCAAGUUACAUUAGUGUGGUUUUUGGACGUUUUCUCACGAUUUCUAAAUUGAAUUGGAGUAAAUUCUCUUUGAGCACAUAAAAAACUUAUAGUGGCAUUUGUGUGAAAAUUUUUGCUCUAAGUAAAUGAUUAGAUAAGGAGCUACAGCUUGCUAUAACUUACUAAUUAAGAUUAAGGUUUGCAAAGAAAAUUUAAAAUUACCUAAUUAUGAAAGUGACAAGGUAAUUGGAGUUUAUGUAUGCUUGAGAUUAUUAAGAAGAGUAUUUUUGAAGUUUUUGAAUUAGAUUUAAGGACUUUUGAAUUAAAUUUCAAAUUACAUUCUUCUUAUAAGGGUGAAACAUAUUAGGAUUCUUGGAUACUUGUAAAACACAAUCCUACCUUCUACAACCAAAUGCCCAUUGCAUUUCCAAAUAGGACGACAUGUAAUAUGAAAAUAUUGGAAUUAUUUAUAAUUUAGAGGCCUACUAUAGCAAUUGCUUCAAUGAUCUUCUCAUCUAACUUUUAAGAACAAUUAUCAAAAUUUUAAAAAUAUCAAUAUUUAAGAUGCUAUUUACAUGGUUGUGCUAGACUAGACUUACAAUAUGAACAAAAAGUCAUUCACAAUUGCUUUUAUUUCUACCAAAUUUGCAUAGUGGGAGCUUGAUAGCUUGUAAUUAUAGAAGAACUACUUAAUAAUUAAGAUAUUAUUUAGAACUUAGAGUCUCAAAUUCACUAAUUUUAUUAUAAUAAUCUAAUAAAUAUCUACUAUAUAUUGAAUUAUUUAAAGAAACAAGUUAUCACCUAGGCUUAGUGAACAUUAUCAAUGAAAAUCUUCUAUAAUUAAAUAUAAUUAUUAAUAAUGGAGUUGAUGAUGAUUUCUAAGAAUCUAUUAAGAUCAUAGCUUUUGAGGCUCUCAAGUUGAUUUAAUCUUUAAAAAUUUCUAGUUUUAAUAAAACAAGAAACUUGUGGAAUUUAUAUUUUUCAUCUUAAAGAUAAAAAAAUAAGAUAAGUAUACUCAAGACAAAUUAAUUGGUAUAAAAGCUAAUUUUAUAUUUUUUUUUUCCAUCAUAUAUAGGAAUUAAAGUUAAAAAUAUCCAUAGAUAUUAUAUAUCAAUUCUAAAGAUAUUUUUAUAUGUAAAUGCAUCAUACUAUACUUUAAAAUCUACACAUUAUUUAUUUAUUCAAUUUAAAGGGAUAUCAACAAAAUUAAGUAAUAAUUAAUUAUGAAGUUUUAUUCAUUCUAAGUAUGUGCCUAAGAUUAAAACUAGAUGCCAAUAUAUAAUAGGUAGCAUAAAUUUAAAUAGGUUCUAUUAUUUUUUAAUUUUUUUAAUUUUAAAUUUAUUUAAAAAAAUUUAUAAAAUAUCAAUGAUUUUAUAAACUUCCAAAAAUUUCAAUACUUUAAAUGGAAAAAAUUAAAGAUAAUUAUUAUUUUAUAUAAUUUAAAGAUAAAUCAAAAUAUAAAAUCAAAUAUCUAUAAAUAUUUUUUUAUUUAUAAAUUAAAAUAGUAUCUAGCACAAAAAUAGAACGAAUUCCAUAGAAUUAGUAUGAUAGGGUGAUAUAAUUUUUAUUGUUUUCAAGGUAGACUCACGAAUGUAGCUUGGGAUGUAUAGUAAAGUUUUAUCUUUAUAACACUAUACUUGCAUUAAUACACAAGAUUAAUAUAAGAUUAAUUCAAGAUUAGAUUUUUUUUUUUUUUUUUAAUAUGAUAAUAUAUGUCAAUAUAUGAAAAGAGGCAUUGAUAAGAAAAGAACAUCACAUAUAAAGGCAAUAGUUAGAGCAUAUAACAAAAAUAUAAAUCUCUUAAUGGACCUUGAUAAUAAAAAAUAAGAUACUUAUUAUAUACCAAUAUUCUUUGAUUUUAAGAUUAGUUGCACUUAACUAAAUUUUAUCUAUGUGAGUCAUUGAUAAUUGGAUUUUUUCAAAGUUAUGAUUGUUUUUUGAUAUACAUGAACCAUCUUAAAGCUAUAAUAAACGAAAAUAUAGUUUGAAAUGAAAUAACAAAAAUUAUCAAAAUAUUAUUAUGACAUACUUUGUGGAAAGAAAAAAAAAAUAUAGUAUCUAAAUAUGAAAAAAUGAUCUUAAAAAAUAAUAGAAGGUAUUAUUUAUAGAAGCAAGAAUCUUGGUAGAAGAUAUUUAUAUUUAAAAAUAUCUUUUGAGGAAGAUAGUUAUUAAAUUGAAUUACUAUCACCACACAUAUUGGAACUUGAUUUUUAUACUUUUUAGUGUUGGAAUUCAAACUUUUAUUCUUAUUUAAUUUGGAAUUUAGAUGCUUUUUCUUACUUGAAUUCAUUCAAUAUUCUAAAGUGGAUUGUGCUUAAAAAAUUAUUAAAAGAAUUUAAUUUAAUUUCUUUAAAAAUUACUGUAUAGUUAGAAUUUUUUUGAAUCAUGGUUUAGAUAACACCAACUGUCAAAAAUUGGGGAUUCUAAUCAUGAUUCAAUAAAUUAUCUUCAAUACAAUAGAUACUAGAUGUAUUGUUACAUAAGACAUAUAAUAUUAGAAUUUUCUAUUAAUAGAAUCUUAAUAAGAAUUGAAUGAUUAAUGAUAUACUAAAGAUAAUAUACCAUAGAUCAAAAGGCAAUAAAGAGUAAUCUAAAUACCUCCAAUAAAUAUAUGUUGCAACAUAAAAAAAUAUCUUUUUCAAUCUUCCUUAGUAUUUGGAUCAAUUAUCUUUUUUUAAGUUUGGAUAUAUAAAUUAUAAUGCAUAUACUUGCAACUAUUUUAAAACUCCAUAGGAUAAUUCUAAAUUGAAUCUUUUCUAUGUUGAAGAUAAACUACAUUGGAUCUUUUUAGAGAAGGAGGCAUUAGUCUAUGAAGAUACCAAUUUAAAAUAAAAAAUUCUAUUUUUUUUUUAUUUUUUUGUACUAAUUAAUUAUAAUUCAAGUUUACAAUUGCACAAUAUAGAAUAUCUUUGUAAGCUUUUUACUACAAGACAUCUAUAUAGUAAGUCAACUUCAAUGUUUGAUAUCCAAACUAAAGUUGCUUCUUUUCAACCUGUUAAAUCUGAAUUUUGUCCUAUCUAUGCUAAUCUAAAGCUACACGUGGAUAUAAUUUCCUUUGUCUAGAUACCAACACUACUAGGAUCUAUACCUUGACUAUGAAGUAUUAUUAAUAUUAGACCUAUUAAUCUAAGGCAUAGGAGUGUCUUCCUCUAAAGAUUGAGAUUACAAAAUACUACCAUCUCUAGUAACAAUGAUACUUGAAUUUAGAAUAUUUUUUUAUAGCAAUGAAGUCAAAAUUGAUUGUGUGAUAAGAAAUUAGUAUGAAUAAUUGAAAGUAGUGGAUGUAAAAAUAUAAUUUUUGUAUUAAGCAUAGAAUAGAUAAUGAUAAAGCUUAAAUUCAUAACAUAGUAAAAAAAGAUUAGAUUUAAGCAUAAAUAAGAAAAUUAAAUAUAUAAAAGAAAUAAGAUAAAAAAAUAAAAUUUAAAUUGUGUAAAAAUAAUAAAGAUUAUAAAAAAUUAGGACAAGAAAUUGGCAUAAGUUAACAAGCCAUAUUAGACUAAUUUGAAACUUGGUUGGAUUAUCAAAAUAGAUAUUUAGAUAGUUAAGCAAAGUAUAGUAUUAAAAAUUCAUUACAAAUACAAUACUUAAAUAGAAUAAAAUUCUAAAAAUUUGAAGAAAUAAAACAAAAGAAAUUUACUUUAAAUCUCAAAAAAAGAACUACAAUAAGGCACAAGAAUAAAACCAAAAAGCUCAAGUUGAGUCAUAAGGAGUACAUUGUCAAGAUUGACUAUCUUUUCAAUCUUUGCUCUUAUAUAUAUACAUAUAUAUAUAUAUAUAUUAAUGCAAGGAAGAUUUUUGACAAGUUUUUUUUGAUGCUUAGAGGUGAAGCAAGCCUCCUAGAACCUCUACAAUCAAAUAAGAGUUUUUAGAAUAUUCUAAAAAAAUUAAAAAGCUUUUUAGAAUCUACUAGAAUUUAUUUGGAAUAUUUGGAAAUCAUUGAAAAAGUUUUAGAAACUUCUAGGAUUUAAUAGAAUAUUCUUUUAUUAUUUAUUUGUGAUAGUAGUAAUCUUAGGUGGCAUGAAUUUAUUAAAGCAUCUAAUAUGACAUAAUAUAGAAUUAUAUCUAGAUCAAUAAUAGAUAAUUAAUCAAAAAACUAUAGAUAUAGGAGAAAUUAGAAUUAAAGCAUUAUUUGAAUCAGAUGGCAAGCAAAAGAGAUAUACAAUAUCAACGUAUGUUUGAAAUUUCACCUUUAAUCUUUCAUCCUAAUGACACAAAGUACAUAAAGAAGAAUUAUGCAAUAAUUUUAAGAAGAGCUAUUAGAAGAAUAUAAACCAUAAAUUAGACCAAAUUAUUCUUUAGCACUUUGAUAUAAGCAACAAUAAAUAUAAAUAAGAAUUUCAUAUUUUUUAUUUUUUAUUAAUAUCAUUUGUACUAAGCUAUAAAAUUACUUAUCCUUAUAGAAAAUUAAAAAUAAAUAUGAAAGAAGAUAGCAUGGCAAUUCUAAAAAGCCAAUAUGUACAGUAAUAAAGAGGAGGAUAUAUAUUUAAAAGAUAAUCAAAUUAUGUUCAAGGUCAAAUUAAUGCAAUGGUCAAUGCAAGCUCUAUAAUGAAUAAGGAUAGAAACCGUUAUAUCUUCUAAAUUGAAAAAAUAGACAAGACAAUUCUAUUUGAAUAUAUCACGGGUGGCUUAAGCUAAUUUAUUUGAUGCUAUUCAAGUUAUCUUAAACUACCUCAAAGAUAAUUAUUUUUAAUUAUUUGAAAUUAUAAUUGAAGUGGCCAUAUUAAUUGACAUACUUGAAGAGAUGACCAAAAUUAUUGAAUUAUUUACAAAAGCAAUGGAGACCUCAAAAAGAGUAAUUGUAGUAAAUCUAUAUGUAAAGGCGUUUGAAAAAAAAUCUUAGCAGUCUAAAGAAGAAAUAUAAUGUGCAAACCUUUGGAUUAAUAUCUAAGCAACCUUAACCAAUGUUCAGGCAAAUUAAGUUAAAGAAUUGCCUAAGUUUUAUUUAAUCUAUUUGAAAUUGGUAACCAAAGCCUAACUUUAGAACCAAACUAUAGACCAAUAAGAAUCCAUAUUAGUAAAUAAAAUGAUUAUAAUAGUUAUUAAUUUUGUAAGCAAAGCUACUAAUAUAUAAGAAAUCUUAUAGGAAUUAGCAAAAAUGGUGGUAAAAACUAUUCUUUUGAUUCCUUCUUCUAUUAAGAUAUAAGAACAGAAAGACCUAUAUUUCUUUUAUAAGAUAUUACUAUGUAACAAUGAAGAUACUAUUUUUUUAAAAUAAGCAAUAAAAUAAUGAUAGAUGCAAAAGAUAAUAAAGAGGUUUAUGGCUCUAUUCUAUUUUUGGAUGAUUAUUUAUUAUUAUUAAGAAUGAUAUUGGCUUAAAGAAUUUGAUUUUGUAAGUUUUUAAGAAAAAAAGUUUAAUCCCUAUCAAAAAUGCAAGUUUUGACUUUGUUAGGAAAAAUAUGUUGGAAUCUUAAGAAAAAUAAUUAUCAAAUUUGAGCAUAUUGUAGACAAGAAGAAUCUUUAAGACCACAAAAAGAUCACUUAUGAGAAUUAAAAGCGUUAAAAGAACCCAGUAACUAUUAGAAAAUGUGAGUGGAUCUUAACAAAGUAUAAUGAAGCUAUUAGAUUAGUAAUUAGUAUAGCCAUCAAAUCAAUAUUUAUUUUAAAAACAAUAUUGUGGUGUUAUGUAAAAAUCAGCUUCAAAAUGCAUUAAGCAUCUGAAUAUAGAAGGAUUUAAUUUUAUCUUAAAGUUGGAUUUAUAAUCCAAAAAACAACACAAUCUUGAACAAUUUAAAUAAGCUUCUAAUUAUGCUUAAAAUAUUUUUUUAAUCUUUAAAAAAAUCUUUAAGAAAUAUUAUCAAUCUUUAAUUAAUUUUAAAUAAAUCUUAAAAAUUCUUUAAAAACCUUGAUUAAAUUCUAAAGAAAUUAUAAUCAAUCUUAAAGAAAUCAUAAAGAGAUCAUAAAUAAAUCUUAAAAAAAAACUUUAAAAAAUCAAAAAGUAGUCAUAAUUAAUUAUAAAAAAGUCAUAAAAAUCUAAAUAAAUUAUAAAGAAAUUAUAUAGGAAUUAGAAAUAAAUAUUAAAUAAAUCCUAGUAAAUUAUAAUUAAAUCCUAAUAAAUCUUAAAUAAAUCUUAAUUAAAAUUUAAAAAAUCUUUAAAAAUUUUAAUCAAAAUUUAAUCAAAUUUUAAGUAAAUCCUAAUAAAUCACAAUCAAAUCUUAAUCAAAAUUUAAAUAAAUCCUAAAAAAUCCUCAUAAUAUCCUAAAUAAACUCUAUAUCAAAUUUAAAACCUAAAUAAUUAUUAAUUUAAUUAUUGACUUCAUAUUUUAAUUAAUAAAUAUUAAAAAGCUUAUAAUAGUAAUAAAAUUUAAUAGAAUAUUAUUUUUAUUAAGUUGUAUAUAGCUUUAUAUAUUUAUAUAUUUAAAAAUAAUAAUAUAAUAAAUUGUUUUGGAUUUUUUUUGUUUCUUUAAGAUCCAAAAGAUUUUUUAAGUUUUGGUCCAAUUAGCUAUAUAUAAAGUUUUAGAAAAAAUGAUGAUGUGUAUUACAAAACUUAGAAGAUUUAAAAAAAAUAACUUAUAUAAAAAUUAGCUUCUUUCAAAUGUAAGAAGUUUUCAAAUCAAAAAUUAAUUUUUAAUUAGAAAGAUAUAUGGUUUAAAAUAAGAAUAUAAUAUAAUUUAUACUAAUUUAGCUUACUUGGCAUAAAGACAUUGUUGUAAAUAAAAAGAGAGAAAAAAUUAAGAUUAGAAUUUCAGUUUUUUGCCUUUUAUAUUUCUGGAUAGAUUUUGGAAUUUGAUGACUAUACUCUUAUAUGAAUAAUUAUUAGCUCUAGAUUAUAGAAACACACAUAUAUCUAUAUACAUGUGUGUAUGUUUUAUGAUAAGAUCUAUUUCGAAUGAAACUCCUUCUAAAAUUCAAAAGAUUUAGAAUUAUUUAAUCUUAUGAGUUAGAGAUGUUAAUGUUUUGGCAAAAGCCAAAAUCAUGAUUUUUUUGAAGACUAGUGUAGGGCAUUGGUUAGAAUAAGUGAUGGUUUGUUUGUGUUUUGACACAAAUGGAGUGGAGUCAGCCUAUCUUAAGUCCUAUAUUAUUGUGCAAAUUUAAUUAUAUAAAAAUAGAAAAAUAUUUAUAUAUUAUUUUAUUUUAGUAAUGUCAUAGUAAAUGCAUUCAUUUAGUUGUAUAGAAUAUUAAAAAUUUAUCUAAAUUUAUUCUUUUUAAGAUAGAAUGUUGUUGGUCAAAGCUAUACCAUCUUCUAAUAAACAUGAAUUUAUAUUUGAACCUAUCUUUUAAUUUUCUUUAUUUUUUUUUUACCAUAAAAGCCUUCUAUACUAAAUUAAGUUUAUCCAUACAAGAUUUUGUAUAUAUUGUUUGUAUUGAUUUUUUAAAUAUAGAUUCUUUUUAGCACCUGUGUUAAUAUUCAAUAACACAAAGUUCACAUUUGUAUCUCUCACUUCAGGUUCAACAAUGUUAGCAGUGAAUCGCAUAAAGCCACCAUGGUCUCCAGCAUACUAGCUGGCAUCAAGGACACGUUUCUAUGCAACAGGCACGAGGUGAAACUGGAAUGAAUGUCAAUCACAGGUAUUCUUAGUUAGGCAUGGAGUGAAAGAAACUAUCAUCAUCAAAGCAUUUCAGAUACGAACCCUGCAUUUUCUUGAGGAUAGAAUAAGAACACAAUUCUACGUCACUCAACAAAGAGUACCGAACACAAAAGGAUAAGAAAAGUAUACUUGUGGGGUUUUUCUUGUCUGCAAUCACAUCAAUCCACCAUUCAGAACCAACAAAGAAGUGAUGGUAAAAACAACUUUACUCAUCACAAAGUCAGUUGCAUAGUGUUCAUCCAGGACUUGCUGUGCAGCUCAUAUUCCAUGAAGCCUUUUUGAAGAAUUGCUACAGGAAGAAGGAAAAUUCCUCACAUGUGUCGUUCACUAAGUGCCCAAUUCAGUGAACUAUGCGCUCCGCAACCAUCUUGCCUCAACUUGACACAAUGACCAUCCCAUUCUGAAGCAAACAGAAGCCCACAAGUUUUCAAGGAGCCAGCAAAUAUCAUGACUGAACUCCAGAUGCUUUGUGUAGAAAACAUGAGAAAAGAGUUCAACUGAAAUCCACUUUUGUUUGUAGAUCAGCACUGCCUUGUUUCCUUUCCAUAUUGGGUUCUAUAGUAGUCAAAAUACGCUGCAUUUUGGCAAAAGCAUGCAUCCAUAGAGGAUCGAAAAUUCCAACAUCAAACUAACAUGAACAAUAUGUACUGAUGCAACUCUUGCUAUGUGUGCCAGUUCAACCUGUAACAUUCUGAAUCAAUAGACUUUGGUGAAUGGCCAAUUGAUUUGGAUACUGGAUAGCUCUAUAAAUGUGGUACAAUAAUAAAUCUUCUAUUGUCCUAUAAAGAUUUUUAUGCUUUACUGUUUUUAAUGCUAUACUUUUAAUUUUUUUAUUUAGUUGAAAAUUUAUUGAUUAUCUAAACCAAUUUAAAUAUAGAAUCUGAAUUUUCAUUUAUUCUAAAUUGAUUGAAUUUUUUUUUUUUUUUCUUUUGUUGUCUGAAAUUAAGAUGAUCAAAAUCAACAUAGUAAAAGAUAGAAGGUAACUUACCAAAAUAAUGUUUUGUACAAAGAAGAUUUUAGUAGUAGAUUCUACUUUCAAUUUGUAAUGUGUCUUGUCUAAAUUAUAAAAACUAGCUUUACAUUUUUGGUUUAUAUAUUUUUUUAUCCAUACAUUUAAGAGUUAAAUGUAUGAAUAAUUUAACUAUUAUUUUUUUUUUUGAUUUAAAGACAUUUUUGUUUAAAUUUAUAAUCCAAAAAUAUUAAUCUAUUUUUCUGUAUUGAUAUUAAAUUAUGAUUAAAAAAAGACUAUCUCUUUUUGUAGAAAUUUGAUAUGGUAUUAGAAAUUUUAUAUUACCUACUUUUGAUUUGACUUUUAUUCUUGUUAUUAAUGUAUAUUUAAAGUUUAUAUCAACUUAGAUAGAAGAAAAAUAAUCCAUAGAUAUUAUAUUAAGAAAUAGCAAUAAUAAAUUUGCAAUCAUUGAAAAUUUUCAUAAUUUUUUAAAAUCUUGAAAUAAAAAUCUUAUACAUUAGCAAUUUUAAUUAUAAAAGAAUUAUUAUUAUUUCUAUAAAAAAAUCCAUAAUAAAUUUUAAUAUGUAUAUAAAGAGGUUUUGUAAUUUAAAGAGGCAAGUAAAAGUAGACCAACUUUAUAGGUGAUUAUAAAAAUCUUGCUACUACAAGUGUAAAAGAACCAAAAUUAAUUAUGGUAGAGAUUUUUUAAUAGAAUAAUAUUGAAAUUUUAAGUAUUUCUACAAUAUGUUAAGUUCUUGCAAUUACACCCUUUUAAAUACCAUGAUAGUAUUAUUCAAGUAGUAUUUAUAAACAUACUUCUUUUUAGAAGUAUUACUUUUAUUUAUUAUAUAUAUAUAUAUAUAUAUAUAUAUUUUAAAUAUGACUUUUCUAUAAUAUUAAACCAUUUUUAGAAGCAUUUGUAGAUAUAUUUAUAUUAUUAAUUUGAAAAAACUAACUUUAAAAGUGUAGUAAAAAAUAUUAUUUUGAUUGCCACAACAAAGGCCACAUUCAAAUGUAAUAUAUGCUAUAAAAUUUUAAUAACUUUUUUACAAUGUAGAUUGGAGCAAUGAUCCUAUUAUUUAAUUUUAAAUAAUAUCAAAGAUCUAUAAUUAAGAAGAUUAAGAAUAUGUUUAUUAAAAAUAAUUAAAUACAAAAUACAUCACAUCAAAAUUGAUAAUUUUAUCCAAAUAUUAUAUCAAUAUAAUUAUUCAUCUAUUUAUUUAAUUAUUUUUCUAAAUUUAUUUCUAUAUCCUUUCUAUCCUUCUAUCCAAAAUUCAUCCAUAAUAACUAGUUAAUGGACUUACAACAUUAUCCAAGUAAGAACUAAAAACAUUUGAUACUUCUAAAUCUAUUGUUGCACCCAUCCUCACAAAGUAACAUACCACGGCUAAUCUUGAGCUUUAAAUUGAACCAAUUAGUUUUGUUAGAAAGAAAACUUAAUAUACAUCUACAUAAAAAAAAUACUUUAAAUUUGGCAGUAUAUUCUAAAAAAUGCUUUCAAAGUUGAUUCUCUAAUUUGAUAAGAUAGAAUAUAUCUUUCUAUUAAAUUAAGCAUUGCAAUUUAGUUCUUAAUUGCCUUUUGGUAAACCUAUACUUCUAAAAAUCUUGACUUUAAAUGGAACAUUUUUCCAAAAAUUGAGUCUUCCAAUUGCCUUCAUCAUUCUAAUUUUUUCCUCCAAAGUUGUAUCUUCCCUUGAUUCUUUAUACUUCAUGAUAGCAGAACCUUUGCUACAAGAAUUAACACUAUGUUCUAGCUUCAAUAUGAUCUAUGAUUAUUUUUUAAAAAACCAAACUUCUUAAAUUCUAUAAAAAAUCAAAAUUUGUUGCUUUCAUACUUGCAAGCAAUGAAAAGAAGCCUUCAAAAAUGUAGCUACUAAACUAUGAAGGUGAUAUACCACAUUUUACUAAAUUUAAGGUUUUUUCAUUAACUAAAUUCUUAGAUUUUAUAUUUAAUAAAUUCUAAAAGAAUUACUGUUAGAAACUAAAUUUUCUUCUAUUAAUUUAAAAAUUACAAGAUUUUUUUUUAAAAUGGCCAAAAUUACUUACAAAAUAUAGUAAAAAAUUGGCAUCGUUUUGCAUCAAAGAUAAAAAUUACAAAAAAAUCUAAAUCUAAAAAUAAACUCUUAUAUCAAGGGAAGAUACAACUUUGGAGGAAUUUUUAAUAAUUAAAAAAAUAUAUAGAAUCAUUAAAAAUUAUUAAAAAUUCUAUAUAUUUUUUUAAUUAUAAAUUAUUAAAAAGUCUUAGACUAAGAUAGAAUACAAGACAUUGAAUAGAAUAAGAAAGGCCUCACUCUUCUUUUUAUAAAUACUAUCUACAAAAGAAUUAUGUAGCAAUGUCUUGUAGGUUAUAUAACAAAUGUUAACUUAUAAGACACAUAUUUAAUUUGUAAUAUAAGUGAAUAAAUAUAUAAUGUGUGGCCAACUUGUUGCUUAAGUUGUAAAUUUAUCAAUCACUUAUUAACACAUGAAAAGUCUAUGCAUCUUUUAAGAAUUUUUUACAAUAAGAUGUUGAUAAUUUGAGUUACUUCAACUUUAUUUUAUUUAAUUCUAUUUUUAUACUAAUAAAUUUGGCUAUCUAAUAUAUAUUUUGUUUUUUAGAAGGAAGUUCUACAAAGAGCUAUAUCAUUGCUUCAUAAGUUGAUGAAGUCUAAGAUCCAUUGAACAAUAUACUUUGAUCUUUAUUUUUUCCCAUAAAAGUGGUUGAUAGGUCUUUUUAAUCAUUGAUGAUAUUUCAUAAUAAGAAAAAAAAAUCAUUAAAAAAUAUAUUUUUUAUUCCAUCAAGAAUAAUAUUCAUAUUCAAUAAUAUCACUAAGUUAUUGAAAGUCCAAAAUUGUGAUAUGGAAGACAUUGUAUUUCACCAUCUAUUCAAAAACAAAUUGUCUCUUUUGAGGAUCUUCAUUUCAAUUGCAAUAUCAUUCAAGUUAAGAUAAUCUAAAAGCUUCAUCUAAUAAUUUUACAAAUGAUAAUUCUUGAGAUGAAUUUAUUUAUUGUUGGUAUUCCAUACUUGCAAAGAAGCUUUACAAGUUUGAUUCUUAAACUUGUUUGCCUUUGAUUUAUACCAUCUUGUUGUCAAUGAUUAGGCUUUGAUUUUGAUGAAUGUCUUUAAUAUAAAGCAAAAAGAAGUUAUAAUAUAUUUCUAAUAUUUUUAAAUGACUUUUAUGUACAUUCAUUAAUAUCAUAUAUGCAACAAUGUAAGAAAUAUUCUAAUUUAUUUUGAUGAUUCUUUAAAUCCAAGGCCUCUUCUACUUCAAAGUUUUGGUUGUUAUCUAUUUUAAUAUGAGAUAGUAGUAAUUUUUUCUUUCUAAUAUAUUAAUAUUUAUAUAAGAUUCAAUAAGAAACACAUAGAAUACAUGGUAGAUCUUCAUUGAUAGUGGUAAUUAUAAUUAGCAUACUACUAAAUUAAUUUAUUAGAUUGAUAAAAAAAAAUGUGCCAAGCCUUUAAUAUUAAUCUUGUCAUAAGAUUGAUUAAUCUUAAAUUAUUACUAAAUAAAAAUAUCUAAUCACCAACUUUAAAUAAAGUUUAUUUUUUAUAAAAAAUAUUAUAUUUUAGCUUCUUUUAAGUCUAUCUUUAUAGUUAUAUAAAGCUUUUUUAUUCUACUUGCUAAAUCUUCUUCUACUAAAUCUUCAACUUUUAAAAAAUUAAAAGGAAAAAAUUAUAGAUAAUAUUUAUAAUUAAUAAAAAAUAAAUUUUAUUGAAUAAAAAUAUAUAUUAAAUUAUUAUAUAAAACUCUAUUCAUCACAAGAGAUUUUUUCAAUUGUCUUAGUUGUUGUUAAUGGUAUAUAAUAAAAACUAUUAUAAUAUUUCAUUCAUAAAUUCUAUUUGUUUAUCAAUUUGAGGUUAAAAAGCUAAAGAUAAUUUAAUUUAAAUUUUUAAUAUAUUAAAGAGUGUCUUUUAAAAUCUUGAUAUGAAUGAAGCCCACAAUUAAAUAUAAAGUCACUUAGAAGUCAAUGAUAUUGAUAAACAUUAUCUAGAAAGAUCUUGGCUAUUUCUUCAUUGAUAAGUGUUUUUCAACAUUGUACAAAAUGUGCUAUUUUAAUAAAAAUAAUCUAACAUUAAAAAAAUAAAAUCAUAAAAAUUUUAAAUUAAAAAAUCCAUAAUGAAAUCUAUUCAAAAAAAUGAUAAAGAUUGUUUUAAGAUUUGACAAAGUCAAGUCUUAUCUAUUCUAUUUUAAAAAAUAAAUUAGAAGUUAAUUGAGUAAGUAUUAAAGACAUAAAUUAUUAAAAAAAAUCUAUAAAAGUAAUAUUCUCUUAUAACAUUUAAAGAGAGAAAGUAGACAAAUUAAAGAUAGAUAUAAGAUAGAAAAUAGAAUGGCUAUUAUCAAAUAUAAAAAUACUAGAGGUUCUUAAAAUAAGACCAAAAAUAAAAAAGACAUUGAUAACAAUGAAAAAGGCUUCAUUCUUGCCUCUAUAUAUACAAUCUAAUUAAGAGGCUAUGUAAAAAAUACUAUAGUUUAUAUAAUACAUGUCUAACUUGCAAGAAAAAUUUUCAACAUAUGCACAACAUGGCCAAUUCAUAUAACAAGUGAUUAACAUGUGCAAUAUGUGACCAACUUAUAAAGUAAGUAAUUAACAUGAGUAAUAUGUGACCAACUUGUAAAGUAAGUAAUUAACAUGAGUAAUAUGUGAUCAACUUAUAUAGCAAGUAGUCAACAUAUGCAACACAUGGUCAACUUGUUGGCCAAAUUUUUAACAUAUCAAUUACCUAUCAAUACUUGAAAAAUCAAAUCUGCAUCUAUAAAGCUUUUCUAUAAUUUUAUUAUCAAAAUUUCUUUCUUUUAUUUAAUUCUAUCUAACUCAUAUAUAUAUAUAUAUAUAUAUAUAUAUAUAUAUGAUAGUAAAUAGAGUAGUAACUUAAUAAAUAUCUAAUAAUGGUUUAUAAAUCUUAAAAAAUAUUAUAUAUCAAAUAGAAUUUUUAUAAUUUUUUAAUCUAUAAUAUUUUAUAUUUUCUAAGAAACUAUAUAUAAAUCAUUAUCUUAAAAUAUAUUUUUUAUUUUAAUAUAUAAUCAUAUAUUUUUAAGUUUUUGUAGUAUAAAGCAAACAUGUUGUUCAUAUUUUUUAUAUUUUUAGAAUAAAUAUGAAUAUAUUAAAUAUAUAUAUAUAUAUAUAUAUAUAUAUAUAUAUAUAUAUAUGUAUAUAUAUAUAUAUGUAUAUAUAUAUAUAUGUAUAUAUUAUUUAAAUAUUUACAAAAUUUAUCAUUUAUUAAAGAUUAGAAAGCAAAAAAAGUAUUUAUAAAUCCAAAAGACAUGAUAUUAUAUUCAAAAUAGCCAUACUUAGUAUAAAAUUUAGUCUUCUAUUCAUCUCUUUUUUAAUACAUAGCAAAUUAUAAGAACUUUAUAAAUUUAUUUUAAUAUAGAUCUUAUCUUUACUUAAUUGAUCAAGGAGUCUUGAUUCUAAAGAUAAAAGAUAAUAAUUCUUAAUGGUUAGUUUGUUAAGUCCAAAAUAAUCUUUUUAUAUUUGUAAGGAUCUAUUAUUUCUCUUUACAAGAAGAUUUGUGCAAUUGUCGGAAUUUUUUAAUUUUUGAUAAAAUUCUUUAUAAUACUUUUAUUAAUAUAUUAUUUCAAAGCAGCAAGUUCAUUCUUUAAUAAGUUAUGAAUUGGUCUAAAUGGUAGUUGAGCUCUUUCCUGAAGAUCAAUUAUAUAAUCAUAAAGUUAGUAUUUUGCCAAUAUAUCAUUAUUAUUCUUUUCAAGCACAUCUUAAUAUUCUUUAUACUAUUCAAAGAUUUUAUUGCAAUCAUCAUUUGAAUGAUAACUUUAUGCUAAAAAAAUAAGAAAUGUGGUCCUAGCUUCAAUACCUUAAAUACAUGUCUUGACUUUCAUAAAUAAAGGUUAAAAUAUUUUUUUUACUAUUGAAACUUGAUCUUAAAGUAAUCUUUUGUAAAGUCCAAUUAAUAUUAAGAUUCUAUAAUUCAAACCAAGAAAUGUCAACUACUACUAGAUUUAAAGGAUAUUUAAAGAUGUUGAAGAAAAUGUUAGAUAUUUGAUCUCCCAAUUCUAUUUUUUAUAUUUUGGUUUCUUCUAUAACAUUUCUAAAUAUAAGUAGUCAUUCAUCUUUAAAUUCUACUAAUAUUGAUUGAAGCUUCUUUUAAAGUAUCAAUUCACGUUGUAAUACAGAAUAUUUAUUUAUAAAACAUGCAAAGACUCUUAUGUCUUAAAAUACUUAAAUUAAGAUUUAUGAUUUGAAGUUGUUAUAAUUAUAAAAUCUUUAAAAUAAAAUAUGAGAUUAUAUAUCCUAUUAAUAGAUUUAAAUUAAUAAAUCUAUUAAAAAUAUAUCAUAAGUUAUUUAAAUAUAACAUAUUAGGAUUUUAAAAUAUAUUUAUAUAUUUAUUUAUUAUAAUUUAAAAUAAUUUAUAAGUAACAAGAGUCUUAUUAAAAAUAAAGUUAUAAAAAUGGAGUAUUAUUAAGCCUUUGAAGAAAUUACUUAAAUUAAUUUAGUAAUUUCUUUUAUUAUUAAAUAUCAAUAUGUAAUUAUUAAAAAUAAUAUUUAUAUUAUUCUUUUAUUUAAAUAUAUUAAUUACAAAAGAAUUUAUAAAUCUUAUUUAAUAGGUAAUAAAAGCAUAAAAAAACCUUCUAUCUUUAUAAUUAUUCAUAUAGAAAAUUUUUAGGUGCUUUAAUUGAUAUUAUUACUAUAAAAAAUUACCAAUUUAUAAAAAAGUAACUUUAAUUUUAUUUCAUAAUUAUAAAAAAAUUAUAAAAAAAAUUAAUAAUUUUUUAGAAUUUAUUUUAAAAUAUUUUAAAAAUAUUUUUGAAACUUUUGAAGAAUUUUUAGAGCAUUUUUUAAGAUUGUGCUAAAAAAAUUGACAUUUGAGAGGCUAUUAUACAAAAAUGGAAUAAGAUUUAUAUACUAAUUGGAUAUUUUUAAAUAAUAUGGUAAAGUUAAAAAUGUAAAAAUAUUAGUUAUACUAGUAGGAAAUAAGAAGACCAAUAGCUAAUGUGGUUCUUAUAAAAAAGAAGUGCAUAAGUUCCAUAUAGAUUUUGAUACUUUAGAUAUAGGUAGUAAGAUAAGACUAAGGUCCAUGGCCUCCCUUGAAUAUCAAUAUACACUAUUUAUGAAUAUUGGUAAAAUUCAAACUCUAAAUCUUUUAAAGAAUUUAUUAUUGAAAGAAAAAUUAUUUACUUAAAUUUUUAUUAAUUAUAUUUUAUUUUAAAACUAUUAUAACUUAUUCAUAGUAAUAAAUAUUUACAUGUUUUUUAUGCUAUUAUAAAGAUUAAAAAAAUCUUAAAAUAUUAAUUUUAUUUUUAUUUUUUAUUGGAUGAAAAUCUAGUGAAUAAGUUGUGAUUAGUUUUUUUUUACAAAAUUUCUUGAUUAUACUUAUUUCACUUGUAUUGUAUUAUUCUUAUUAUUUAUUUAUUUUCACUUCAUAUAUCCAAAUGUAAUUUUUUUCUAACUGAGAUCAUUUUAUAAUUUGAUUUGAAGAUGAAGUUUAUCUUUACAAGGAUUUGGUGAUAGUAUGCAACUUGUAUUUAAUGGUAUAGAGUUGUCGAAUUGCAAGAUACUUACUAAAUAUAUAUUUUAUUAUUUUUUACUUUUUUAUUCUUAAAUUUAUGUUUCUUAUUUUGAAUCCUAUUAAUUUGGUAUAAUAGUAUUAUCUCUUAUGAUCAGCUUUUAUAUAAUAUAAAUAUAAAUUUUCAUGAUGGUAUAUGUGUUUUUUUUUAGUGUUAAUUGCUUUAAUUAAUUUUUAUCAAUUUAUAUAAGUUCUAGCCUUUAUGAAUAAGUUUUUAAAAAAAAAUUAGAAAUUAUUGUUGUAACUUGCUUUGUUCCUCUUCAACUAAAUCUUUAUUCUGGGUACUUUUCAAAGAAUCAAUUAUUGUGCGCAAUGGCUUGAGUAAUAAACUAUUUUAAUAAGUUUUUUUUUUGCAUAUUUAUUAAUAAACAUAUCUGAAUAUAUUUUAUUUCAUAUUAAAAUUAAUUACUAUAGAAUUUAUCAUUCUAAUCCAUAUUACAAACAAGGUUUUAGAAUUUAGCAAGAUAAAUUGUACUUAAUUAUAAUCUUUAUUUUAAAAACUAUAGUUUUAUUUUUUCUAUUUUUUUCAAAUUUCUCUAAUCUAAUAUAGUAAUAAAUAAUUCUAAUAAUGAAUUUAGAUCAUGUAAGAGUUAUAAAUCAUUUUCUACUAAAUUUGUAAAACUAAAAAUAAACACUAUUAGAUAAGAGUGCAAUUUAAAUAGACCUUGAUUUGUUGUAGAAAUCUUUGAAAUUUUUAUUUUAUUCCAUCAAACUCCUCUAGCAUACUAAUCUUUAUUUCCUUCAUAAUAAAAGCAAAAAAACUUUUUGAAGCUACUUGUUAGGUUGAUCUACUUACUUAUUUCAAUUGCAUAAUUCUUUGGCAUAGACAUUUGACUUAAUCAUUGACUUCUUUCAUAUGCAUAAGAAUAGUAAUUUUAUUAUUAGCAUUAGUUAUAUGUUAAAAAAUUUAUUUUUAAAGUAUUGAAAAAUUCAUAAAAUUAUAAAAUAGUUACAAAUCUAUUUUCACUUCUACCAAAUGUAAUAUAUAUAUAUAUAUAUAUAUACACAUAUAUAUAAUAGAUAGCUUUAAAAAAUCCACAAGUUAAAGUAUAAAAGGAUAAUUGAUAAUCUCUAAUAUCUUUGUUAUUUGUAUUAAAUAAUACAAUAAUAAUAAUCACGUCCACAAUGUUCCAAUUGAUUGUAAAUGUGAGUCCUUUAUGAGUCAAAAAAUGAGCUAUAAGGAUAUUUUUGAAAUUCAUCUAGUUGAAGAGCUACUUUUUUGAGGCAUCUAAAAAGGCAUUUUACUCUGCCUAUACUUUACCAUGCUAUGACUUCAUAUAUGUUGUGAUAUUAUCUAUGCAAAAAAAAAAAAAAAAAAAAUGUUUUCACAUUCAUUGUUUAUUUUUGCUUACGCCUUGUAAAUUUGACCUCUUUACGAAUGAGAUUCUUACAAAACAAGCAUUGCGUUGAUAGAACUUGAUUGAUUUUCUCAUUUUGUAAAUUUGGCACAAGGCCAAACUUCAUCCCUAUAGAGGAUUUUCAGGGGGUUUGCAAUUCCUUCACUAUGGUGAAUUUGAUGUGCAUAUCUUGACAUAAUUGUUGUGACUACAUAUCAAUAUUCUUCUUCAUAAAUUGUGUCAUGCAACGCCUCUCUCAACUAUAUAGAGGAAUAUUAUUGGAGCUUAUUUUAAAGCAUCUUGCUAAGCUUAUUUUAGGAAAAUUAGGAUUUUUUGGAAAAUUUCCUAAUUUAAAGAGGCCUAAUAAUUAUACUUGUAUGGCCAUGAUUUUGUCUUCUUAUCAAUCAAUAAAUACACUUCUUAUAUAAUAAUUAUAUUUUUUAGUGCUUCAAUAACUAUAUAGCAUAGGCACAUCAAUUAAAAAUAUAUAUGUUAUAUAUGAUUAGCAUGGAUUAUGGCAUAGAAUUUAUAAUUACAAAACAUAUUUGUACUUAUCUAUAAGAAAAAGAAUUUUUUUUAUUAACAUUGGAUUUUGUAAUGGAAGACUCCAAAUUAUGCCCACCACUUCUUCUUUGAUUGUUUCUUUACUAUUAAUUUCUACAACUUCAAGUGCCUGCUCAAACAAUCUAAUAUAUCAAAUAUAAUUUUAUAUUACUGUUAGAGAUAUUUUUGUGUCAUUCAAAAAGAUUAAAAAAUUAUUCAAAGAUGGUAAUAUAUUAAACUAGAAUGACUAUUUUCAAAGACAAGAAUAUUAGAAAGUCUUGAAACAAGACCAAAGACUAGAAAGGUAUUGAGUAGAAUAAAGAAGGCUUUAUUCUGAUCUUCUUAUAUACUCUCUAACUAAGUGUUAUAUGGCAAUAAUCUGUAGAACCUCUAAUACGUAUUGAUUUUACUAAAUACAAGAUUUAACUUACAAGGCAACUUAUCUAUAUGUAUGCCACAUAAUUAGCUUAUUUUAUAAGCUAUUAACAUGUGUGUCACAUGGCUAACUUGUUGACUAAUGUUUUAGUCUAUCAAUUAACUACAAAUAUGUGUAAAGUAAAAGUAAUGUCUGUAAAGCUUUUAAGAAGAUUUUCUAAAAGAUAUUAUAAAAUUAAUCUAUUUUUAUCUACUUCCAUUUAAUCAUAUAGAUAAUUAUUAGAAUAAAUAUAUAUGUUUGUGAUAUUAUUUCCUUCCUUCAAGAAAUGAGUUUUACAAAGAGCAAUCAUCAUAUGUUGAAAAAAUCCAAAAUAUAGUGAAUUAUAUUUAUUACAUACUCUAAUUUUUGUUUUUUUUGAAGAUCGUUGAUAGGUUCUUUCAACCAUCAAUAAUAUUCUAUAUUAGCACAAAAAAACCAUCUUAUUAUUUGAUUGUUGUUGAGGCUUUCAUAACUACCUUCAAAUAAAACAUUUGGAAUACCAUCAAAAGUUGAUAUUAUUUUUUAAAAAAUCACCAAAUAUUGAAAAUCUCUUCUAAGAUCAUGAUACCAAAUACAUUAUAACUUGCCAUCUAUUUGAGAAAGGACAUGUUGUUUUUGAAGAACUUCAUCUCGAUUGUAUCAUCUUAAAUGUUGUGACAAUUGCAGUGACUUAUCAAAUAACUCAACAAAUAAUAGCUCUUGAGUUGAAUCUAUUGAUAGUUGGUUCUCUAUUUCUUUAAUGCGACAAAUAUAUAGAAGCUACAAACAAGCAUAGAAAGUAGAAUGCUAUCUUUUAUAUAUCUUGUUUCUUUUAUAGCAAAGAUUUGUUAUUCUUCAUCUUGAUUUUGAUGGAUGUCAUUGAUAAAAAGUCUCAACCUUCUUUAUUACAUUUGUAAGAUUUUUUAUUAACUCUCAUGUAUAUUUAUUAAUAUCAUAUCUAUGCCAAUGAAUAAGAUAUUUCAAUCUAUUUUAGGAUUGCCUUGAAUUUAAAACUUCUUUCACUUCAAACUCUUGAUCAUUAUCCAUUUUUGUAGGAAGAGGUGGCAUUUGUCUACUUUUUUAGAUAUUCACUAUCUUAUAUGAUCCAAAAAGAGAUAUGUAAAAUAUAGAGUAGAUCUUCAUAAACUUUGAUAGAUGUAAUUGAUAAGCAACAUGAUUGAUUUAUUCACAAAUAGAAAAAGAUCUAAACUUACAAUGGUCCAACUUGUCAAAAGGAUGACUAGUCUAAAUAUUGUGAUAAAGUACUCUUAUCUUGUCAUCCACAUUGAAUUAUGGUUGUUUCUUAUGAUAGGCAUCUGCAUUGAUCUUUUGUCAUUCUUAAGCUUCCUUUAAUUGUACCUUUAUUGUUGCAUAUAACUUUAAUAAAUAAUUUUUUUAAUUUUAGUUAUAAGAUUAUCAACUUUUGAAAAAUAAAAAAUAUCCACUUGUAGAUAAUAAUCAUAAUUGACAAAGAAAGAUGUUUGUUGAAUAGAAAAAAUAUACUAAAUUAUUGUAUGUAAACUCUACCAAUAGUAAAAGAGUUAUCCAAUCAUCUUGAUGAUAAUUCAUAGUAUACUUUAAAUAUUGCUCUAAAAAUUAAUUUAUCCAUUCCAUUUGUCUAUCAAUUUGAAGAUGAAAAGCCAAAGAAAGUUUUAUAUCCACUUUUAAAAUCUUGAAAAGGACUCUUUAAAAUCUUGAUAUAAAUUGAAUUUCUUUAUCAAAUAUAAUAUCUUUGAUCAAUCCAUGAUAGCAAUACAUAUUUUUUAAAAAAAUCUUAAUCAUUUCUUUAUCUAUGAUAGAUUUUGUACAUGAUAUAAAUUGUGCCAUCUUAAUAAAACAAUCUAAAUUUUUAUAAAUAUAAAAUCAUACAAACCUGAGAUUAGAAGAUUUGUCAUAAAAACCAUGGAAACAAAAGAUCAUAAUUAUUAUGGAAUAUGUAAUAUCUAAAGAAGUCUAUAAGGUCAAUGAUGAGGAGUUUUUAAUCUUAAACAAAUAUUAUAUGAUUAUACAAAGUUUUUAACUACCUUCUACAAUUGACGUUGCUAAAAAUCUCUCAAUAUUAGCUCCAAAUUCUUAUUUUAUCUAAAAUAUCCAACUAUUAGAAAGUCAUGACGAGCUUAAAGAUUAUGUAAUCAUAAUUUUCCUUCAAAAAUGUAUAAUUUUUUGUCAAAAUAGAGUAGAUUAUUCUUAAACUUGAACUUGGAAGUAUCAUGAGACUUAAAAAUAUUAUUGUUGAUAUUAUGAAUAAAAAGAUCAAAUAACAUAUUUUAUUGAAUUUUCUUGAUAAAGAUUGAAUCAAUAGUCAAUGUUGAUUUUAUUACUUGAAGAAAAAAAUACUCUCGCUUCAAAAAAAAUAUAUUUAUUGAUCAAAAUUAUAUCUUUUUCUUUUGGUAUAAGAUAAAAAUAUCUAAAAAAGACAUCCAUUAAAUCUUAUUAUUUUUUUUGAGUCAAUACGUGAACUUAAAAUUAAAUCUCAAUUAAGAUAUUCUCUAAUGGGCUUGACAAUGAUUCAAAAUAUGUGCUGACAUAAAGCACUUGAAGUUCUUAUGAUUUGUAUAUAUAGUAAUUAAACUCAAGAUGCCUUCUACAUAAUGACACCAUUCUUGAAAUGAAUCCAUGAUUGCAAAAAAUUCUUUAUCAUGGAUCUUAUAAUUAAUCUUGGCUACUAAAAAUUUCUUAGAAUAAAAAGCUACUAAGUAGAGCUUGUUAUUUUCUCUCAUUUGUGACAAAAUGGUAAUUAUAGCAAAGUCUUAUGUAUCUAUUUUUAUAAAUAAUGGCUUAGAAAAAUCAACAUAAUAUAAAAUUGGUGCAAAAAUAAAUGAUAUUUUCAAGGCUUCAAAAGAUGCUACAAUUUCUUUGUUCUAGUCAAGUUUAUCUUUAUAUGUCAAAUGUGUAAAAAAAGCCGCAACUUAAAAAAAGUUUUUGAUGAAGAUUUUGAAGUAAUUAACAAAUUUCAAAAAUCAUUGUAUAUCUUUGAAUGUUUUUAGAAUCUUUCAAUUUAUGAUAGUUUGAAUCUUCUUUAGAUUUAUCAUUAGUCUUUUAUUGAAAAUGAUGUAUCCUAAGAAAUCAAUUUGAGUAGUACGAAAUAUAUACUUUUCUAUUUUGGCAUAUAAUCAUGCAUCUCUAAAUUUUUUUAAUACACAAAAAAUAUGAAGUUCAAAUUUUUAUAUUUUUAGAAUAGAUUAAAAUAUUAUUUAAAUAAUAAAAAAUAAAAUCAUCAAGAACUCACAAAAAAUGUCAUCCAUAAGAUGUUGAAAAGCAGUUGGUGCAUUUGUGAGUCCAAAAGACAUGACAUUAUAUUUAAAAUGUCCAUAUCUAAUUUGAAAAGCAAUCUUCUAUUCAUCUCUUUGUUUAAUGUGAACUAGUUUAUAUGUUCCUCAUGGAUCUAACUUUUUAUAGAUCUUUCUUUAAUUGAAUUGAUUAAGAAGUCAUAAAAUUAGAUAUAGGAGAUACUUAUUCUUGAUGGUGUUCUUAUUUAGUCUUUGAUAAUCUAAAAACAUCCAUAGAGAUCCAUCUUUCUUUUUUCACAAAUAAAAUAGAAACUCUUGUUGGAGAUUUUGAAUGGUGUAUGAAUUUUUUAACUAAGUUUUCAUCAACAUAUUCUUUUAGUGCACCUAAUUCAUUCUGUGAUAAGUUGUAAAUUAGUCCAAAUAGUGGUUGACUUCCUUCUUGUAGAUCAAUUGAAUAAUCAUAAGGUCAAUACUUUAGAAGAAUAUUUGUAUUUUAUUUUUUAAAAAUAUCUUUAAAAUCUUAAUAUUGGCUAGGAAUACCACUUGAUAUCUUUUUACUAUUAGAAAUGGACGUGGUAUAUAUAGCAAAAGAUAAUCCUUCUUUUGUAGCAUACAUGAAAGGUUUUUCAUAUACUAGUAAAAGUUUGGAUAUAUUAGAUUUAUGUAUUUCUAUUUGAUUAACAAAAUUUUGGAUUAAAAUACCAAAAAAAUUAAGAUUAUAAGAAAUCCAAUCUAUUUAAGGGUUAUAUUUUUUUAACCACAAUAAUUCUAAAAUAAUUAGAUUUGAGAGAGAUCUUAUCACAUUAAAUAUUAUGAUAUUAUUAUAAAUUUUAAUUAUUACAUUUAAAAGAAAAAUCUUAUAAAUAAUAUCUUCAAAAGACAAUAAAUGAUCAUCUAUGACUUUUACAUGUAUGAGAUUAAUUUUCUUGACUAAAGUUAUUUCUUAUUUUUUGACAAAGUCUUCAUCUAUAAAAACAAGUUGAGGUUCAUGAAUCUAAUAAUAUAAAGAUUUUAUGAUUUUUAGGUCCUAAAUAUAUAUCUAUUGUAAAAAAAGGUGAGAGAUCUAAGGAGAAAAUAUGACCUUUAUUAAGUAUUGCAUAUGAUUCCAACUCCACAAUCCCUAUUGUAGUUGAAAAAACUUAUUUUUUGACACAUUGUCUUCUUUGAAAAUUGUGCUCCUCAUUUAGUAGUUGUAUUGCUUCAUUAGAUAAUAUUAAGAAAUGUACUUAGCUCCUCUAUAAUAUAAUCACAACCCUUUUUGAUGACAUUGAGUCUUUUUUUACUUUGUGAAGGAUUUAAAACAUAUUGUAUCAAUUUGCAUUGAUUUUGGCUUUGAUGAAUAAGUUUCUAAAAAUUUAAAAGUUACUGUUAUAAUUUGAGUUAUUCUUCUCCAACUAUUCUUGAUGUCUUUCAAAUAAUUGAUUGUUGUAUAUAAUGGCUUAAGUAAUAAAUUAUUCCAAGGAUUUUACUUUUGGCAUUGUUAAUAGUAAAUUUUUGACAUUAUCCUUCAAUCCAUAUUAAAAUUGAUUAAUAAGGACCUUGUCAUUCCAAUCCAUGUCAUAAACAAGGUUUUAGAAUUUAACAACAUAUAUGGUGGCUAACGAUGAUUCUUGUCGUAAAGAUAAGAGUUUUAUCUCUACUACUCUUUUUCAAUAACUUUCUUCAAAUGUAGCCAUAAAUAAUUUUAGAAAUGAAUUCAAAUUAUAAAAGAAUUAUGAAUAUUUUUCCAUCAAAGAUACAAAUUUAAAAAAUAAAUAAAUAAUAAAAAAAAACUUCCAAAUAGAAAUGUGCCUAUGAAUCCAACUUGAGUAAAUUCAUCAAGGUUUUGAAAUAUAUGCAACUUUAGAUAGAACUUGACUUGUUGUAAAAAUCUUUAAAAUUUUGAUCUUAUUCCAUCAAACUUCCUAAGCAUACAAUUCUUUAUUUUUGUUGUACUUAUAAAAAUAAAAAUUCUUAGACUUGGUUGUGAAAUCAAUCUACUUACUUUCAUGAAUUGCACAACUUUUUGAUGUAAACUUUAAACUUCUUCCAUAGGCAUAGGAUUAGUGUUUCUAUAGUUGGCAUUAGUGAUGCAUAAAAUUUCCAUCCUAAAAGUAUUUAAAAGUUUAUGAAGAUCUGCAAUUGUUAUAAAUUUAUUUUCACUUCUCUUAAGUAUAGCAUCAAUGAUUUUUUCCUCCAUUUCAAACAACUUAACAAAUCUAUAAGUCAAAUUAGAGGAAGAUAAUUUGCAACCUCUAAUAUAAAAUGAAAAUUUCCACAAAGAGAGAUAAUCCACUCUCUUUGAGGAAAAAAUUGAUGUUAGAAAACUAAAGAAUUUGUUUAAAGGUGGAUAAUCUACAACCUUUAAAAUACAACAAAAAAAAUAAAGUAAUCCAUUCUUUUUUAAAAAACAAGACAAAAAUAAUGAGUUAGCACCCUUAUCAAACUUUUAAAGAUAUGAAUUUUAAAAAAAUAAAAUCUCAAUAUAUUCUUAUGUCACUCAAAAAGUCUAAAAAAUCAUUCAAAGAUGGUAAUAUAUUAUACUAAAAUAGCUAUUGUCAAAGGCAAGAAGACUAGAAAAUCUUGAAACAAGAUAAAAGAUUAGAAAGGUAGUGACAAGAGCGAAGAUAGUUUUACUCUUGCUUCUAUAUAUACUCUCUAAUUAGGAGUUACCUAGCAAUAUUCUAUAAGACCUCCAAUACAUAUUGAUUUUAAUAUAAUAGAGUAAAUAUGUAUGUCCAUGAUAUCAAGUAUAUUUCGUAAAUGAAAGUUCUAGUAGUAUCACUUAAAUGUCACAAUGAUUCCAACAUUCAUUGGUUGGAUCUUUGAAGUUACAUUUAAGAGAAGUACGCAAAUAUCUAUGUUAGAAGAAAUAUGGACAUUUGUAAUAUGUAAUGGUACAUUAUUCAUGAAGAGCAAGAUCUGCUAAUGUACUAUUUCUAUCUCUUCAUCAAGAUUUUUGAGCCAUUUCUAGAAAAAAAAAAAAAAAAAAAAAAUCUUAAUUAUCCAUGCUUUCUUAUUGGAGCAACAAUAAAAAUCUACUUGUUUGCUUAUGCAAUACUUAAAGCAAUAGGGCUUAUAGACAUGGUCAAUAAAAAAUGGUGGCAGUUUGUAGGUUUUGUGAACAUUGGUUGUAAAUACAAUAGUAAUUUGUGCAAUUUUCUUCUUGUAGCCAAUAAUUUAUUGUUGAGUGACAGUUUGAUUUGGCAUUAUACUAUAAAAUAGUCAUAUUUUAUCCAUGUUGCCCAUGUCACACAAAUCAUAACUCAUAAUGCAAUCGCAUAGAGCAAGCAUUAUUACAUCAAUAUUAGCUUGAUUAGUUGGGUUUGCCUAUCCAUGUAUUUUGGUUACUUUUAGCUUGUCAUAAGAGAGAAAUUUUUCAAACCAAUCACUUGAAAACUCUAUUUUGCCUUUGAGAAAUGGAAGCAUCUUUGCAAAGUAUCAAUUGCACUCUUUAAUGAAUUUUUUUGACAACUUAUUUUGAGAUUAUCAUUACAAAACUCACAAAGUAAUGAUUCCUCAAGGUCAGGAAAGUAAACCAUUUUUGGGCACUUUGCUUGAAGUUGGUCCUAGUCCAUAGAUUUGUAUUCAUCUUAUUUUUUAGGAUUUUAUUAAUAGCAACUCAUAAAGAUGCUUCCACAAGCUUAAACUUGAUUUUGGCCCACUCUGUAAGAAUCAUCUGUAAAACAAAGGACUGGACAUCUUUCUACUUGUAAAUUUGCAAUUGUUGGACAUUGGUGAAGCUCAACAUUAUAUGGGAUGCGCAAGUGUUGGGUAUGCAUGAAGAAAAGUACUACGCUAGCAGUGAGUGGACACUUGAGCAAAUUCAUGAUUUUGGCUAAACUUGGUAAGUUUUAAUGUCCUAUAAGUUAUGUUUUUGGAAGUGAAUCCACCUUAAAACUUAUGAGAGAUAAUACUCUAGCUUGCAAUAUUUUCAUAUAGACACCAUCAAGCACAAUGAAACACUUUUAAUAUAAAAAAAAAAGCAUAAAGUACAUUAAUGCAAUGUAAAUAAAGUCCAACAUCUCUGUCACCAAUAUUCAUUGUCACAGUAUUUUCAACAUUCAGUUGCAAGUACAUAAUAUCUUUCAAAGUCAUGUUUAAUAGAAGAUAUUUUUUCUGUAACACAUUUUUAGAACACAUGCAAAUUGCAGGGUUCCAUUAUAAGUAGCCCAGGACCACUAAGGACCUUUCUAAUAUGCCAAACUGCACAAGCAAAAAAUUAAAAUUUUAACAUGUAAAUUUUUUUACAAAUUUAGGUUAAUGAAAUUGCGUUAAAAUUCAAUGAAAACUGGCAGUUUUCAGCUUUCACCCAAACUUUCUUCACUGAAAUGAAAAAGUAAUAUAAACAGAAAUUAGGACCAAAUCAGAUCAUAUGUGUAAAAUAUAAAAUUGCAUGAACAAAAACAAUCACAUGUGUAUAUCAAGUAUAGAAUGAAACUGUUCACAGGUGCAAGUUAAGAAAGAAGCAGAGGAUAAGUACAAGUCAGGAAAAGCUCAUAGUUAUUAAUAUAUAGAAACAAUCUGGUCCUCCACAUGUAUGGCACUGUUGUGGAGAAUUCAGAAAACCCAAAUUACAUAGUUAUGAAAUACAAAGGUUUCCUUGUGCUGGCAUGUGCCAUUGUUUGUGAUAAUAGUAACCAUAAAACUAGACACAUGCAUGAGUGAGUUAAUUGAUAGCUACUAAACCCUGUUUUUACAUUAAACUAUGGAAACAAGUUUACAGUUCCACCAGGAGAGGCUCACAGUUUCUAUGAAGAAACAUCUGACAUGAAAAAAAGGCUCCAACUAAGGAAUGUAAUCAUUCAAGCCAUGAAACAUGUUGACAUCACAAAGAUAAAAAGCCAACUGGAAAGAAUCCAAAACUUUAGUAAAAGUUUUUGUUUUUGUUUCAUUUUUUUUUUCUUUUUUGUUUCUUUUUUAGUAUCUUUCAUCACUUUAGGCAAGGAUAAAGUACAGUCUAUUUUUUGAUGCUCAGACAGAUAUCCUUUAGCAAUCCAUCCAGGUAGCAAAUCCAGUGUGGGUGGUCAAGCCUUCCUCCCAAUAUCACCAUAAAAGAAAAAAAUGAAAUUUGAAAAUACACAAUAAAGUAAAUAAAUAAUUAGGGCUUUCUUUUUCAAUGGUCUAUAAAAUUAAAGCAAAGGAUUGAAAUUUGAAGUGGUAUAAAAAUUUAAAUGCAAUGUAUUUAUUUUAGAAUAAAAAAUGUAUCCAUUCAAAAAAAUUAACAAAUAAAAAAACAAAAAACAAAAGGAAUAAUAAUUCUCACAGUAGCCAUAUAUUGCUAUGGCAACAUACCACAAUCAUAAUCAGAGAUGUGGCCACCAGGAGGACAAUAGUCAGCUACGGACAAAAAAAACACAGCCAAGAUGCCAUGAAGCCCCUCCCACCCCAAAUCCAUUGGAGCUGACUUAACAAAUCAGAUGAUGUGGACAAAGGGUCCUGCUGACAUGGCAACCAACCACCACAUGGCUGGGUGGGUUGUGUUCCUGAGAACAGUGAUGUAGCUGUGAGCCCUUAACAUGUGGACCCAGUCCAGUGCCUUCUGCUGCUGCUGUGCCACUCAAUACAUAUAAUACACAAAUUGCACUGCCAAUUGGGAACUGAGAUGUGUUAGAAUGGCCCAUUUGUUGCACUGAUUGUGGCAUCACCAUUUGUUUGUGAAGUACCCCAAAGUGAGAACAUCGUCCUCUUAGCAUGUUCCCUGAUGACUGAGCCUGUCCAUUCAUAAGCUCAUACUUUAUGUCAUCUUUGGAGUAGCUGACCUCAUGUUUUGUUACAGAAAUCCACCUCAAAGGAAUGUAUAUGUAUAUAUAUAUAUAUAUAUAUGUGUGUGUGUAUGUAAGUGUUUGGAUGAACAUGCACUAAUGGAAACAGGGAAGUGUCUCGUUUGUCCACCUUCAUGGUGUGAAAUCAUAAUUGAAUUGGUUCCAUUAGUGUAAGUGUAUUUCGGCUCUGAAUAUACCUUUAUGUUGCAUUCCAAGUUCUUACAGUUCAUAUUUUGUGUUGCAUUAGUUUUGAUAAAUGUGUGCAAGCAUGUCAAAUAUGGUAUUGAGCCCCACUCUUGCUUAAUAAAAUGGUGACAAGUUGACAAGGUUGGAGAUCUUGGAAAACAUUUUGAAGACAACAAAUAGUCUGUGAUGAAUGGUUAUUAAAAAUUAGUGUGUUGUUAUGGACACAAAAGAAUUCACUUCUAUUUGAUAGAAAAGUCUGUGGCAACAAAACAAACACACCAACUCAUUUGGUCAGGCUUCACUUUGCAUUGUCGCAUUAUGCAGGAAAAAUGAUUAAAACAGAUGCAUACAACUAAGCAAAAAGACAACUUUAUGAGAUGGUACUAGAUGUAGAGAAGGUACUGAUAAUUUGGCAAACCACAUUUCUUGCCAUCUAUAAGAUAUGCCUCAUUGAUAUCAUAACUUGUGAAGAACACAUAUGACAAUUAAUAUGCUAAUUUAUUGAUAAUCCAGCAAGUCUUCUAUGUCAUAUCAACAAGAGGAUACCAUGACUUCCUUUGGAGCUAUGCUUCUAAAUCAUGUAUCUUUGCAACAAGGUGAAUUGUCUAGAUUUAAAUAAGCAUAAUGAAGCAUUAGAACAUUCAAUACUUGGUACCUCUAUGAAUGUAUUCUCCUGGUCAUGUUCAAAAAGAAGUAACUGGUUUUGAAGUCAUCGCAUGUGUGGGUUCUGAGCAAGUGGGUGGUCAGGGAAUGGAGGUAUCUUAAUGCAUCAACAUUUUCUGAAUGGCUGUUCCCAUUUUGCCAUGUUUUAUUUUCUGUAUUUUUUCAUCCCUAAGAUGAUAAAUCCAGUCUUCUAUUGUCAUAUAUCAGAUCCAGUGAUGGAGGAAAACUGUUAUUUAGCAUUAACAGUUUGUCAGCUGACUCAUGUUUCCAUCCAAUCUAAAUCCUCUCUACCUACCUUUUAGGAAGUCAUUCAAACUUUAAAAAAAUAUGGUGAAGAUGUUAUCAAAAACUCAUUAGUAUGAGAAGAUUAGCUAAUCAAUGGUUUGUAUUGAUGAAUUGCCAAAUAUAUAUAUAUACAUAUAUAUAUAUAUAUAUAUAUAUAUAUAUAUGUAUUAUGUGUUUGUGUGUGAUUCUUAUAAUUGAGAUAUUUAAAAUACACAUGUAAUCAAAACAAUAUACUGAAAGAGAACAAGCAUAAGAGUAUACCAAUUGGGGCCUAACUUACAUAUUUAAACAAAUCAGCAGACACAUGUGUGUAAUUACAUAAUCCUGGUGGUGUGGUGUAGCCUGGCUUGAAUUACACAUUUCUAUACUCUCUAUGCCUUUCCUUUGACCUAAAUUCUGUUGCAACUGGCUACACUAUUAUGCAUACAUGAUUCAAAAUGCAUGCUGAUGAUUUUGCAGUGCCAGAGAAUGAAUGACAGCAUUUCCACUUCACCCACCAAAAAAAGACCGGCCACAUGAGGUAGCCCAAAUUAGAUGGGCAAGUCUCCAGAUCAGUCAAAGGAACAAGGUUCUAAACACAGGCUACUGAUAAUGCACACAGGUGCUCUUGAUCAUUAUCUAUAACUUAAAAGAAAAUGUCUAUUUUUGUUCCAGGGCUUGCAUGUAGAAAAGACCAAAUCCAGAAAGGUGCAAAUCCUACCACAGCAUUGUGUUGCCAAGUGUUGCCUGGGCUGUUCACAAUUUGACUCUGAUGACCAUAAACAAGGGAUAUGGGCUCCAACUCUUAUCCAUGCAUUGUAUUUCACACUCCAUCCUGGAUGGUGUAAUGAUAGUGGCAGGAAGGUGAAGACAAGGACAUAAUGAGAAAUAAGCUCAUGGGGCCAAAUUUGCUCAGAUCUCUUCCCCUGCCUGACCAGUUAUAUAUACAAUACUUGUUUUCACUCUGUGUGAUGUCAUCAAUGACGAGAAGGCAAUGCAGUGGAAUUUACAGUGUAAUUACAUUGAAGAAGUGGCUUUAGGGUUAACAGUGGCAACACCAAGUUGUGUGCUUCUGUUGAGUUUUGGUGCACAGUAUCCUUUGAACCAAGCAUGUGGUUUGUUGAUGGAUAUACCAUUAUCAUGCCUGUGAUGUUUGAACAGUGCAUUGUUUUAUUAUUUAUUUAUUUAUUUAACUUUUAAUGCAGUGGCCAUGACCUAUUGCUUUGAAGCCAUUGCCACAACACAAAUUGUGGACACACAUUCUACAGCAAAUAAAAAUCUGUGAGCAAGUUUUUCUAGAUGCAGUAAUGUGCAGCUUUGGAUGGUUGGUGGGCAGGGUUGUUGGAUGCUUGACUUUGCUUCAUUGAGCUCUGGUCAGCAGGGAGGAGCAUGUCAUUUGGGCCUCUGUAGAGUAUUUUCAUCAAUGGUGAGAAAAUAUGUGUUAUGAGGAGCAUCAACUGCAAAGGAGUGUAGAUGAUGACUUCUGCUGCAGCAAAUUAGGGUUUUCUGUGCUAAUGGGAAUGAUAGGACAAAAGAAAAGACAGAGAGAUUGGGUUCAGACCAUACUUGUAAUUUAUUGGAUACUGUGCAUCCAGGAAAAAAAAAAAAAAAAAAAAAAGAAAAAAGAAAAACUAAUAUCUACAGUAUGCAAGGGAGGUUGUCUGUGAAUGAGCAUCAGAAUAGAAUGAACUGGUUAAAAACAUACUUGCAGUGCUCAAUUAUUUUAGGAAAGAGAUUGAUCAAUUCAUGUCAUUAGUUUCUUAUUACUUUGAAUGCAAAUAUCUACCAUCGUUGACAAUUAAGUGUACUCUAAAUAAAACUGUGAUAAUGGGGUAGCUGAUAUUUUACCCUAGAAGGAGCUCAAUUGUGCAAUCAUCAGACAAUGAAGUUUAAGAGCCAUGGUUGCAUUUCAAAACUAGAAAAUUAAUGCAGAAGGAUCAAUGUUGUCAAGUUGUGACAUGCAGCACAAGCAACCAAAAUCACAACACCUCUGACCCACAAACACACUGUUUGAGGUUUGCCCUAAAGUAUCUCAUGGCCUCAAUUGCCCACAAAAAAAAAAAAAAAAACGAAUAAAAAAAACGAAACCUAGUUCAAACAAAGAUUGUAGCUCAAGUGCAAGCAAAAUUAGUAAUGCACUGACUUAACCACGAAGUGUGCACAUAACCCAAAAGUUGGAUAAUUUGUCCGCAGGAUUCCAAAUUAUUAUCCAUAAGAUAGAACAAACAGCAAGGGAACCUAUUAAUGGGGACAGCAGAGUUUGUGGUGCGAAAUUGAGGAUGAUGCAGAGUAUUUAAUGAAUGACGUCGA